UGUUAUCUUCCUAAUUCUUUGGGAGUUGAUCUCAAGUAUUCUUUUUGUUAUUGGAUGUUUUUGUUUCUUAAAAGGUCAUAAGUAUGUCGAUGAUGAUUUAAAGUAUCCUCAUGAAACCACAACAUUUUUUUUGGAGUUCAACACAACUAUACAACAUUCUUGAUUUGCUAAAUCCCAUGAAUAUGUACGUUAGAGAAAAUUAAAAGAUUGAGCAAAUAUGAAACUAGUUUGUUAUUGAAUUACAAAUUAUCGAAGGAAGUUAAAAUUUAGGCUAAAUGAUUUUGAAAGCUUGAAAUCCAAUAUGAAUUGGUAUUUUUAGUACUCAUGAGAGCUUCACUUUGAUCAAACUAUACUAUAAGGUUGCAUUCUAACCUUUUAUACCAUAUAUAUAUAUAGGAAGUCCUUUUAAAACACAAUUGUAUGAUUUUUUGGAAAAAUAAUCCGUAAGCACCUUUUUCCUACGAAGUUUGGAUAUAUUUUAGCCCUAAAAAUUCAAAAUCAUAGAUUCAGAGUUGCAUUAUUAUUAAAUAUGGAAUUCAAGUUUAUAUCAAUCAACUAUUAAAAUUGAGAACUGCAAAAAGGGUUCACAAAAAAAAUUAACUUCUAAUUUUGUUUGCAUUUUGAUCAAACAAAAAAGUGACCAAGUUUGUGAUUGGUCUUUUCUCUUGAUUUUCUCAUAUGCUAUUCUUACAAAAGUAAAAACAAAAAUAUUAUAUAUAAAUCAUUUACUCCUAACAAAAUUGAGAACAGCGUUGGAAGAAGAUGAAUCCAACACAUCAUUUUCACCUUCUCAACCGAGUGGGGAUAAAAUGGAUGGAAAAAGAAAUAACAUCACAAAUAAUUUCACAAUAUUGUAACACUAACAAGUCUGAAUUCUUCUCUACUCUUUCUUUGCAUUGCUAUUAUCCGCAUUCGCUGGAGUUUUCACAAUACUCAGCUGCCCACCUUCCUUGUUCGCUAAAGUAGCCGCCUUCGUUUCGUUGCAGUAGUUUAUGAAUUUGCUUACUUCCUGUUGGUUUUUCCACAAGAAUGUCAAGUUUAUCAGUAAUAGAGAAAAUGUUCAGAAGUGUGUAAAGCCAAAGUAGUAUAUAUAAUUAUUGUGACUCUAUUACAUAUGGAACAAGAUACAUAUUACAUAAUGACCUAAUGGGUCUAUACAAUCACUAAGACAUCACAUUCUAUUCAUUUUCAAAUAAUAAUAAUAAAAAAGCCAAUUCAAGGAAGAAAGAAUAUAACCCAAACAUUAUAGCAUCAUGCAAAUACAAGACAAUUUUCAGUCAAUCGAUAACUUUGUAUGAUAUGAAGUAAAACCUUCCAUUAGCAUAAAUAGUUUCAACUUUGAAGUGGGGGAGACAACCAAUGAGUUACAAACAAAAGAUUCUUCAUCUUUACUCUCUGAUAAGAAUUAACUUCUCCUAUAUGGUAGGAAAUUUAAUAUCGGCUCAAGGAAAUUUACCCUUCCUUUUGAAAGGAGGAGUCCUACACAGAACAGGAGAUAUUAAAGGCGAACACCGACAUUACAACAAGAAAAAUGUUUGGCAUGCUUAUAGCCAUAGAUACCAGUAUAAAAAAUGGAAAAAAAAAGAUGGCAAGUGUCUCAGUUAGAGAUAAAAGAAAAACAAUUCAUACUAAGAUAAUUUCAAAUGCAUAUACAAAAACGACUGCGUUAGAAUCAAGAGCCGAAUAGCAUUUCUACUGUAUGGAAUCUCGGUCUACCAACCAUCUCAUAGUUUAGAAGUUAGUAAUUUAUUCAAACCCAAAAACACUCCCUUUUGGCCUUGCACAAUGUUGCUUAAUUUCUUAACCAUUUUUCUGUCCAACAAAAUGGAAAUCCUAUAUUGGCACAAGAGAUCACUCCUAAAAAAGGAACAUAACUUUCAUUAACAAGCAGCCUUUCCCUUUUUGAAAACUUUUCAAUUUCUAAUUCGCCAAUAUAAAUUUCACACCAACGACUACUCUAGGUCUCCAGCACAGUCAACGGGAAGAUACUAAACACAGUGAAUUUGGAUAUUAAAUGAGAACUAUCAAACCAAGUUCAGCUAAGAGAAGAGGACUUAAGAAUCAUACACAAAAUCCAUUCUCAGCUAACCGAAACAAUGGAUGCAAUCUACCAACCAAGGGUAUCAACAUUUACCGAACACACAACCUUCAAAAUUUCGAUACUUUAAGUUCGGUUGCAUCUAAAUCCAAAAUUCUUAGAACAGUAUUUAACAAUAGAUGGUCACUUCAUCUAGUAUAACACUGUUAGCAUGGAAGCUAGAAAAUCGCACAAGUUUCUACUCUCACGGUUACUAAAUUACUGAACAAGCACGAAAAAGAGAACACGUACCCGAUCUGUUUCCAUCUCUUUGGUAGUCUUUGAUGGCUUCACGAAUCUUUUCCCUGGAAAGACAACGGCGAAUGAAUACGAAGGAGGAGAAAUCGUAAUUUAUAGGCGUAAAAGGAGCAUAUGAAAGAGGGGGAGUUGGAAAAAAGAAGAGAAGAGAUACCUUUGCGAGUUUGGGGGAUUUUUCCAUGGCGAUUGGGAGGAAUGGUUUUCGUCUUCUGUUUACCUUUGAAUAGAUUUGCUUUCUGAGUCAUCUUCUUCCUCCGAAAUUCUUCUCCAAAGUAGGAUUAGGGUUUAUGAGAAAAACCUACGCUUCUUUCUUUUAAAUGCUCUCUUCGGAAAAUAAUAUUAUUUGAUCAUUUUUUUUUAAUAACAUUUAACAUUUUCUGUUUUUUCACAUUUUAAAAAAUAUUUUAAAUAUUAAUUUUUCUAUAAAAAAUAAUUACCGAAAAUUCCAAAAUUAAAAAAAGGUCGAACUCCUUAUCUCGAUCUAAGUUGAGAUUGAGAUAGAACUUCAUGUUAUCUAACAAAAAAAAAAAGAAUAACACAUAUUUAUGUUCUCUUAAUACACUUGAGUUCGAACAUAUUUUAAUUUCUUUUUUAUAAAAUAAAACUAAGAUCGGUGUUUUAAAGGUUUUGGUUUUUUAAAUUAUGCAUAUAUUUCCGUUUUAAAAUUCCUAUUUUCUUUUAUUUUUCAAUACCUGUUUAGUUUUAGAAAUUGAAAAAAAUAGAUAACAAAAUAAAAUAUUUGGAGAUAAGAGUGUGUUUGGACGGGAAACCUAAAAUUUUAAAACCAAAUAAUUACGAAUAAUUUUUAAUCAUAUAAAAAUUUAAAAUAUGUUAUAAAAUCUAAAAUCAACGAAAAAAAUUGUUAAAAUAAAAAUUUAAUCAAAUAUGUACAACAUGCAAAAUUUCAAAUUUUAUCAUAGUAAAUAUUUUAGUUUAUUUUACAAUAUUUGAAAAUGUCUCAAUCAACUUAAAACAAUAAUAAAUAAUAAAUGUUUUAUUGGAUAUUUUUAAAUAAAGCAAAAUGAACCAAGAUAUUUAUAAAAUAUAAUAAACUUUCCAAUUCUAUCAAACAAUCGACUUCUAUGGGAUAUAUUUAAUAGACUUCUAUAUAAUAUUUCAUUAUAUUUUUAACUGAUUUGUUCGAUAUCAAUAAUUUCUCUUUUUUCUUGACUUUAAAAGUUGUAUCUACUUUAUCAUUAAAACUUAAAAAAAAAAAGUAAUAAAUUAUUAAAGUUGUUAGUUAUCUAAAAAGUUAUAGCAUUUCUAUACUAAACAUUAAAAAGUUAUAGCAUUUCUAUACUAAACAUUGAAGAAUUGGUAUUAAUAAUUUAACCAUUAAACACCAAGUUAAGAAGCCCAUGGGUUAAUGGGUUUAUUUGCAUUUAUUACUUCAAAGCUUGAUUGAUUAAACAUACUACACAACAUAACAUAAGAAGAUUUUACUUAGAAGGAUCAACUUAUUUCUUUCUUUUGUUGAGAGUUGAGAGUUAAAGAGUGAAAAUGAAAGUCGGAAAGUUCAACUUCCCACAAAUUUCACCACUUUUUGUUUUUCACUUUAAUUUUGUUUUCUUGUUUCUAAACCCCCAAAAUGACUGUUCAAUAAACAUCCACUCUACCAUCGCUAGAACCUCUCUUAUCUCUUCCAUUUUUAUGUUGAUAGGCUGCCUGAGACUUCUUCUUCUUCCUCUUCGAUUGACAUUCUGAGCUCUUUCUUCCUUCAUGGCAAUGGCCACUUGUAAUCCCACACUGCACUCCUCCCUUACCAUGGCCCACACUUCAUCCGUACACCCACAAGACCCUUCUUCCCUUCUCUCUUUCAGACCCAUUGCUGCCUCUUCCACCGCCAAUAUCUUCUCUUUAUGCCACCCCUUAAUUCUGCAGCGCAGGGGAGGGAGGUCCAUCAAUUGGGUCGACCUUAAAUUUGGGAGAGAAUGCAGGGAUCAUUUGGUUGUGGCUGCUUUAGCUGCGGAAAUUGAGGUGGAUGAGGAUGUGGAAGAGAAUGGAGAAGAGGGAAAUGGUGGAACUGCUACUUCAGUUCUGCCUAAGAUUAAGAAGGGAAAGGCUGCAUUGCCUCUCAAAAGGGACAGAGUAAGCUUGAGCAAGUUCUUGUAUUGCCCUGUUUUCAAUCUAGUUGAUUGCCAUUUUGGAUAUGGUUUUAGAGUUUGAUUGGUGGGUUUUACUUCGUUUUAGGUUUUGUUUUGUUGUUGUAGCUCUGACCUCCGGGGUUUUAAUUUUAGACACUGUUGCCUUUUUAUGGAGAUGAAAUAUGUCUUAGAACUUUUACUUUUGUUUUCCUCCGUCUACUUCCAUUUUUUGUCCUCCACAAAUUAGGCUGGUUUUUAAUGUUGGUUUGGCUAAUCAUUUUUGAGUGAGGCCCAUAAGUAUGCAUUCUAAAGGGCCAGGUAUGAUGUCUCAAGUGAUCAAUUGUUUCAAUGUGAAAUGAUUCAUGUAGAUGGAAGGGUACUUCUUGUUGGGGAAAUCUAGAUACCGUUAAUAGGCCGUUCGGCUGGUUGGCUUUGCCGUCCCAGUAAAAACUUUUGUACAUGCGUCUCUAGUUUGUUAUUCUUGUGUUCAUUGGUUCUUUCCCUUCUUACGUAUAUGUUUGUUUCAGUUCUGUAAUUCACUUAAUUUUGAUUCAACAUCUAGUUAAAAUUUUUCUUGAAUUGUUCUUUCUCUUUCUAGUUUCAUUAUCUUCUAGGAUUAAUAGUUCCUAUCAUGUCUAUUUUUGAUCAAUGGCUUCAUUAGUUGACUUGGAAAACUCUAGCAAUCGGGCGGUUUAGUACUGUUUCUUUGCUUUCUACCUUCCUUUGUAGCAUCAGCCGUUCCAGUUAGUUGUUAUCCAUAUUUUCUUUUGAGUUCUACUCUGAACCAGCAAUAGAUUACGAGAGAGGUUCAUAAAGGAUAUGUGGAUUACUUUUAGUUCAUAUUGUAAGCCGUGUUCUCUUAAAAUAUAUAUUUGCCCCCUUCUCUUAUUACUAUUGAAUCAGCUUUGACAUGAAACCGUGUUCUGAAAAUGUUCAGACCCGGUCAAAGAGGUUCCUGGAAAUUCAAAAACUAAGGGAAACCAAAAUGGAGUACGACCUGAAAACAGCAAUAUCUUUGUUGAAACAAACGUCCAGCACAAAAUUUGUGGAAACUGCUGAAGCCCACUUCCGAUUGAACAUUGAUCCCAAAUAUAAUGAUCAACAGCUGAGAGCAACUGUAAGUUUUCUUGGUAAUUGCAUGAUAAUUGACAAAGAAAGUUAAAAGUUAUAAGAAAAUAUCGGUUCCAUCUCAAAACCAAAUGGUAUUGAGAGUAGUCCAUGUAUCUUAUAAAGAUGGUGAGGUUCCUUGAUUUCUUUAAUGUGUGAUUGUCAACAAAAGUCCUACCUACUACUUGAGUUUACUAUAUGUCUGUCCUAAAUCUUCAAUGCUCACUUUUUUCAAAGGUAAAUUUGCCCAAGGGAACUGGACAGACAGUAAAGGUAGCUGUUCUUACUCAAGGUAAUCACUAAAUUUGACUUGAAUGAUACUUUCAUUGGUUAGGAUUCAAUGGUAGAAGUAUCUAGUUUUCUAUGAGUUCUGGUUCCAUUUCUUUCAAUGAGGGAAUAUCGUGGAAUGGAUGUUAAUACAUGAUGCAACUAGAUAUAUGAACUUUAAAAAGUCUCAAUGGAAGCUUGGUUUCUACCCAAAAAAAUAGCAGGUAUUAUUGUCUCCAAAGUGAUUGUGGAUUAGAUAGUAUUUGGUGGAGAAUCCUCUACUUGAAAGGGAGGUUUGCUUGCUCUGUUAGUGUCUUAGUGAGAUUGCUUAAACUAUCGUGGCCUUAUUUAUAUGAAUUUCCCUCUAUUAUUGAUGAGUGAAUAUCCUUCUUGUAACCAGUGUGACAUGUGUGAUACAUGGUAUUUGGAGAAUGAAAAUAUUUAUUUGUUCUUUAUUAAAUUUUCAUACAGUUUUGCAGUGUGACAUGGUUAAUACUGAUUGGUUGGUUUCCCCCCUUGAAAUCAGUUUAAAAACUUGAGUGAAGAGAAUGAGAUGAAUGCUAGGAUAUGACUUUUUAAUUAACUCUUAUAUGUAUAUAUAUAUAUAUAUAUAUUCGUUAUUUAUUUCCUUGAUGUGGUCAUGUGGAUUCUCUCAUCUUUUCCCAUCUCUCUAAUCAACUAUAAAUUUUGAGAUUCAGCUUACAUUGGCCAUAUUAUCGUGCUGCUUUUUAAAAAUGCUGUUUGUAUCUGCAUCAUAUCUCUUCUCAUGGCGCCUUUUUUCUUCUUCAGUUUUCAUUUUCUUUCACUCGUUUCAUAUAAUCUCAUUGCCUUCUGAAUCAUGUAGGUGAAAAAUUCGACGAAGCAAAAAAUGCAGGAGCAGAUUUGGUUGGAGGUGAGGAUCUGAUAGAACAGAUCAAAGGAGGUUUCAUGGAAUUUGAUAAGUUGAUUGCUUCACCAGAUAUGAUGCCCAAGGUAUGGUUCUUAAAUCUUUUUACUGCUAUACAUUGUGAUGGGUUUCCAAAAGUAUAAGUAUUUCUAACAACGUUGUCCAUAGCAAUGAAGUAGUUUUCACAUGUACUUUGAAACUGAGUACCAAAUACGAUUCCGAUUUCCUUGUAUGCAAUACUACCGAUAAUUUUUUCUUUCAUGCUUGUAAGAAAGUAUUUUUGGAUACUUCUUGCACCAUCUAUGACCAGAAUUAAGAAGAUACAGUAUCGUGUUCGUGCCACAGAUUUAAAGAGACCAAGUUAAAUAAAGCCUACAGAAUUUUAACUCAUCUUCAUGUGAAUGGUUUCGGUGUCCACUUUGGAGUUUGUGCUGAUUUUGAGAUAUUUUAGUUACUUUGUGGCAACUACAAACAAACAAUUAAUCUGUUGACCGGUCUUCUCUGUUUGUUCCAGGUUGCAAGUCUAGGGAAACUUCUAGGACCUCGAGGACUGAUGCCGAAUCCAAAAGCUGGCACAGUUACAACAAAUAUACCUCAGGUAUAGAUAAGAACCAUCUACAUUUGUAUGCAUCACAAUUUGACAAUAAAGUUGAUAUUAUAUUAGCUAAGGAGAAGGUCUUUCUUGAGAUAUAGAUUGGUAAUAGCUUUGUCCUGUUUCAGGCUAUAGCAGAGUUCAAGCAGGGAAAAGUUGAAUACAGAGCAGAUAAAACCGGGAUUGUUCACUUACCGUUUGGAAAGGCAGACUUUUCCGAAGAUGACCUCCUUGUGAACUUACUGUCUGCAAUAGUAUGUUCUUUCCUAAUUCAAAUUCUAAAGAACUCCAUUAGUAUCUAUUUUUUUUACCAUAUUGAUUCGUUCACAUUAAUCCAACAGAAAUCAGUAGAAGUAAACAAGCCAACAGGUGCUAAAGGAGUAUACUGGAAGAGUGCGCAUAUAUGCUCUUCGAUGGGACCUUCAAUUCGAUUAAACACAAGGGAAAUGCUCGAUUACAAGAUCCCAUCAUCAAAUGCUUGAAGAAUUUAACUCUACACUUGUAAAUGCCUUCUUCAAUUUGCUUGAUCGCAGCCCUCGUGAAUGCACCUUUUGAGUUGUCUUCAGCGGCCAAAGACUUGGUUUAGUAUUAAAGUUGCUAUGUGUCUGAAGAAAGAAUAGAGCUUGAUGAUUAUCUUGAAUUGAAGAGUAAUUGAAACUUGAGAACUGCAUAUUCAUUUGUAAUUGAAACUGAUUCAAAGUAGCUCAGUUUUGUUGUGUUGUGGUUAUCAGCAUCAAUCAUUUUCACCUCAUCUGACUAUUGUUUAUUUCUCAAAUUUUAGUUUGUUUAAGCUUUUCACUGUUGAAAAAUAUGGUGGAUGAUUGUUCUUGGAGAAUUUGUAAUGAAAUAUAGAGUUGAAAAUGGAAGAAAAUUUUAAGUUAAUUCAUCAGUAAACAAUAGAUAGAAAAAUAAUAUGAUAGCUUUACAAAAGAAUUUGUCAAGUCAUGGUUCAACUAUACAAAAUGAAAGCACAAAUUGAAUCACAAUCGUUUAAGGACUAGCAGCUAUUUGAUGUGAGAACAUGGCAACCUUCAUAGAAAGAACUCUAAUCGAACAUUGCCUUCCUCAGCAUAGAAAUCCGCUAAUGACAAUCAACAUCGGCUUUCUCCUACGUAGUUCAUCAACGUUCCCCAGCUAUCUCCAUUGCUCCAUGCUGUAGUACACAAAUUUUACAAAGUAGGUAGUUGAUCGUAAGCAAUAUUACUCGGGGAAACAACACAAAGAGAAGAGAAGAAAACCUCUCGAGGGCUGCUCGAUCCAAGGACCAUUCAUUAUAUUCAGUAUAGUACAGGCCUCGCUAUAUUCCAGUUCUGGAAGUAACUUUGGAGUCAGUAGGAAACACCUGAAAAACAUUAUUAGCUAUAAUGAAAUUCAUUGCAUAUAUUUCGGAGGACCACAGAUCCAACUUAUUCCACAUUCAGAUGAGAUUUAUCAAUAAAACUAGCAAACUCAAGCAUGAGGCACCGUCUGUUUAUUUUGUUAGAAGAAAGGACACUGAGAAAGAGAGAACAAAAAUAUUACAAACCUAAUAUACAAAAAACGUAGUGAGAGAGGGACCUAGAAAGCAAAUACACAAACAAGGAAACCUAGACUGCAACGUAGACUUUAAAUAAAUAAAAUCUUGAUAUAGUCAAAGAUAAUAAUAAAAGUAAAGAUAAAACUAAGGGAAAACCCCUAUAGGUAGAUUAUCAAACCUAAUAUUUUUUAGGUUAAAUAUUAUUUUGGUCUCGAUUCUUUGAAGUUUGUUUAGUUUUUUAGUCUGUAUAAUUUCAAUUGUCAAAUUUUAAUCUCCGCUUUUAAUAAAUGUAAAAUCUUGUCCCUGCUACUAGUCUUGUUGAUUUUAAUUUUUUUUUGUUAUCCUUUAGCAUUUUUAUUAUAAAUUUUGAAAGCAUAUUCAGAUAUAAUAUUUCCUUGUAUGAAACUUAUGUUUAUUAGUUCAGUAAAAAUUAAUCUUGAAGGACUAAAUUUAAAAUUUAUUGAAAGUCCAUGGAUUAAAAUUUUACAAUUGAAAGUGGGUGGAUUAAAAUUGAACAAACUUCAGCCUAGGGACUAAAAUGUUAUUUUAACUUAGUUUGUAAACCAUCUUUAUUCAGUCUAAAGAACUUUUAGUAUAUUGAGAAAAACUAUCCUGAAAUAUUAUGACACUAUACUAGGGGAAGAACUAACUGUCAACACACGGCCUGCUCAACCAGAAUCUAGAAAACCAUGAUGACAAGUUAAAGAGUAAUUGGUGCUCACUGUGGUGUAUUGGUUUGGCUGGCAGCUCUCACCAAUUGCUGGAACAUCUUCCGUUCAUUUAUGGGAUCCAUUCCUACCAAAAGGCAAUAGGCACAAUUAUUUUACAUAAUUUGUUUGUGCCAGUAGACGACGUUUGUAUGGAUACUUACCUUGGUUUAUCUCGUCAACUACUCUAAAUGGGCAGUUGGUAAGGUCUUGAAGGGAAACAAGAUACAGAAUUGUUGACACCGAACGUUCCUAGCAAGUAAAAGAUCUAAAUUAUUGUAAAACAGCAACCUAGUUGCAAACAAGAAAAAAAGACUGCGAUGAGCUGUAAUACCCCUCCAGAUUGAUGAUGUGCACUGAGAACCUGAAGCUGACCUGAUUGUCUGUUAAUUACAUUUCAAAGAAAUGAAAAAAUUAAAUAAAUAUAGCAACAGUAUUAUCAUAAAUAUGUAGAGACUGAAGAGAGGAAUUGAGCACAACAAUUAACUGAAAAGACAUAAAUGCACAAAAUACUCGAUUUUAGUAAACAACUCUAAGCAAUGAAAGUCAGUGACUAUUCCUAAGACACAUUGAGUAUAAUGCCAUUUAAUUAAACCUAAACCCUAAACCCCCGGAAUGUCCAACAAUGAAGCCAGCAACUAUUCCUAAGACGCAUUGAGUAUAGUGCCAUUUAAUUCCUAAACACAAGUCUGCAUCACUUCGACAUCCCGGGAAGCUCUCUUAUCCAAAAUGUGGGAAAAUUUUCCUUUAUUUUCUACUCUUCAGGAAUCAAGAUUGUAUGCAUUUCUUUUCUAUUAUUUUAGCUCUUAACGCUUUUGAUAGUACGUGUCAAACAUUUGGAAUAAGAUGUUUUUUUUAGGUGAGACUGGGUGUAUAAUGACAUCCAAUAUUUGGGAGUUCUUGACUUAUGUGUUGAAAUACUGGAUAAAACAACGAUUUCUCAGGUAGUCAGAUUGAAUCAUGCCUGAACCUACAAUGAAGUGAAAAGUCAUACCACCAAUACUUGAAAAUCACUCGUUAAGGGUAAAAAGUGAAUUCUCUUGGUCAGUAUUCCAGAGGUAACAAUCAUUUGAAAAUAUAUCUUAGUGAACCCAUGCCGGUGAGAUGACAUUCUCUAGAAUUUAGUACGUUUGACCAAAAACAGUAUUCAAGCACAAGAAAUAAAUAUAUUUAGAUCUUAAAGUGGGUGUCGGAAGCUGUGCUCACCUGAACUUCACUUUAAUAAGUAUUCCAAAUUGAUCAAAGUCCAUAUCAUGCUCAUCUAAGAGAAAAAAACCCAUCGCAAGGAAAUUAAGGACAAGGAAAAAGAAAUCUCCCAGGAAGUAAAUUUUCAGACCACAAAAAACCAGUACCCAAUAACACUUCUCCAGCAACAGCCAUCUCUUGAAAAUUGCGACUAAAAGUUUCAUUUAUCUGAGAAACAAGUUUUCUUAAUGUUGGGAGCCAAUUUCCCUGCAAAUAAUAUUUUGUAUUAAUACCAUGAUAAUUCUUAAAUGUUUUUUUUAAAAAAUAGAAACAAAACUUACAAAAAUCUAGAACUUACUAGAACAUAAAGGGAAUACAAGACUGAUAAAUAAAACAACUAACAGAAGAAGAGGAUUAAAAAGCAUCAGGAAAUACAAAUUAUCAAAGGUUGCCCUUUUUUUGUUAGGAUAGAAAACAACCCCUUUCAUUGAGAAAAUAUAUAUAUAUAUAUAAGGACAUACAAAAAAGCCAAGCCCACAAAAGAUCCCAGAGAAAGGAUUUCCAAUUAAGUAAGAUCUUGUCCGGAGAAUAGUUACCAAAAGUCAUCAAAACCAAAGCCCAAAGAGAGACAUGAAACCUCACCAGAAACCAAACUUCACUAGGGCAUCUCUCCACGCCAUGAAACACUGUUGUUUAUCUUCCCCAAAAAGAUAUCCCACAACAAAGCACACAUCCCCACAAACCAAAGAAAUGACAUCUCUUUCAAAAGCAAAUGGAGGAAAAACUCCCCGAUUGUCCAACAAGCAUCCCUCUUACGAGCAAGCGCAAAAUCCAACUCUUGAAAGAAGCCACGUUGUUUGCUAAAUCAAACAUGCUAGAAAUGUAAAGAUGAAUAUGACCAUAGGAAGUAACAGCCCCAGAAAAACUCACUACCACGUCCUCCUUUUGGAUGAUUAGUGAUUCCUUAAGUGCACUGCUCAAACAGAAGGAAGAAAAAGAGGUCCUAUGGCAAGAUUUGUUCGUUUAAACUAGGUUGAACGGAAGAAAACUGUUGAAGGAAAAUUAGGAUUUAUGAAUCAUUAGUAUUUUCCAUUAUUAUUUUCCUUUAGUGGUUUCUUUGAAGUCUAUAUAUAUUCCUAUGUAAAACAUCAUUAUGUACUCUGAAUUAUUAUGAUUUAUUCAAUAAUUUAGAAAUUUCACAAAAACAUAUAGUCCAAACAUACAUGGCAUGUACUUGGCAACAAGUGAAAUAAUUAAUAGAUUACCUUCAGCUCAUCAACUUCAGCCAUACACUUCCUUAGUUCAUGUUUAUCAGCCUCUAGUUUUCGUGCAAUGAUGUUUAUCUGUAAUAUGACAGCGUAAACAUACCAACCAUGCAUAAGCAACGAUAAAUUGAUAAUCAGAUGCAUAAGGACCUGACGCUGACGAUGUUCAUAUUCCUCAAGCACGUUAUGGUUUAAGAAUAGAAUGGAAUUAGCUUGAGAGAUAUUAUCUUGAAUAGCAGCCUCCAAUUCCUCAAUUGUAGUAGGCAUCUGUGCAACAAAUGAAAUAGAUCAUUCUCAAAAUAAUGUUUUUAGUACAAACUAAUUAAGUAAGGCUAUCCCCAUUCCAACAUUCUUGCACAAUUCUGAAUUAGCAAUAGAGGAAAUGGAAGGAAAUUUUCUUUUUCAAGAUAAUGUUUUUAGUUUCCAAUCGAGUAAGCCUAGCCCCAUUCCAACAAUCUUGCAAACUUCUGAGCUUGCAAUAGAGGAAAUGGAAGGAAAAAAGGUUUGAGGGGCCUAGGUCAAUCCAAGGAUUUGAUUGACAACGAUUAUUAACAUUUACAAAAGAGAGCGUGCAAAGAGUGGGGAUCAAUAUUUUUUAAAGUCAGCUUCAUUCUUACAAGGUGAGACAACCUUCAAAUUUCUUUGGGAAAAGUGAUGAAUCGUGUGGUAUUAAUUAUUUGUUCGGAAAGGACUUGUCCCAUUUCUCUGAGAAUCUGGAUUUUCUUGGUAAAAGCUAUGAAAACCGUAUCAUGGUAUACAGGGGCCUAGGGGAUUCUAGCGAAAGAUUAGCAGUAUAGAAGUGUUCAAGCCUGGAAACAACUUGUCAGACCAACAUUCCUCACCUAGAAUAAGAUGGGUGUUCAAGGAUAUUAUCAAGAAAUACAUCAUUCUGAAACAAAAUGUGAUGCACAAUUAAUUAAUUUAAUUUAUGAAAAACAGAGCUUACACCAAGAAAAAAAUAUCACAUGGGUGAAAAUAAAUAAAGCCCACAAAAGAGCGCCAAACUACAUCAAACAGCUUUGUUAGGUCUUUUCACUGAAUCCUAAAGAGAAAAAUUCCUUUUCCCUUCCUUUUUUUUUUCUACAGCUUUUACGGUUCUGUUUCUUUGUUCAUUCCAUAUCUUCACAGACAAUCUAACUAUAAUUCAAAGAAACCAUACAUACAUAAAACUAUAAGCAUAUAGAAUUAGUCAAAAGCAUAAAGUUAUCUAUUAGAGCACAAAUUUGGCUGCAAUAAACCAUGGCUCAUCGGUUAGCACCCAAAACCACUCAAAGCCAAAGAAUAAUUGUGUUUUUUUUAAACAGAGACAAGCUUCUUUAUUAAUAUAAAACUCAAACUACAAGAGAAUUAUAAAAUGAGAACAAUAAAGAAGCCAAUACGAAAUCGAGAAAACCUCAAGAAAUUCCUUCUCAAGUUCAGGUGUGAUUGCAGCAAUAGAUUCUGCAUACUUCUUGGCAGCUGAAAGUUGCUGUAGAUAGUCCUCAACUUCCUUCUUGCCUGGAAAAAGGAUUUAGCAAUUAAAAAAAAUAAGGAUCAGCGAAUGAAGACAGACAAAAAAGGAGGCAAAAUUAUGUGUUGAAUGUUUCAUGCAUUUGAAAAGAAUCAAAUGAAACAGUAAAGCAGCAAAUGGUCUGGAAAGAACCAAAAGAAAAGGCAAAGCAUCUUCAAUGAAAAAUUUAAGCCAAAACCAUUUCUUAUAUAAUUCUUUUUUAAUAGAAAACCGUUUCUAAUGUUGAAGCUAUUUCAUGCAUUGCCAACAAGUAAUUUGUACGACAUAUAGUACGAUAGUCAGAAUACAUGCAAUUUAUAUAUAGAUUCAUCCAAAAGACCUUUUUUAUGAAUCUUUUAGAUAUUAUAACAGGGCGAAAGAUAGUAGCAGAAGCUUGGGCACAACUCACAGUACUCAAACUGCACUGACGCUUGCAGAGCAACCUUUUCAUGCUGCUUUAGAUUAACCUCCAAUUCUCUGAUCUAAAGAUAUAAUCAUCAUAAACUGUAGAUAUUAGGGAAGGAAAAAAAAAACAAUCCAGAAGAACAAAAUAGAUCUGGAAAUGGAACAAUUUGGAGUGUCAAUAGAAUCCCAUUUAAAAAACAAAAAGUGAAAUGUAGACAGAAAUUCACUUGGAAAUCCUCGCGUGCUUUGUUGUAAUAAAAUAUAACAUCAACAACUUCACCAUCCAAAUUACCUUUGCUUCAAUUUCAAUGGAAGACAUAUGGUUCUUAGUCAAGCUCUGUCUAUAGGAAACGGCUUCAAGAAGCAAAUUCUGUCGAUGGAAAAAAAACAAGUUUAUCUAUAUAUAUAUACAACUGCCUUCAUGAACAAAUUUAAUUCUUUGAACACUUGGAUGCCAACUCCAAAUAAUGAUGAGAAAGACAUAAAUACAAAUAUAAAAAGAUUCAAAGUGUGAGACUUCACCUUAAUUUCAAUUGCACAAUGAAACCUCUGAAUGUUAAAAUUUGCAGCUUGGUCGACAAGCUUGGCCACAACAGUAUCCAAGUCAUCUUCCCGCUCCAUAGAUUCUAAUUUCUUUUUCCUUUGAUCUAGAUUACCAAAAAAACAUUCAUUGAUAAGAUGGACAAUCAAAAUUACAUUAACAUAUUAAUACUUACCAAUGCGAUUUUCCAUUUCACGUCGUUUUCUCUUCUCAUGUUGCACAGUAUUUAAAAUGUCUUCCUGCAAUUUUUAGAGUUAGUUUUGUAUUAUUCGCUAGAAAAAAAUUAUAAACCUGAUUUCAAAUGAUGAAAGACUUGAGGAGCACACACAAGGAAGGUCAUUGGAUAACCUGAGUUCAAUGACAAGAAACUGAUAUUUUUUAUUAUUCUGGACUUACUCGAUGUUUGCGAAGUUUAGCUUCUUCAUCCUCUAUCAAUCUUAGCUCAUUCUGACAUGAUUUACAAUUUUCUUCUAAGGCAGAAACAGAUUCUUCUAGCUCACUUUUCCUAGAGCGAAGCCCAUCAAUUUCUCCCGCAUCCAAGUCUAAAAGGUAAAUAAUAGGUUAUCAAAGUCAUGUAAUUCAAAGCUUUCAAAGAUUCAAAUAAAAUUUCAAGGAAAUUUUUUUAUAUACUGCACAAAAGAAGACGUGAGCGAUCAACUGGUUCCACACUUCCGGAGAUAUGACCACCGUAUCUAGAGCGAGACCAUCGAUAAUGAUUAUCUGGAGUCCAAAAAUCUAAAAUUCCCAAUUUUGAGACCUCGUCUGCCUUUUGAUCAGUUACCUUUGAACCAAUAUACUGAAAGAAGAAAGAAAACAUUUCUAAAGUGAAAGAAAAGUGUUUCUAAUACAAGCUUCUGCCAGAUUCCAUAAAGCUGGAUUUCAGAUUUAAUAAUAAAAUUAACGUCACACUAGAAAGAGUCUUGAAAGCAUACUGAAUGUUCCAAACCAAACUGCAUGGUCAAAACCUCCUUUACAGCUGCAGGAGCAUCAAAAAUUUGGUCUAGCCGAGAAUAUAUGCCAAAUGCACGAACCUGUUCGACAUCAUUAUUACAAACUAGUACAAAUGUAAACUCCAAUUAUCACUUCGUUGACAUUUACCUCCUCAGACAACUCAAAAUGCUGAUUUGUGCGCCUUUCACCUCCCACAUAGUUUAAGACAGGAACGCCAAAAGAGCCCAAGUUUUUUACCAUAAUGUCGCGAUCAUGAGAAUCUUGGGUUAUGAAGGACUGUAAAUCAAGCAAUGGCCACCACGAUUAAGGAAAAUCAGAAAGCUCUGUUACCACAAUGUCAGAGUAAUUUUCUAUAGCUCCCUCACCUUUAUGUAAGUUGAUUAAUAUACUUUAAUACAGUAGAUACUAAACCUAAGUAAGAAAUAACUGCUUUCAUUGAGAAAAAAAUGAAGAAUACAAGAGCAUACAAAAGACGAAGCCUACAGAAACAAACUACACCAAAGAAAGGGUUUUCCAACUAAGUAAGAUAUUGCUUAGUAAAUAAUUACAAAACGUCUUCAAAACUGAAGUCCAAAGAGAAACAUGGGACCACACCAAGGGUAUUAAUAAAUGUAAUAAUUGAGUACCUUCCAGACAUAGGAUGGAAUAUGGCCUUCUAAGUAGUCAGCAUGAGUCCGAUUAGACACAUUAACCUAAGAUUCCAUGCAGAAAGAAAUGGCAGGGAAAGGCAUCAAGUAGUAAGUAAAAAAAAAAAAAAAAAUAAUAAUAAUAAUAAAAAACAUUCUAUGCAUUAACAUAAGAACCUCUAGCAACACUGGACCAUACACCUCCUUCUUGAACUCAUGGCGAUGUUCUUGAAGCCAGUGAUAAGCUUCAAAAAUCUUCUCUGUUCCAGAAUUUUUCAAUGCCUGUAGUAGUUUUGUAUUAGUAUUCUCCAUAUCUUUUAACCUGAAAGAGGUGCUUAACUGUAAGAUGAUAAACCACCAAAGAGAGCUGAAUGCACAACUGAUCAAAUAUUCUGAUAUGUACCUAUCCGAGCAUUGCCUCAAAGUAUUUCUUUUUUGGGAAAUGUUUUUCUCAAUCUCUGACUUCAUAAGUCUCUUCUGACUUGCUGAAACUUCCAACUCCAAAAUUUGAGCACGCAACCGUUCCUGGUGAAAUAUGAUUGAAGUAACAGAGAGAAAUCUAAGAACUUUAUAACCAUAUACAAAUUAUUUUGAAGUUUGCUGUUCUGGUUUAUUUUAGCCUAUGCUUCUUUUUCAUUCCCUUUUGGGAACUUGUACCCUAGAACGAUUAUCUCUUCAUAAAUCAAUGAAACAAAAUUCUUGUUGGAAAAAAAAAAAAACAGAUACAAUGCAAAAGAGUCUUUGAUUACCUUAUGAUAAUUAACAAAAAAUCAAAACUUUAAAACUGCCAUUUCAACAGUUUUGCUUUUGACAAGCAAACUAUUUAUAAUUGUUAUGAAAAACAAGCGAACUUUUUAUUAACAUUUGAAAACUUCAAUUGAAAAGAAACAAAUAUACAAACGUAGCUUACAAUCUCAUCCUUGGGAUGUUCAUAAGCAGGCAAAUUCUGAAGUUCAAACUCAGCAGAUUCAAGUUCCUCUUUAGCUCGUGCGAUUCUCUGUUGACGAGAUUCUUCUUGUUUCCUCAGGUCUUCCAUUUCUUUCAAUUUUCCUUGCACUUGCACCCCCUACCACCAAUGCAAACAUGUUUGAAGAACCCAAGAAAUAGGAGAGAUUCAAAAAGCCACAAACUUUAACAUACCAAACGAUUUUCAGUUUCCUGAAGUUCCACCCUUUUCUUGUGAUUAUCGUUAAUACGAGUGCUAUACUUUUUAGUUUUAGCAUCCAACUUUGCCUUCUCCAAUUUUUGUUUCCUGAAAUAGCCAAUUGAAACAUAAAUCACUAGCAUAGAGGAUGAUUGAAAAAACAAAGUAACUUCUAUAUCUCAUUUCUACCAAGUACCACCAAAUUUAUGGUCCCUUAGUUAACACAAAUCUAGAAAGGCAAGGUUCUCAAGAAAAGAUAAAAAUUUUCCUUCUCUCUUCCUCAUGGAAGUAUCAUUGUAUCAAUACUCAUGAGAGGCUCCCAAAGGCCAAAAGGAGAUUCUCCAAUCAGUAGGUUUCCCUCUUUACAACCUCUGGAAGUUUUCAGCAGAAAGAUGGUAUUUUAUUUAGAAAUCUGUGGGGCUUGCUCUGUUGUUGCAUCCCUAUGCAUAUCAAGGAUUGGUUGAAGCUCUUUCCGGUAGGUGGUUUAAAAAUAAGGCCAGAAAAAGAUGAGCAAAAAAGUUGAGAACCGUACUUACUCGCCAUAACACCAUGCCGCAAAGCGUUUGGAUCCAAUGGAAAAAACACCAUGACCAUUUAGCAAAAGAAAACCACAUUAUGAAGUCUAAGAUUGCUUGUGCUCACUGGUCUUGGUACCACCUCUAUACUAAUCAAAUGAGGACGUUAGUGCCCCUCUACACUGUUGUCCCUUACACAACUUUUUUUCUUGAACAAGAGAAACUUUUCGGUGAUGAAAUAAAAAGAUUCUAAGAUCUCCCUUUUCGUAUGAUUUUGCUCCAUUUAUAUAUCUCCUUUUUUUUUCUUUAUUUAAUUUUAUUAUCAAAACAAUUCCUUUCAUUGACUAAGAAUCAAAGAAUAUAAUAACAUACAAAAAAAAGUUAGCCCACAGAAAACCCCUUAAAAAAAUGGACUCUAGUUAAGAAUAAUGUUGCCUAGCGAAUAAUUACAAAAAAAGUUUACAAGAAUGAAGCCCAAGAGAGAUGAGAAACUUAACCAUAAACCAGAGAUCGUUAGUAUCCCUGUUCACACCCCCAAACACCUUGUUAUUUCUCUUCCCAAAAUAUCCAAUUAUAGAGCACAAACGGAUGUAAUCUAAGUAACCUCAAGGAGAAAUACUCCAACAACAAAAGAUUAUGGAUUUUUUAUUAGAAUGAAUAAUGUGUUUCAUACCAGAGGAAAAGACUCAUAUUUAUAGAGUUCUAUUACAAUUGGGGUAAAAAGGGAAUUAACCUAGAAUAUUACCUAAUUACCCAAUUAACCCUUAGUCUUCUUACAUAACAGACUCUAGCAAGCCACAAAAAACACCCCUUCCCAAACAAAGAUGGAUCGAGGAGAAACUCCCUUAUCAAGUCAUUAAUGAGCAUGGACAAAACCAAAUUCCUAAAAGAUAUGGUUCCAAGUAGAACUCGAGAACUCACAACCCCAUAGAAGGUGAUCAGGUCUUCCUUAGCGUUUUGAAAAGAGAAUACAACAAAAAUUCCCAUAACAAAGAUGACAACCUUGUAAGCUGAUCCAAGGUGUUCAGACGGCCAUGUAAGACUUGCCAAACAAAGAACCUGAUUUUCUUGAAAAUAAUAAUCACGUAUUAGUAUUCCUAAGAAUGAUUUGAAACAGUCAAUUAUAGUCGCAUGUAUUAUUAUUCCUAAUAAUCACAAGUAUCUACUUCGUUUCUUAUAAAAUAACCUUGUUUACAUGCUUAUACCUAUCCAACAUAAAAGAAGUGAUCUAAUCCACAACAAUCGAUUAAAAUAACUUAAUCCUAUGUUAAAAACAAACGGCAAAGAUGUAACAAUUUGACAAGAAAUCUACCCCCAUUUGAAGCAAAACCAAAACAUUUCCAAAAACUAAAGUAACAUGGACUCAAAAUAAAAUUGCAGAUUUAUAGUUAGAAUUUUCAAUGGCUACCCCAAACUCUUAAUCUUAUAAGAAAAAAGGAUUAUCAAAAUAGUUAAACCAAGUGAUCAUACUCAAUUGGCUUCUUUAGAUCAUUCAAAGUGUUAGCAGCUUCAUCUAACUUCUUUUUGGCCUCCUUUUCUUUUUCCUUAACUUCCAAGUAUUCGGCCUUUUUCAUGUCAUACUUUAACCAUGGCAGUUUCUUUUUCAUGGACUCAACCUACAAAUGACAGCAGUCAGCAAACAGAUAUCUAUGGUCAUCAGUCAUGGAAGCACAAACAUAAAAGGUAAAAGCUAAUGGAGAAAUGAUCAAAACCUUUUUUAAAAGUUCAUCUCUUUGACGAACAUGCUCAACAUCUUUCUCUUGCUCAACAUUUAAUGCCUUCAACUGAUCUAGGGUGUCACCAUUUUUCUCAACAGCCUAAACCAAAGGCAAGUUGCAAAAAGAUUCAUGAAGGUUUUGCUUCUUGUUCUAAAAAAAGAAAAAAAAAAAAGAUAACGAAGGUUCUUCUAUUCACUCUCCUAUUUAAUUUUAAAGACAUAAUAAAAAUAGCACAUGGAAUGAAAAACAAAAAAGAUUUUGUAAAACAAAAGCAGACAAAAAGGAUAAGAAACCAACAUGAGACAAGGCCCAAAAUUAUGUGCACGAGUUAUUCUAAACUUACUCUUUCAAUACUUUUUAUGCCAUGGCUUUUAUCAACAAGUGCACGAUGUAGGAUAGGAAGUUGAGGGUCACCAACUGCCUUUUCCGUCUCUUCUAAAAGUUGCACAGGAGUUAAUUUGGCAAAUUCACAAACCCUGUCCUGUGGUAAAAACUGAACCCCUCUCCCACAAGAGAACGGGAAAAAUACAUCAAAACAGAGUAACUUAAUUCACAGGAAUUAUAUAUGCACGGAACCACGCAUGCGCGUGGGCGCGCGCACACACACAUAUAUCAGAUAAAAGUUGGCCAAAUUUUACUCACUUGAGUUAAAUUAUUAACUUGAAUAUUAAACCUUUGAAUAAUUCCAGCUACAUCUUUUUUCGGCACAACUUUUCCUGAAGAAGGUCAAGUACAAGUAAGAGCAACUUUUUUUACAUAAAAACAACCUGACUAUUCACCCCUUCAAGAAAGAAAUGAAAAUUGAACUUUCCAGAGAUAUAUAGUUUCUUCCUUAGACAAAUGUCUCGUGGAAGAGUGUGUGUAAAAGAAAAACUUCCACACGAGAGAAAUCUAUAUUUCUAGAAAUGCUCACAAAGAAAUAUCCUUGAGGAACAGAACAAUUAAGUAUUAAACAAUGUGUGGUAGGGGCACAUAUCAUGCAAAACACUGACCAGAAAAUGUAAGGGGUUUUCAAUGCAAGGAAAAGACUUUUAACUCAUGCUCCCUUUUAUAAAGAUAUCUUUAUACAUAGAAAUAAAUAGAUAAAAGAACCAGAAGCAUGACAUGUUCGCAGAAAAAAGAACACAGUGUUUCCCGCCGUAGCUGAAGCCCACCUAAGUUUAUCAUAUAGUGAUAUUACUAGACUUGCAACUAUCUUGGCUCAUAAAAUCAGAUUAGUAAUUUGUCAUCCUUGCACAGUGGUCAUGCCAAUCUUCUCUGUACCGUUCCAAUUUUAUCGGAUGUCCCAGCAGGGACAUAAAAUCAAACUAGUAAUGAACUUAUCAGUUAGAAAGGUCGAGGACUCGAAGAUAUGGACCAUAUACAAGAUAGCUCACCAUUGAACAGCCACUCGGAUUUGUUGUGCGUGUCCAUUUUACGUGUAAUUGUAAUCUUUUCCUCUUUAGUAUUCCCUCUCAAGGUUAUUCUAACAUAACCAGACUCCUCCCCACGCUUCACGUAUGCUCCAACACUGGUUGCCCUUCCAAGGAGCUGCAAAAAAAGAUUCUAACCAAUCUAUACAAGAAAACAAGCUAGAAAAGGAAUUCCUCCGUGAGAGUAUCAGGCAUAUUAAUCAACAUUUAACCAACCUGAGGCUCACCACCAAGGCCAAGGGCAAUAGCACACACAAUAGAGCUUUUACCAGAUCCAUUAGGCCCAAUUACAAGGUUUAGACGUGAUCCUGGUUUACAUUUCAGGUGGUUAAAGGUCAUAAAGUUAUGAAGCUCAAUCUCAAUUAUACUUCCAGGCAUAUAAUCAUCUUCCCCCCUGAAGAACAAGAAAGUGUAAAACAUUCAGUAUGAUGUAAAAUAUAAGUAAUAUAAAACACUGCACAUACAUUUCAACCCUAAAUCUGCAUAAGAAAAAUGAACACAAAUAAAACUGCAAUAUUAAUUCAGUGAAAUUUCCAAUUUUACAAUUAUUGGUUAUCACCUAUAAGAAUGGCAACACAGUAAUAAGAUAUAAAAUAUUGUAUUUAAUGAGUUUUCACUCCGUGCUAAUCUCGUUUCAACAUGUUCAAAUCUUUUGCUCUUGAACCUAAGGACACCUCAGUGUCGGAAACUUCAAUAAGAGAAACUUGGCCCAUCUAAUGGGAUUGGAAACUCUUAAAGAAUGAAGAGUUGGAAAUUCAAGUAACUUCUUUGUUGAGAAAUGUUGGUCUGAGGAGAUUUAAAGGUGGAAAACUGAUUUUGGAAGAAACCUUAAGAAUUUAGAGGCUAGUGAGUGGGCCAGCUUAUCAAAUUUACUUCAAGAUGUUGUUCUCAACCAAGAUCCUUACUCGAAAAGAUGGAAGUCAUACAGCAGUGCAGUAGUGGGUUUUUUUUUUCUUGUACAACCAUUUGAAUCAUGAUGAAUAAAAUUCCAGGACUCUUUGUAAAUCUUAACUCAUAUUCUUUGUUUAUUUUUAACGGUCAGUUUAGCUACAUUAUGUCUUAGUUGGCUUAAGUUAUUUAGACUAACCUUUGUGAUCUUACCCCUUUCCCUCAAGCAGAACCUAUAUAAAAAGGACACAGUUUGCCAGAAAGAAUGAUGGAAGAUUGCUUGUGGAAAUCCCAAUCUCACCGAAAAAUGAAUUGGAAGAUCCAAAAAAGAAAACAUAAAAACAAUUAGUAGAGAAAAUACCUAAAGAUAACAUGUUUGAGUGGCUCAGGAUGAAAGCUAGAGACACGCUUUAACACAUGGAAAUUGAAAGAGAAAUGGUGUUUCUAGCCUUCUAACUAGGAGAGAAAGCUCUACAAGCAUCCUCUGGUGCAUGUAAUAAGGAAAUAACCUAUAAAGUGCUUCUUUAAGAGUUAAACUUUCAUUGUUGUCCAUAUUUCAAAGCUUUGGAAAUUUUAGUUCAAAUCCUUUGUUCAUGGGUGAAAGAUGAAAACAUUGCUUGUUUUUCUUCCCCUUCCCUCUAUAGAAUGCUUAGCCAAGGUCCAAAGUAAAGAAAUUGUUGAGGUUCUGACCUUUCCCAAACCUACCCAUUCAUAUAUAGGUUUAGGAUGGCCACUAGGUUGUGGAGAGUUCAUUGUGACACUAAAUGCCCUAAAUUUUUCAAGAUUACAUCCAAAAGUUAGAAUCUUCCACUUGUUUAAAUCUCGUCUAGCAAAAUCUUCAUUUAAAGAUUUUUGUAAGAUGAGAUCCCACAGAACUUAUAAUGACAUAAAAAACAGGGGAGUUCUUUACAAUAGAGAGGUCAUCAAGGUUAAGAAUUUCAUGACAGGACCUAGUUUCAAGUCCCUGUGCUCUUCCCAAAAAAGAAAGCCACACACCAACACCUAGACCUCUCCAGUGAUUUAAACCUUCAAAGGAUAAGAGGGUCAACAAAUCAACUAUGACAAACAAAAUAUUUGGUGAGAGUAAGAAUGAGCAUGUAAGAAUUGACUAAGACAGGAUGCUUAGCACUUUUUUUUUCUGGAUAGAAGAUGUACAGAAUUUGUUUCAGCUAACAGCUACUCUCCUUUUUUGUUGCUAAAUUUAGCCACUUUUCCAAAUAGUAUAAUAACAGGAAUUUAACGUUCUGUUGUUUGGCCAAAUGCUGGGAUAUGUUCCCCUUUCGUUAUCUCUUUUUUAUGUCUACUUCCACUUAGUAAAUUGUACUUAAUGCAAGCACAUUGCUCAAGCUAAUUAUCAUGAGCAACACUGAACAGAUUAUUUCCACUUCUGAUUUUCUCUUCCUUGCCUCUGUUAUUCUGUUAAUCUGUUCAAUAGAUUUAAUAUUAAACAUUAAAAAAAAAAAAAAAAGGCUAUAGCAAAUAAUUCCAUAAACAAACAGGAGUAUGAAAAGGGAAACUUUUGGCUCGUUUGGCAAUGACAAGAAACAGAAGACCACAAAAUAUGUCAAGAAGCUGAAUUUUCACAAGUUCAAACUCUCCAAGACCACGAGAAGAACUGCAAUUCGAUGUGAUGGAAGCUCAAAAAUAUAAAAACUUCCAGUUUUCCAUCCACUUUCUCGGCAUCCAAACAUGUGCCACAGAACUACAGAAGCAAAACCCUAGUUCUAUUCUAACACCAUUAUCACACUAAAGUAGAAAACACACGAGCAUAAAACGGAAUGGAAGAAAAAUACAAAUAUUUUAACAGUGGGCCAACAAUUGAAUGAAGGUGAUACAGACCUCGUAAUUCUAAGGCGCUUAGCGCGAUGCUCGGAUUCCGCCAUAGCAUAGAGGUUGGUGGAGCUUUGCCUUGCAGAUACGAAAUUUCAACGAUCCCGUUUAGAAAAGGUGAUCAGUGAGAGUUAGGGUUUGAGUGAGCGACUUGGAACUUGGAAGAGGACAGUCGGGGAAAUGGCGCCAACUAAAAAUCGAACCGUUAAACAAAUUUGUGUUUCAUUUUGCAUUUCUUUUCCUUCUUAAUAAUACCAUUUUUUAAAUUUUAUCAUUAUGUUAACUCUAAGAGAAAAUACUCCUAAACUUUUUAUUGGGUUAAAACACUUCCACACUUAAAGAAAAAUAUUCAACAAUAUUAUUAAAAGUAUGGACAAUUCAAAUAUACAAACACUUUUUUGGAGAUGCUAACCAACUAUAUAACAACAAUAUUUUAUGGGUAUAGAAAAUCUACCUGUAGUUCAUAGAUUGCUACCAAACGAUAUCAUCUAUCGCUAGUUGACUUUAAGAGCUAAAUCUAAAUUUUGUUACAUUUGUAAAUUCUAUUGUAUUGCAUUCAUUCAACUAAUUGCAACUGACUCUAUCUUUAAAUCAAAAAUAUUAAAAACGUUUUUGUUGUUAUUUGAAAAUCGUAUUCCUUGUUUCAAAACACCCUUUAACUUAACAUUCGUUUUAGAUAAAGAAAAAAAAUAUCAGGUUGAGUUUGAAGAUACUUAUUGACAAAAGUAUGUUAAGAAUUUGGAUUAUAGUUUUUAAAACAAUUAAUAAGAGAGAAAAGUAAACAAAAUGUGCGUGCAUUAGUGCAUUUUUAGUGAUAAAGACUUGGUUGAUUUCGUUGUUAUUUAAAUUAAUAUAUUUGUUGUGAUAAGUUAAGAAGAAUGUUGGCCUCUUGUAUUAAUAGCUAAGAAGAUAAUCAAUCAAAUCCUAAGUUUUUGAUUGUCAAGAUGAGCGUACGAUACAAUGUUUGUAUAUCAAGUUCAAGUUUAGAUGUUUGAUUCUCCACAUCAUGCUUUAAUACAACAUUUUUGUUAAAAAGAUUAAGCCUUUGAUUGUGCACCUACUGCACAAAAGAGGCAAUCAUAUAUCUAAGUUUUCUCAAACAUAAUUGAACCAUAUGUUGUUCCUUAGAGAUUAUAUAUGUCGAAGAAAGACAGUAUAUCUUUGGAAGAUAGAGAUUUUAUCAAAGGUCUACAAAGAUGAACACUUUUGAGAGCAUACCAAUAUUAUAAAUUAGCAUGUGGUAAAACUACGUACACUUCUACCUUUUUACAAAUAUAAUUGUUAGCCCUUUGAAAUUAAUGUGGCUGAACUGAAAUCUUUUGAAGAAAACCAAUUACUGUAUGUUUGACUAGACAUGUGCCUUCUUUAACCAUUUGACAUUCACUGUGAACUUCGUCUCUGAAUAUUUAAUAGGAAUCAAGCAGGUGUAUAACAAAAUAUACAAUUGAAAAACAUCCAAUAAUAAUGUAUUUCUUUCGACAAGAAACGAAACGACAUACAAAGACGAAACACGAGAUACACUAUAUAUCUCAAUAGAAAUUCAUUCCAAAAAGAAAAGAAAAAAAACCAAGAAUACAUGAUAGCAGUCGCAAACUUUAAUUAUAAGCAGUGUUCACCUUACCAUAAGGAAAACGACUGAACAAAAGAAGAGCUUACACUUGUGUACAGAAUGGAAGUCUUUUUCCACAGCCUUGAUUAAACUACACAAUCCUUCAUUAAAUCCCUUUUCUUUGUCCCUCCACAGAGCAUCUGCGUGUUUCUCAUCUCUAUUUAGAAGCAAAACACCAUCAAAAUAUUGCAAGAUUCAAAAAGCAAGCUCCAACUUUAUUAUGAAGAUCCGACUUAAGUUGCAAGAACUUAGAGUUGAAUUAGAUGGCUCAGCUCUUGUAAUCCUUUUAAUCUUAAUCAAUUCUGUUAAUCUGAAAUCUCAAUAUCUGAAGAUCACUCAGCUCACCCAAUCUUUUUGGUAAAUAGGUGAGACUCAAACAUCCGCAUAUGCUAAGAUGCUUAAGGUUGAUCAACUUUUUUGUAUCUUCUGGGAAUUCUUCUAAUCUCAAACAACCAUGAAGGAUGAGUUCUUCCAAUUUACACAAGUCACUAAUAGAAUCUGGCAGGAAUUUUAAAUUUCGAUUAUUAGAAAGAUCUAAAUGCUUGAGGUUGAUCAAAUUGCCGAUAUUAUCGGGCAACAUUUUAAAACUGGAAUUCCGAAGGAUCAGUGUUUCUAAAUUAUACAAUUCUGUAAUGGAAUCUGGAAGAUUUAAAAUAAAUGAGUCCAUAAUACUCAAAUAUCUCAAAUGUUUCAACUUACCAGUAAACUCCAAAACGAUCAUUGCAUUCUUCAAAUUUUUGAAAUACAAGGCUCGUAAUUGCAAAUGAUCAUGAAGUAUUUUUGUAAAUUCCCAUUUCAAAUCAUUUGCAGAAUCUAGCAUGAAAAAUGUUCUCAAAUUUGUCACCUUUGAUAAUGAUCUUAGAAGUUGAUCUUUAUGAGAAUAUUGAUCUUUCCAUGAAAAGUGACGAGUUCCUAUGUUGAUGACAUUGCAUUCAUUAUCUGCUAUCCAACAAGCAAGAUCAUGCAUCAAAUCAUGCAUCUUACAUGCUAUUAUGUCUCCCCGUUCAUUUUUUGUAACCUCUUGAAAAAAUGAUCGUGAUAAUAACUCCAUGAAAUAAUCAUUGCCAAUAUCAAUGAGGCUGUUGUCCUUGCUGCCAUUUGGUUGAAUGAAACCUUGCGCACUCCACAUUAGUAUAAGUUCAUGUGUUUUAAUUUCAUAAUCUUUCGGGAACAAAGCACAGUAUAGGAAACAUUGCUUCAAAUUAGCUGGAAGGUAUUUAUAGCUGAGUUCAAGAAUUAAUCGCACUUCUUUUAGAUUAUCUUGUCCUUGCCCCAAAAUUCGAUGAAGUUCAUUAUCUUUGAAAGACAACCAAACUCUUUUUGAUUUAUUGUCUUUUAAAAGUCCUCCGAUGGUUCUUAUCGUGAGAGGAACACCUUUUAGCUUUGAAACGAUUUCCCUGCCAAUUUGUAUCAAACUUGAACUUUGAUCAAGCUUCUCUGGAUUACUUGGAUGUCCUUCCAAACAAGUAAUUUUUUGAAACAAUAACCAGGAAUUGUACUCAUCCAAAAUUUGUAAAAAAUGGAUGAAAGUAGAGUCAAAAGUUUUAGCAACUUGUUCACUCCGUGUUGUGAUCAAAAUCCUACUACCCUUUGCACCGCCCAUCAAUAAUCUUUUAAGGCGUAACCAUUCCUCUUUUUUCUCAUUCCACACAUCAUCCAUUACGAAUAAGUAUUUCUUUCCAUCGAUUUUCUUUCUAAGCUCACUUUGUAAUGAAUCUAUUUGAAGGUACGGCUUAGGCUUCGUCCCAGUUGCAGACUCUAUCAUCUUUUGGAUAAUAACUUUUAGAUCAAAUUCUUCAGAAACACACACCCAUAACUUCAAUUCAAACCCACUAUUAGUCAUAUUGUGAUGGGUAUAAAUAGACUGAGCAAGGGCAGUCUUUCCCAGUCCUCCCAUUCCAACAAUGGAAACAAUUGCAAUAUCCUCUGUGAUGUUGGAAUUUAAUAGAAGAUCUAUGACUACUUCCUUGUCAUCAUUCCUACCGAUCACUUCCUCUUCAAGUAUGUAAGAGUAAGUCUCCCGUCUCUUUCUCAACUCUUCAUCAUCUCUUUUCUCGAUCACAUGCUCAGAAAAGCUAAAUUGAUUUUUGUCAUCAUUAAUAGAUUGUAGCCUCUGUCUAAUAUCCUUGAUUUUGUGAUCUAUUUUCCAAUUAGAUUUAAAUUUGGAAAAGAGGAUACGUACUAGUUUUCUUUUUCUCUGAUCUUUGGCCAAAACCUGCCUUCUUAAGGUUUCGUAGGAGGACUCGUCCACCAGGUCAUCAAUCUCGUACAAAGCAUCCUUAAGCCUUGAAACCCAAGCCUUGACAGCAAGGCUCUUGGACUGCUGCUCCUCCGCAUCGAGAAGCACAGCUUGAAUGGCAGAAAGCGAGUGUUUGAGUUUGUCGAGUUCAUCAUUGACACCCCACAACAACCCAAGCUCCUGUAGUGCGGAAGAGCCCAAUUUGAAUAUGAUGUCUGCAGUAACGUUGUAGAGAAUAGCUUCAGCCAUGGUGGAUGAAAAAGGAGCAAAAUUUUGGAGGAAGGGUAGCAACUUAGAUCAGGUUGAUAAACAAGUGAGUACUUAAAUUUAGCUAAAAUAAAUUUGGGAUACAAAAGUCCUUGUGGAUAAAGCAAAAGGUGACUAACAACACCAUAUUAUGUAUACACGCAUAUAUACGUAUCACUUUUUCAAUAUCAACAUACCAUGCACAAGUAACAUAUUUUAUUUUGAAGAAUUGUAGGCCAUAUACUCAUCUCAGUUUUCCAUACAUUUCCAUUAAUUAAAGUAUGAAAAUAUAUGUAGGUAGGAAGAUGGCUGAAGCUCCAAACUUGAUUCCAUUAACAUGGCUUAUACCAAACACAAGCUUUGCCAUUAACUUUUAUAGAUGAUCUUGGUCUAUGCACUCAAAUAAUAAUAUAAUGUUAGUACUACCAGUUUGUGAGAUGCUUCUUAUUUUUUUAUUCAAAGAUAGAAUAACUUUAAAAAAAGAAAAAGGUAGUGCAUAUUCAUUGUUCACACAUAAUGACCCCAAAGUGACCGAAAGAACAAGAAUAAAAGGAUAUAAAGAAACAACAUGAUAUCGAUAAAGUUUGAGUCAAUUAUUUACACUAUAUCCAAUUGAGUCCUUCUUUAUCAUCGUUGGAAAUACAAUCACAAAUAGCAAUAAUUGAUAGACAAAAAAUAACUUUGAAAAGAAAAAGAUAAACUCCAAAUUUCUCUUGGACGAUUAAAGUCUAGAAAUAAUUAUGUACUCAACUGGAUAAAAGAGAGCAUCUAAGUUUUCUCAAAUCUUUAGAGCAUUUAGAUGUGACUUGAAAACCAGCGCAAUGAAAAUAUUGAAUUUGAAUAUGGUUGUUUGGUUCUAAUAAAAAAUAAGGAUAUCUAUGUAUAGAAUGUAUAGAAUUCAGUACGUCAUGAAACCAAACAUUGACACAAACAACCAUUGCCGACGUAGGUAAUGUGGGUUGAUUUAGACAAGCAAGCCCGACGUUUUAAUUCAAAACAUCAGACUUGAUCCAUCAUUUUCAUUUAAAAAAAUUUUUCAUCCAUGUUUCUCUGACACACAUGAAAAACACGUCAGGGAAACGUAAUAUAUUAAUUUUAUUGUUAACCUUUCCCCGACGUCGAGGACAAAAACAUCGAGAAGGUUGAAAUAAAUAUUUAAAUGUUGAAGUUUUCCCGAAGUUACUAUACAAACGUCGACCGUUGUACAAACCAAGGUCGACAUACGCGUUGACCCCGUCGAGGAAUCUUUGGAAUAACUUUUACUGAUUAAUUUUUUUCAACGUGUCACUUAUGACGUUGGAGAAAGUCCACCCUAUUUGUUUUGUAUUCAUAGAACACAGACAAAACAUUAAUCCGCAUUUGAAAUGGUUAUGGGGGAAAAGGUAUUUUCUUCAGCACACUUCACAUUGUAUGCUUGUUUUUGCUUCUAUAUUUUUCCAAUAGUGUAAUUUUCUCAAAGUUUUUCUAUUGUUGUGAAGAUGUUAAAGUUGAAGAAUCAGAUUAGAAGGGAAAUUGAGCUAAGAAACAAAGGUCAGAAGAGGCUUAAACUCUUGAUAAAAAGGCUUGAAUCCCUCAACAACAUCAGAAAUUUUCACAAAUUCCUCACCCUCGAAGGAAAUGGAAAGCCAAAAAUCAAAAUUAGAGAAGCUCGUUUCAACGAUUCAGAAAAUCACAAUGCCAGAAAAUUCUCAAUAUUACCAUAUCAAACAACUCCGAAUCUCGUAACACUUCCUACGUUGAUACGCAACAUACCUCUCAAAUCCCUCACACAAAAGAUCAAAGGUACUAAUAAUAAUUAAAUAAAUAAAUAACAAAUAUAUAUAUAUAUAUAUAUAUAUAUAUAUAUAUAUAUAUAUAUAUAUAUAUAUAUUUAUCCCGACGUCAUUUACAUACGUCGGGGUAAGCGUAUAUGCCGACGUCGUUCAUUUUGAGCGUCGCCUGAAAUUUUCCUAACGCCUUUUGUCCAACGUUCUUGCCAACGUAGGAUUGGACGUUGGCAUUACUUUGGCCGACUCACUUUGAAGUUCUGCCAACGUUUUAAUGCGUCAGAAAUAUCCAGUUUCUUGUAGUGCAGCCAACCCUUACAUCUAAAAUAAUAUUGACUUUAUUUUAAUGUGUUAACACAUUUAGCUACUAUUCAAAUGACUUCUUCUCUAUGUGAAUAUCUAAUAGGAAUUAAAGGAAGGUGGAAAUUAAAUAAACAACUAAACAAUUGGAAGAUGAGAAGGAUGAAGAGAUGCACCUGGAUAUCUCACCUAGGUUACUUAGUGUCACAAUCGCAAUCUUUCAAAUAUGGAACGGGCGAUUGUACUACGACACUUGCUUUAACUCAGUGAACAAAUCCGCCGUACUAAAUCGAAAAAUCACUGAUCAAACAAACAACGCCUUGGAGAAACAUGCUCGUAACACUCAGCAACCCAUCAUACUCCAAGCCUACCACUUUAUGAGACGCCUUUACUUUUGUUUGUCUCUUUUUCAACUUCAAAGGCAAAUCAACUUUAAUUUUAAAAAGAAAAAGGUAGUGCAUGUACAUACAUAUCUUAAAGUGAUUGAAAAAAAGAGGAAUAAAAGAUCAAAUGAGAAAAGAAAAGAAAUAAAACAUCAGAAUUGCAUUAAAGUUGAGACAAUUAUAUUUCACAUCAUCCAAUUAUGUCUUCACAAACGUAUGCCAUAGAACUAGGGAAGCAAAACCCUUGUUCUAUUCUAACACCCUUUAUCACACUAAGGUAGAAACAUAGGAACACAUAAAUAAUGGGAAGAAAAAUACAAAUAUUUCAACAACCGGCCAACAUUGAGUGAUGAUGAUACGAACCUCGGCUUCCGCCAUAGCGUAAAGGGUUAGUCGAGGUUUUCCUUGUAGAUAUGAAAUUUCAAUGAUUCCGUUUAGUGAAGGUGAUCGGUGAGUGUUACUACAUGCAUGCAGAUUAGUUAAUCCAAAAUUUAAUCUUCAAUUUAUGAAAAUCAAUGCAUGCGAUUACCAAAUGCUAAAGUUGAUUUCACCUAAGCCAAGCCAAUUGACUUGACUUAAUUAACUUAUGAAACACUAAUUGAAUCAAUGAGACCAUGUAUUUUCAAUUUCAUAUCAAUUGCAUUUAAGAUCGUCUAGGGCAAGUUAGAUUGAGUAGUAUAUAUUUAGUUUUCAAGCAGUACCUAACUAAAAUAUUCAUGCAACAAGUCGUAGUGAAUACAAGUCGUUGGUUUACAAGCUGUAAUCAAGAAAUCAUCAAUCGUACGAUGCCGUGAUACAUAUUUCAGUAAAAACACAAUUGAAUCCACAACUAAAAGACAAUUCGGUUCUCAAACUCACAAUUAAUUAAAACACACAACUUAGUUAUACAAGUCGUUGGUUCAUCAUCACAAGCUGUAAUCAAGAAAUCACCAAUUGUACUAUGUCAUGAUACAUAUUCCAAUAAAAACAUAAUUGAAUCCACAAUUAAAAGACAAUUCGGUUCCAAACUCACAAAUACUUAAAAUAGUUAGAGAAAAUUCUUAACAAUCCAAACUAGAAAUGAGUACCUUAGCUCAUUCUCGACAUUUCAAGCAAUGUGGAAAAGAUAAAAAGAACAUGAAGCAACAAAAAAAGAUGCAGAAAGUUGAGUGAGGAUGAGUUAUAGCCAACUGAAAUUGGAGAGAGCUUGACCUAGAUGGUGGACGAAUUAUUUAUAAAAGUGUAACCAUGUCGUGAGACUAUGCUCCUUUCAUAUUCAAAGGCAGCUACUACCUUACUAGUGUUGUUCCAUGAGCCGUCGUGGUGCUGCAAGGUAGAGGUUAUUUAAAUUAACCUCUUUUGCACUCAUUGACUCUGGUGUAUGCGUAUUAACUUCAUCUACACCCAAUUAAGCUUUAAUUUGACACAAACACCGUAUUCUACCAUUGAUUGUAUCUCAUAACCUACAAAAUGGUCAAAUAAGAACGUCAAAUUAUAGAAUAAUCAUAAUUAAAGGAAAUGAGAUAACACAUUUUCAGUGCUUUCAGGUCAUGUCUCCUGAUUGAGAUAAGAGCACUUUAUUAAAAGAGGAAAAUAGACCUUCAGCGAACCCUUUAGUUGGGAAUGAUAACUUAGAGAGAUAACCAAUCUCUUCUAACACCAACUAAAUAACCAUUUCAAAUUUAUAUUUUUGUUUUUUUUAAAUCAUGUUUUUAAAUUUUUGUUUAUUGAAAACAAAAAUAAUGUAUUUAUUUGAAAGCUUCGUUUUUCAUUUUCAAUUUUUCUUCGUAAUUUUAAAAUCAAGUUUCUUGUUUAAAAACAAAAAAAAGACAAAAAAAAAAAAAAAACUAGUUACCAUACAACACUUUUUUUUUUUUUUUUAAAUACAGCUAUAUAUACUAAUAUUUUGAAUAUUAUUUUCAACUGUUCAUUUAUAAAUAUAGCGUUAUUUAAUUGAUUAAAAUUAAAGGAAGACAAAAUUUGUAUCUAAAUAAUAAUAAUAAAAAAAGUGUGUGGUAUAUGAAUUAGUGUGAACUUAAAAAGGGAUUAUAUUGUGAGAAGAAAUACCUCCAAAUGUAUAUCCAAUGCUCUCCUUCAAUCAAUAAGAACGUCAGGAAUAUGGGAAAUGUUAGGCCAAUCCUCUCCUCCCUCCUUGCAUCUCUCCCCAAGUUGUGGGCACUUGAUUAUGUUAAGUUGCACCAAAGAUUUGAGCUGUUGCAUUUCCUUUGGAAGUGAUUUUAAUUUUGGACAUUCUUCUAUUUCCAAAGAUACAAGAGAAGUAAGGGUGCCAAUCCAUUCCGAUAUACUCAUGACAGAUUUUAAACCCUCUAAAUUUAGAAUUUCAAGAGCAUGAAGAUGGGAGAGUUGAUUCAGAUGUAAUCUAUCACAAUUACCAAUUCGAAUUCCCCUUAACAAAAUUGAGGUGGACACCCAAUUGGGUAAUCCUACUCCACAAUACCCUUCAAUUUGCAAGAGAUUAACAUAUGGAUGUGGUUCUAAGCCUUCCAAUACUAUAUCAUCAGCAUCACCUUCAUAUUCAUUACCAUUCUCAAAUUUCCAUUUCAGUCUCAAAAGUGGGACUUUUUUGUUUUUAAGAUUUACUGAUUUGACGUCUGAUGGAGAAAACCUCAACUGCUCCAAACCUUUGAUUUUUAAGUCAAAUUCUAUAAAAUAACUCCGCUCACUGAAUUCCUUUACCUUAUCAAACCUUUUACAAUCAAACAAAAAUGAACUUAAUGUUUGUAGACUAGUCAACUUCUCCAUCGUCCCUUGCAGCAUAUUCAUUAAUCUUGAAUCACAAAGAAGAUGUCUGAGGUUUACAAAAUUGUUAAUAUCCCUUGGCAACUCCUUUAGGUCAUAACACUUGGUUAGAUCUAGUGUUUGCAAAUUUUGCAAUUUCGUGAUGGAGUUUGGAACUGAUUUCGCAUCUUCACCGAGUUCUAGAUAUCGAAGAUGUCUAAGCUUUUUUAUUGACUUUGACACAUUAGGGAUUUGUAAUACUCGCAAACGUGGAAAGUGAGAAAACAGUCUGUCCAAAAGAACUUUUUCAAUUGGAUUUCUCGUAAAGAAAGGAUUUUUCGUAAACAAAAGGAACGUUCUUAAUCCUUUAGCUUGUUGCAAUUUGGACACAUCAUCAAUCCAUGAUCGUGGUUCAUAUUCAAAUGAAAUAUGACGAGUUUGUUCACUCACAACAUAUCCACUCUCUGGAUAUCCACGUAUGUACAAUUUCUGUCCAGCUACCUCUCUUGCAAGAUCACACAUCAAAUCAUGCAUGCCAACUUCUUCAAAAGGAACAUCCUCAAUAGAAAUUUCAUAGAAAAACCUCCAACAUAAUUCAUCCAAGUACUCCUUCCCAAUAUUCUCUACAGAUUUUCCUCCAUUUGAUGAUUCGAUAAAACCUUGAGCUAUCCAUUGUCUAAUCAAUUCAUUCAUUCUAAUUUUGUAUCCUUUGGGAAACAAGGAUGAAUAGGAAAAACAUUGCUUCAAAUUUGGUGACAAAUGGUUAUAGCUCAAUUUUAAUGUUGAUAUCACAUGACCAUCAUUAUUAUUUUUUUCACGAGUGACAUUUAAAAGUUCAUUUUCUUUGAUGAACUCCCAAUCUUCUGCGGAAGUUUUUCCAUAUAAUAAACGUCCUAUGUGUCUUAUUACAAGAGGAAUACCUCCACAUCUUUUUGAAAUUUCUUUUCCCAUUUUUAUCAAGUUUUGAUUUAUUGACUCUAAGUCACUUUCUUUAAAUGCCACUUCUUUAAACAACAACCAAGAAAAAUCUUCAGUUAAGUCUUUUAGAGGAAUUGUUUCGACUCCUGGAACUGCUUUACUGUCACGCUUUGUGAUCAAAACCUUACUCCCUCUUGCACCAAGCAUUAACAGGUUUUUCAAAUUCUCCCAUUCAUUUUCAUUUUCAUUCCAUACAUCAUCCAUAACUAACAAAUACUUCUUUCCUCCAAUCACUUCUUCAAGCUUUGUCUUUAAAGGUUCCAUUUCUUCUACCUUUGGUUUCUUUUCGGUUGCUGAUUCAAUUAUCUUUUUCAAUAUUGUUUUUGUGUCAAAUUGAUUAGAAACCCAAAUCCAAAUUCUUGAACUAAAACCAUCAGAGACUUGUUUGUCAUUGUAGAGAGAUUUGGCCAAAGUUGUCUUGCCAAUUCCACCCAUUCCAACAAUAGCGAUGAAUGAAACGUUAGCUUUCACCUUGUCAUCCUCUGCUAGUAAAUUUUUUUUAAGGUUGUUCAUUUCAUCAUCCCUUCCAAUUAUUUUCUGAUCCCCACUUAAAGAUGAGUGAGUAUCCCUUUCCAUCCCAAUUGGAUAAGAUAAAACAUUUUGUAUCCCAAGAUAAGCAAUUCCAUUGAGCUGAAACUUAUCUUUUUCUUGGGAAAUAACAUCAAGCCUCUCAUUAAUUUUCUUGACUUGACAUGCCAUCCUAUAGUUAAAUGCAAGUUGGUUAGAAUUGGAGAAGAAGAUUCUAACCUGCUUUGCAUUUUUUCCUCUUGUCAUCACUUCUCGACGGAGAGCCUCAGUAGAGAUUUCAUCAAGAACGUCCUCAACAUCGUAAAAAACGUCUCCCAACUUUUCGAGCCAAUCGGUUAAAGAAUGAUCAUUGCCUUUGAUUUGACGUUGCUCUGCAUCACGAAGUACAGAUUGAAUGGACGAAACAUUGCUCCUUAGUUUGUUAAGAUCAUCAUUAAGACCACAUACCAUUCCAAGGCAUUCUAAAGCAUGAGAGCUAAGCUUCUUCAAGAUCUCCACUCCAACACCCGAAAGAAUUCCCUCUAGUGCCAUUCCUUCAAAUUUUUUUCUCUAGAUGAUUUUUUCUCACAAUACCAAAACACUUUAUAUAGUGAGAAAUACAAUCGAAUACUAAAAUGUGAAACUAAUUCGAUGGGAAUUAAUUCGAUGGGAAUUAAUUCGAUGCUUUCCCCAUUCCCACAUGUGAAACUAAUUCCAUUGUAUCAAAUACUAAAAUGAUUGGUCCAGGUUUUCUUUUUCUUUUUCUUUUUCUUUAUCGUUGGAUAAGGAACCAACGUGAGACAAGACCCAAAAUAUGUACAUAGUUAUUCUAAACUUACUCUUUCAAUACUUUUAUGCCAUGGCUUUUAUCAACAGGUGCACGAUGUAGGAUAGGAAGUUGAGGGUCACCAAUUGCCAUUUCAGUCUCUUCUAAAAGUUGCACAUGAGUUAAUUUGACAAACUCACAAACCCUGUCCUGAGGAAAAAACUGAACCCCUCUCCCACAAGACAACAAGAAAAAUAAAUCAGAACGAAGUAAUUUAAUUCACAGAAAUUAUAUACGCAUGCAUGCAGGCGCGCACACACACAUAUCAGAUAAAAGUUGGUCAAAUUUUACUCACUCGAGUUAAAUUAUUUACUUGAAUAUUAAACCUUUGAAUGAUUCCAGCUACAUCUUUUUUCGGCACAACUUUUCCUGAAGAUGGUCAAGUACAAGUAAGAGCAACUUCUUUUACACAAAAACAACUUGAUUAUUCACCCCUUCAAGAAAGGAAUAAAAAUUGAAAUUUCCGGAGACAUAUGGUUUCUUCUUUAGACAAAUCUCUCGUGGAAGAGUGUGUGUAAAAGAAAAACUUCCACUUGGGAGAAAUCUAUAUUAGGUUUAGGAUGGCCACUAGGAGAUUCCAUCCAAAAAUUAGAAUCUUCCACUUGUUUAAAUCUCGUCAAGCAAAAUCUUCAUUUGAAGAUUUUUGUAAGAUGAGAUCCCACAGAACUUAUAUUGACAUCAAAUACAGGGGAGUUCUUUACAAUAGAGAGGUCAUAAAGGUUCAGGAUUUCAUGAAAGGACCUAGUUUCAAGUUCCUGUGCUCCUCCCAUAAAAGAAAGCCACACACCAUAUUAAAUAAUAAUGCAUGUGUAUUAUUGCUGGGACUUUUUCUAAAAAACAUUAGAAGUCUUGGUCUAUGCACUUUCUACCACUUUUGAGGUGCUUUUCUUUAAUUUCGUUGUCUUUUCUUUUUUAAAGGUAAAUUAUUUUUUUCAAAAAGUUAGAGCAUUCAUAUAUAUGGUCUCAACAAAGUGAUUGGAAAAAGAGUAAUAAAAGAUACAUUAGGAUUUCAAUAAAGUAUAGAGUCGAUUAUUCAUUCACACCGGUAGUUGAGUUGGAAAUAUGAUAUUAUGUUCAUGUAUAUAUAUUAAUGUUUUGCAUCAAAGGAGAGAGAGAACAGAUUAUUACACAACACUAUUGGGGUUAGGUAAUCUCUCUUUCUCCUUCCUUUUGGUUCAUCAAAAUCCUAAAAAAGUAUUGGUAAAAAUUAAUAAUUGAUGGUUAAUUAAGAAGGAAAAAUGACAAUUAUAUUAUAUUGUAUGUAACCAAAAAUAGCAAAAUAUUAUAUUGGGACAAUACAUAAUAGUCAAGCUUGAUAGGGAAAUGAGGUGGCCGAUCUCUUCUGGCAACAAACGUAAUUUGGGACACCUAAGAAUACGCAGAUCUGAUAGUGAACUGAGUUGGCCGAUCCCUUCAAUACUCAAUAAAUUUCACAAUUUAUUAGACGCAAAGUUUUAAUAGCUGUCAUAUAUUCCAAACCCUUUGGCAAAUACUCCAAUUUGGGUAUGUCCCAAAAAGAAAGACGGCGGAGACUGCUAAGUUCUUUCCAGUACAAUAGCCUACCAUCUUCCUCAUACACUAGAUGGGAAGAAGACAUUAGUAAAUGUUUGCAAUUUCGUAUGGUAAGAGACUCAAGAUCUUUCAUAUUGCAGUUUAACACCUCUGGCAGGAACUUAAUAUCAAUAUUGUCAAUCUCAAGACUAGAUAAUUUAGACAGUGUUGAAGAAGAAGAAGAAUCCGCAGCAAGGUUUGUAGCCAUUCUAACUACCCUGUCAAAAACUUGCAAACCAACACCCCUUAUUCUCAAUGAUCGCAAAAGUGGAUGCUGUGGAAUAAAAGCCAGCUGAGGACAAUCCAAAAUCCAUAAUUCAGAAAGCUGAUGUAAUGCUGUUGCAAGAGAGGCAGUGUAUUGAGCAGAGUAAUUCGAAGCUAUUUCCCCCCUUCUCCACCCUUUCAACUUAGGCAUCUUCUUAAUCCUUAGUUUCUCAAGGGAUGGAAAAAAAGUUGUUGAUGAAGAAACAGGACUGCUAUCAUCAAUGUAUUCGAUGUUGGAUAAGUCCUUGAGAUAAAGAUUCUUGAGAUAUGGAAAUUGAUCAAAUUGAGGGAGAUGCUCCAAUUUUUCACAAUGACAAAGCUUUAUGCUAACCAGACCACCCAGGAAAGAAUCAGAUGAUACCCAAUCACAUAACUUCAUGCCUCUAUAUCCUCUUAUACUCAUUUUGCGAACAUUUGAAUGUGGUUUUAAGCACUCCAAAAUCCUCUCAUCUUCAGCAUAUGAGGCAUCAUCAAUUUUCGGCUUCUUCUUAUAUGUGUCCCAAAGUAAUUCCAAUUUUCGAAUUUCAGACUUUUCUUCAAAAUAUUUCACAUUUUCUAUAUCAGUGGUUGUGCAAAAUUGUAAUCCUCGAAUACGCAAUGAUCCUCUUAAUUGGAGCCUUCUGGAGUCCUUUCAAGAUUAUAAGUCAUUCCCUGCAAGGUCAGGUGGUUUGUGCCACCAAUAACAAAAUUGUUGCCGUUGAGGUAGCUAAGUCCGAUUAGCGCCUCAUCCGAAAUACAAGCGCCAGAUUAGAAUAAAAAAGAAAUAUCAGGAUCAUGAUCCGAAUAACCAAUUUAAAGUCGGAGAUUUGAUUCAAUUUUAGAUUUCGAUCCAAGCCGAAUCAUAAAAAAUAUUCAAUUUUAGAUUUGUACAAUCAACAUAUAGGUUGAUUAGUUACAUCCCAGAUUGGUACUUAGUUCUUUAUAUGUCUACAUAAAAAAGCAGUAGAAAACAAUUUUAUCAAUAAUUAAUUUCUGUUAUGUGAUUGGUUUAUUCUCAGACUUUUUGAAUUUUCUUCCAAUGUACUUUCAAGCAUUCUUCUCUCUCACUCUGUUGUCGCCAUCAAACCAUAUAUUAUUGUGAAGUCAUUGCAUCACUAACAAAUAAAAAUUUUAAUUUUAUGGGAAUCUUGGUUUCAAAUGUUUAAAGACAGGGAAAAUGUGGAAAUAAGAAGAUUAAUUAAUGCAUACCUCUAAUUAAUGAAUGGAGCUUUUCCCUCUUUCUCCAUCAGCAUGUUGAGAUGAUACACCGUUUCAGGCAGUCGGUAAAUUUUCUUUCAGCUUUGGAUAUUAACUAUCAGUCUUGCACCAUAGAAAGAGAGUAGAUAACUAAAUUUGGAUAAUACUUAAAAAGUUGAGAGUUUGAUAACAUGGAAAUGAUUGUUUGUUUUUUCCUAGUAAAUGUGAAAAAUGACGAAUGAGGGAAAUGGUAGGGUUGUGCAUACCUUCUUGUAAAUGUUCAAUAUCUCCUUUCACCUCCUCUACUUGUUUAGCUUCUUCCACGUCUUCGAUAACUUGGGGCAUUUUGAAACUGUCAAUGAUCCUCGCAAGGAGGACAGGUGUAAAAGUCCUUCUGGCAACGAAGUUAAAUUGAGACAUUCCUCAAUAGUGAAAAUUGACAGUGAAGUGAGAUGGCCGAUCCCUUCGGGUAACGAAGUUAAAUUGACACAACGCCUAAUUAUCAAAGUUGACAGUGAAGUGAGGUGACUGACCCCUUCUGGCAAUGAAGUUAAACAGGGACAUUCCUCAAUAGUGAAACUUGAUAAUGAAGUGAGAUGGCUGACUCCUUCUGGCAACGAAGUUAAAUUGACACAAUACUUAAUUAGCAAAGUUGAUAGUGAAGUGAGGUGACCAAUCCCUGCUGGCAAUGAAGUUAAAUUGGGACAACAAACAAUCGUCAAAUAUGAUAGUGAAGUGAGAUGGCUGAUCCCUUCUGGCAACGAAGUUAAAUUGCUACAAUUACAAAUUCUCAAGCUUGACAGAGAAGUGAGGUGGCUAAUCCCUUCAAGACUCACUAUAUUAGGACAAUUAUAUAGAUCCAAACGUUCAAGAGUUGUCAUAUAUUUCAACUCCUUCCACAAAUACUCCAAUUGUGGCAUGUCAAAAAUACCAAGCGAGUGGAGAUUUCCAAGUUUUUUCCCUAGUACGCCAUCGUUAUCCUCAUCAACAAGAUGGGAAGAAGACAUUUGCAAAUUUUUGCAAUUUACUACGGUAAAAAUCUCAAGAUCUGUCGUACUACCAAACAACUCCUCUGGCAGAAACUCAAGAUCAAUAUUCUGAAUGUGAAGAAUAGAUAAUUUAGACAAAGCUGAAGAAGAAUCAGCAGCAGGGGUUGUAGCCAUUUUUAUUACCAUAUCAAAAAGUUGCACACUAACAUCAUUCAAUGCUAAUGAUCGCAAAGGUGGAUGCUGUGGAAUAGAAGCCAACUGAGGACAAUUAGAAAUAUCUAAUCGAGAAAGGUGAUGUAAUAUUGUUGGAAACAAGGCACUGUAACGAGCAGAUUCCGGGGGGGUUUCCCCCUUCCACCAUCCUUUCAAGUUAGGCAUUGUCAUGAUGGUUAGCUUCUCAAGGGAUGGAAAGAAAGUUGAUGAAGAAAGAGAAUUGUUAUUAUCAAUGUACUCAAUACUGGGUAAGUUUUCAAGAAGAAGAUGCUUGAGAAAAGGAAAUUGAUCAAAUUGAGGGAGAUGCUGCAACUUUUCACAACUUUGAAGCUCUAUGUUGACCAAACCGCCUAAAUAAUCAAAAGAUAGCCAAUUACACAACUUUACUCCUCUAUAUCCUCUUAUCUGCAUUUUGUGGACAUUUGAAUGUGGUUUUAAGCAGUCUAGAACUCUCUCAUCAUCGUUUUCUGAUGCAUAGUCAGUUUCAGCGUCGUACAGAUCCCUAUUCCAACGUAGUUUCAGCUUCUGAAUUCCAAAUUUCUCUUCCAUAUAUUUAGCAUUUUUCAAAUCAGUAGUGGUACAAAGUUCUAAUCCUUUAAUAAGCAAGGAUCCUCUUAACCUAGCAAGUUCAUUCAACUCACUUAAAUCACAACCCUUAUCCUUCCCUAAUACAAACAAAUUCAUCGUUUGAAGGCUAGUCAACCCACCCAGUCCUUUUGGCAUGUGAGUCAAACGGUAGCAACCAUGUACAUCAAGAUGCUUAAGAUUUAUCAAAUUGUUAAUAUCGGUUGGCAAUUCUCUUAGAUCACUGCAGUGACGAAGGAUAAGUGUUUCCAGAUUAUACAAUUUCGUAAUAAACUUUGGGAGAAAUUUCAUAUCAUGAUCAGAAAUGUCAAGAUAUCUUAAAUGUCUUAACUGACUAAUGAACUUGGGAAUUUUCUGAAAUUUGCUGUACCCCAAAUUCAAUGACCGUAAUCGCAAAUGAUUUUCAGAUAGAAGAAAUGGAGGACCAUGCAAAGUUCUCAAAUUCUUUACCUCAGUCAAUGAUUUUGCUUCAAGUUCCCAACUUUUCCUUGAAUAAUUGGAGGGAAAUGACACAUGUCGAGUCCUUUUAUCAAUUGACUUAGUUUUAUCACUUGCAUCCACACAUUCAUUUUCUACUAUCCAACAUGCAAGAUCAUGUAUCAAAUCAUGCAUCUUGCACUCCUUGACGUCUCCCCAUUUAUUUACUUUUACAUUGUGAAAGAAUGACCUGCCCAACAACUCUUUAAAAUAAUCAUCACCAACAUCUUCAAUUUCUUUAUUACUAUGUGAUUGAAUGAAACCUUGUGCCAUCCAUUGCUUUACCAAUCCAUCCUUUUGAAACUCAUAGUCUUUCGGAAACAAUGCACAAUAUGUAAAACAGUGCUUCAAAUUAGAUGGAAGGUGGUUGAAACUUAUCUUCAAUAUUGGUUGAAUUUGAUUUUCUUGUUGCAAAAUUGUGCCAAGAUCGUUGUCCUUGAAUGACAACCAAUCCAUUUCUGUGUUUUUGAAAUAUAACAAACGUCCAACUAUUCUUAUUGUAAGAGGAGAACCUUUCAACUUUGCUAUAAUCUCUUUACCGAUUCUAACCUUAUUUGAAUUCUCAAUCUCUUCUUCUUCAUUCAAAAAUGCCAUUUUUCUAAACAACGCCCAAGAGCUCUCAUUGUCAAGUUCUUUUAAGUGAUGAAACUGAACUGUAUCAGAAGCCUGUGCCACUUGCAGAUUACGUGUUGUGAUCAAAAUCCGACUUCCCUUGGCACCACCCAUUAAAAAUCUCUUUAGACUAACCCAUGUUUCAUGGCUUUCAUUCCACACAUCAUCCAUGACCAACAAGUAUUUCUUUCCAUCAAUUUUUUCUUGAAGCAUACUUUGUAGUAUAUCCAAUUGAAGAGAAUCGGGUUUCUUUUUCGCAAUAAACUCUAUAAUCUUUUCAACAAUUACUUUGAUAUCAAACUCUUGAGAGAUGCACACCCAUAAUUUCAACUUAAAAUGUUCAUUUAUCUUCUCAUCAUUAUAAACAGAUUGAGCAACUGCAGUCUUUCCUAAUCCUCCCAUGCCAACUAUGGAAACCACUUCAACAUUAUCCUCCAUGGUGUUGGUAUCCAAUAGAAAAUCUAUAAUAGCUUUCUUGUCAUCAUCCCUACCAAUCACUUCUCCCUUAGGAAUAAAAGAGCAAGUCUCUCGCAUCUUUCUCAACUCAUCAUCUCGUGUCUCCCUCAUACGGACAGAAAGGUGGAGUUGAGUUUUAUCAUUAGCGAUAGCAUCUAGUUUCUCCCUAACUUGUUUAAUUUUUUGACUCAUUUUGUGACCAAAUGAAACCUGAUUAGAUUUGGAGAAGAAGAUACAUACUUGUUUGGUAAUUGUUCUAUCUUUGGUAAGAACUUGUCUUCUCAAGGUUUCAUAAGAGAACUCAUCAAUCAAGUCAUCAACGUCGUAGAAAACAUCUCUAAGCUUUGAAAUCCAAUCUUUGACUGCGUGGCUCACUGAUUGUUGCUCCUCUGCAUCGAGAAGCACAGCUUUGAUGGCUGAAAGAAUGUUUUGUAGUUUUCCAAGCUCAUCAUUAACUCCCCACAAUGAUCCAAGCUCUCGAAGCGCGGAAGAGCCCAAUUUGGUUAUAACAUUUGCAGCAACGUUGAACAAAAUAGAAUCCGCCAUGGAUGAAAAAUGAUCAGUUUUUGCAAAUUUGGAGGAUGGCACAACAGAGAGGUUAUGAAGUGGAGUGAUGCAGGACAUGAAGUUUGGCUAAUAUUUGUAGGGUAAUAGUAUUGUUACAAAGUAAGGCAAAAGGAGACACAAAAAGGAAAAAUCUUUUCUUGAAUACAUUGUUUUUGGGUACAAUCGUUUUGGUCUAUGCACUCAAAUAAUAAUGUUGCAUGGACUCAUUUAUUCUUAUCCUCAUCCAUGGUUGAGUGAUCAAUCGUCAAUCUAAAGGAAAAACAAAAGACUUCAAUGAAAAUGGACUUAAAAAGAACAAAAUAGUUUUUGAAUGUAAAUAAAUAAAAACAACGAACAAAAUAUUAAUAAAGGCAUGCAAAAGGAACUCACGGUUUAACAGUGCAUCAUCUUUUAGUCAUAUUUUUAUAAAUAGCAAAAUAUUACCAGACAUGAACACGGAGACAAACAAAUCGUAGCUUUCAAAGUACAAGAGAAGAGCUCCAUUAUAGUAUAACAUUUUUAGGAAGACUGUAAACAAGUGAUCUGAUCAUCAUAAAAGAUGAAAGUUAGUACUUUGUAGAAGAUUUGAAAUGCUUGAUUAACCAACUUGGAGCAUCUUAGUAAUUAUAGUGAUGGGAAUAUAUCUUGUAAGUGUGAAGAUAUAAUAGUGGAUCUACUGUAAUGGGAAAAUGACCAGGUGAAGCAGAAACAAUACCACAUGUCAUAUACAUAUAAAUUUGGAUUUGUAGCUAUUCACUAUCCAAACUUAACUUUAGCAAGUGGCGGGGAUAAAGUAGCUUUGUUUUCAUAAGAUAAUGGAUAGGGACAAUGACAUGCCAUUUUUCUUGCUCUCUUUUUCUCUUUCUUCACUUUAGGGUAAUUUUGUUGAAAAUUAUUUUGGUCAUGGUGCACUAUAGGAUUUACACAAGUUGUUACGUGCCAAACUUUCUUUUUUUAUAUAUAGAAAAUACACUUUUUGCUUUGUGAUUGAAACUUGCAAGGGAUGCGUGGACUUGGAGAUAGACGUAAUUUCGAUUGUACCAAAGUGUUACUCAAAUUUCAAUAGCAUCAAAAGCCCCGCAUUGCAUUAACUGUUUAUACUGUACAUUUUGUUCUUAGGAUUAAUUUUUCUCAUUUAAAACAAGAACAAGAUGUUUAGCAUUGCUAAUAAAGCUCCUCUCUUUAGUUUCUUGUAGAGAGUGUAGCUAGUUUAACCCGCUUACCCAAGAUAACGAAGGAAAGUUAUAGUAGAAGCUAGAAUGUAUAGAAAAGCAUAUGCAGAAAUUUCUUAUAUUUAGUGCUUAAUUUGCUCGAUUGGAGCUUACUUACAUAGCUAGAAUGUAUAGAAAAGCAUAUGCAGAAAUUUCUUAUAUUUAGUGCUUAAUUUGCUCGAUUGGAGCUUACUUACAUACGAGGAGUGGUGGGUGACAUAUGAAAUUUCAAUGAUCCCGUUUAAACCACCUGACCAUUGAGGGUUUAGGGUUUCGGUGAGCCACUGGGAAGGGAACAUAAGCUCCUGUCUUAUUUCUAUGAAUGUAUUAACACUGCCAUAAGCUCCAAAAAAGGCUUCCUUGCUAGAAUCUCAACCCAAAUUGGUGUUCUAUGUGUAAAAAUCAUCCGAAAGAUUUAGACCACCUCUUCAUAGCCUGUCCUAUUUCUCAAGACCAACUUAGGCAUGUUUGAAAACUUUAAUUUCUUCAACGAUGGAAAAAUUGUUGAUGAAGAAACAGAAUCAUCAUUGUUCACAAUAAUGUACUCGAUGUUGGGUAAUUCUACUAGGUCAAGAUGCUUGAGAUUAGGAAAUUGAUCGAAUUUGGGGAGGUGUCGUAAUCUUUCACAAUGAUAAAGACAUAUAGUGACAAGACAAUCAAGGAACUUAGAGGAUACCCAAUUACAUAAAUUCACUCCACCAUAUCCAUCAAUAAGUAUCUUUCGAAGAUUUAAAUGUGGUUGUAAGCAAUCUAAAACACUUUCGUAGAUCACAUCCUCCAACUUAUCAUCACCAAUUGUAUGUUUCUCCCAAUGUAAUUCCAACUUGUGAAGACCAGACUUUAGUUGCAAGAACUUACCCUUCAUUUGUUGAUCAACACUACCGGUACAAAAUUCCAAAUGUUCCAUGCUUAAUGUUCCUAUUAAUUUGGUAAGUCCAUCCAACUCCUUUAACUCACCACCCUUAUUCUUUCCCAACACAAAUCUAUACAUUGUUUGAAGGUUAAUCAGCUCACCUAACCCUUUUGGCAUAUGAACGAGACUCGAACAUCCUUCCAAACUAAGAUGCUUAAGUUUGAUCAACCUUUUAGUAUUUUCUGGCAAUUUUCUUAACUUACCACAAUAAUCAAGGAUAAGUUCUUCCAACUUACACAACUCAGUAAUAGAAUCGGAAAGAUUUUAUAUUAUAAUUGUGAGAGAGAACAAGUUGCCUAAGAUUGUUGCAAUUUUUUAUAUCUUUCGGCAAUCCUUUUAAUGGACAAAAAAUAAGUUUAAGUGCUUCCAACUUACACAACUCGGUAAUAGAAUCUUGAAGGAAUUCUAAUUUAUAUUUAAGAGAGAGAUCCAAAUGCUUAAGAUUGAUCAAGUUUCCUAUAUUACUAGACAUAAUUUUUAAUCCCGAGCCUUGAAAGAUAAAUGUUUCUAAAUUGCACAACUUCAUAAUGCAAUCUGGAAGAUCUAUGUUACUAAUUGAUGAACUCAUAAUUCUCAAAUAUCUCAAAUGUUUCAAUUUACCAAUAAACUAUAAAGAGUACUCUACAUAUUCGAUUUCACCUUUCAACUGUAAGUGCAAUGCUCGCAAUCGAAAAAUAUUACUAAAGAUUAUUUGUUUGAAGUUCCAUUGUGAACCAAUUAGCCUAUAGUUCUAAAUGUGAAGAUGAAUAAAUUUUAAAACUCAAACUUAGAAGAUUAAAGGAGAAAACAUCCCAAAGAAACUCACAGAAACAAAAGGACAUGAAGUAAAUCCAAAUUUAGAAAAGUUGUAUUUUUCUUUUUGUAUGAUAUUGGCCACACAAAGGCCUCAUUUUAAAGAAUAGUAUUAUUAGUAUUACCAGCCAUUUUUCCUGACUCUCAACUCAAUAAUUGAGUUGUAUCUACAAGACUAUAGAGAGGGUGACCAUAAACCAAAUUUUGUUAGAAACUUUUUAUGACUGAAAAGUGACUCAAUAACUAGGCCUUUAAUCACUUCCAUUUGAUUCAACUUUCAAGGUCGAACCAAACCAAUCAUAAAAACUAUUGAAGGAAAAUAAAGAACCAGCCGACUUUAACCAAACCAAAUUUUGUAAGAAAUUUUGUUGAUUCUAGGCUUUAGAUUAUAAAGUUAAGAAUAUAUUUUGUGUAGAUUUAAAUAAUUAAAUUGGGUUAAUUGAGGUCAAGAGACCUUAAAGAAAACAAAGUACCAUUAGGAAAUGUUGGAUUUUAAUAACAAUAGAACUCACACCUACAAUCAUUUCUGAUCGAUCUAUAUUCACUUUUCUAUUAUCACAUUUUAAAAAGUUCUAUUUUAAAAACUCAAAUACUAAAAAGAUACCUUUGGAAAACUGAAUGACCAAAUAAGUUUAUUCUUAUAGACUUAAAAACUAAAAGAUGUUAAAAGGCAAACGUCAAAAAACUUCCUUCCAAAUUAAGGAGUAAAAAACCAAAUGAACGUAGUCAAAAACUCCACUAUCAAUGUUAAUAGAUAGUGCACUACAUAUACCUAUCAAUUGACCAAUAUAUUACAUUUAAAAAGAAAAAAAAACAAUAUUACUUGAAAGGAAAUGAAGAAAGAAUAGUCCAUUCAAGAUGGCACCCAGUUACUAUCAUCACACUCAUUUUCUUUUGCUUUUAGUUCCUUCCUCCACCUAUGCCUCUGUUUUGGAACAAAUGAACUGACUUUCUCCUUAUAUAUAUAUAGAGCACAGCUGUAAGAUUCAAAGAAACUGAACUCAAUAAUCCUUCAAUUUCACUGUUAGAGAUUUGACUUGAAAUGUACAAAUAAACACCUAAGCCAAAAGAAUUGCAUCCCAAUUAAAUUGGCAGGUUGUUAGUCUAUGGAAAAUAGAUGGAGAGCAGAAGAAAAGCAAUUAUAUCAUUACCCACCAUUUUGUGAUUGUCUGUUCUUUGGAUUUGACUUCUGUUGAUGCAAUCAUAUUGAAAUCAAUACUGAAUAUUUCCCGAUGAAAACAAACCUACAGAUCGAGUUGACAACCAUAACUAUAAGCUAAUUAUGAAAAGCAAAUCUUUGCACUUUUUAAGUAACAGAUUGACAAAAAGACUGUAUACUAACUCAACUAACAUUUGUAUGUACUGAAGUGAGGACAGGAGGUAUGUGUAGUUUAAAUCCCCACCUCGAAUUGGUAAAAAGAAAAGGGAAAGGAAGUACUUCGCUGCAAAAUCACUUGAGAAAGUGCUUCCACGCAGCCUUCUCUCUUCUUCUUUUCAAUUAUUAUCUCUAAAACCAAAAUGUAAAUAGAAGUCACUACAAACAACUGUUUAAAAAUGCUUGUAAUAUUCUAACAAUAGAAAAAAGUGGAAAUUAUUGUUACGUUGUGUGAAUUAAGAGAGAAAGCAAAGAGGUAUAUGUGUGCAUCUACCUUUAUUCUUUGGAGUUGAGGUAAUAUUGAAGUUAGGCUUUUUGCAGCUUUUAAAACCAGUAACGUAAUUUGUGCCUGUAAUGUCAUCAAUAGUUCACAGAUCAUGGAAAUGAUUGUUUAAAAUAAAGAGAAAUUUUCACGUCUAGAAAAAAUGUCAAACUAUUUAUAAAAAUAGCAAUAAAAAAAUAUUAAUAAAUAUUGAUAGACUUCUAUCAAUCUCUAUUAAUGAGAUAUAACAUCAAUGAUAGAGUUCCAUCAGUUUCUAUAACGCAUAAACACUGAAAGUCUUCUAUCAAAUGCUGAUAGGCAGACUAUCUUUAUCACUAUCUAGGUUGUAACAAAUUUAGAAAAUUUUACUAUAAGUUGUAAAUAGUUUCCAUUUUUCUAUAAAGAAAGUAAUUAUGACAGGGAAAUAAAUGUGCAUUACCUACAUCCGGUCAAUACAUGGAUGAGUUCAUUCCAAUCCUCCUGGUCUUCUUCUUCUUCUUCCUUUUGUUUCUUGUCUUGAAUCUGCAAUUUGGGACAGUUCAAAAUUCUCAAGAACCGUCCUCCUGGUAAGGAGCUGUGGUGGUGGAGAAAUUCUUGGGGCAAGGAGACUAAGUUGGGACAAUCUUCAAGACACAAACUUGAGAGUGAAGUGAGGCGAGUGAUUCCUUCUGACAAGGAAGUUAAUUUGGGACAAUUCCAAAUAAGCAAGUGUGAUAGGGAAAUGAGGUCGCCGACAUCUUCCGACAAUAUAGGUAAAUUAGGACAUCUAUCAAUUUCCAAAUGUGAUAGUGAAAUGAGUUCGCCAAUCCCUUCCGUACUCACUAAAUUUUCACAAUUUGAUAGCUUCAAAGUUUCAAGACUUGUAAUAUAUUUCAAACUCUUGGGAAAAUACUCCAAUUUGAGGAUGCUCUCAAGCCGAAGUGUCCGGAGAUUGCUGAGUUUUUUCCAUACCACAUCAUUAUCCUCAUCAACAGGAUGCGGAGAAGACAUUUGUAAACUUUUGCAGCGUUCUAUGAUAAGAGACUCAAGAUGUGUCAUAUUGCAGAAUAACUCCACUGGCAAGAACUCAAGAUCAAUAGUUCCAAUCUCAAGGAAAGAUAAUUUAGACAAUGUUGAAGAAGAAGAAGAAUGUUCAGAAAGGUCUGUAGCCAUUCGUAUUACCAUUUGAAAAAGUUGCACACUAACACCACAUAUUCUCAAUGAUUCCAAAGAUGGAUGUUGUGGAAUAGAAGCCAACAGAGGACAAUAAAAAAUACAUAAUUCUGAGAGUUGAUGUAAUAUUGUUGUUGGAAAUGAAAUUUCCCCCUUCCACCACCCUUUCAACUUAGGCAUGCUCUCAAUCCUUAGCUUCUCGAGAGAUGGAAAAAAUGUUGUUGAUGAAGAAACAGAAUUGCCGCUAUCAAUGUAUUCAAUAUUGGGUAAGUAUCCAAGAAGAAGAUGCUUGAGAUAUAGGAAUUGAUCAAACUGUGGGAGAUGCUCCAAUUUUUCACAAUGUGAAAGCUCUAUGCUAACCAAACCACCCAGGAAAUUAGAAGAAAACCAAUCACAUAACUUCAUUCCUCUGUAUCCUUUUAUAAUCAUUUUGCGAAUAUUUGAAUGUGGUUUUAAGCCCUCCAAAACUCCCUCAUCAUCAUUAUCACCAUCAUCUAAGGCAUCUUCAUGAUCCAUUUUUAUAUCCCAGUGUAAUUCCAGCUUUUGAAUUCCAUACAUUUCUUUUAAGUAGCUUACAUUUUUUAAAUCAGCAGUUGUGCAAAAUUGUAAACCUUUAAUACAUAAUAAUCCUCUCAAGCUUUUAAGUCCAUUCAAUGCACUUAAAUCACCACCUUUAUUCUUUCCUAAUACAAACAUACUCAUUGUCUGAAGGCUAGUCAUCCCACCUAAUCCUUUUGGCAUGUGAGUCAAACUGGAACAAUCAUAAAUAUCAAGAUGCCUGAGAUUGAUCAAAUUGUUAAUAUCUUUUGGCAAUUUUCUUAGCCAAAGGCAGUAACGAAGGAUAAGUGUUUCCAAAUUAUACAAUGUGGUAAUAGAAUUGGGAAGGAAAGUUACAUUUAAACCAGAAAGAUUAAGAUAUCUCAAAUGUUUCAACUUAUCAACAAACUUAGGAGGAUGACAGCAGCAUCUAUCCAAAUUCAAUGUUCGUAAUUGAAAAAGGUUCAUGUGACAAGUUUUCUUGAAAGAACGGAAAGAAGCACGACUAUCAAUAUCCAAUGUUCUCAAACUCGUUACCUCAAUGGAUGAUUUUGAUACAACUUCCCUUGUUAGCCUCUUGCUCAAGAGAAAUGAGGCAUGUCGAGUCCUUUUGUCAAUGGACCCGACAUCAUCACUUACAACCACACAUUCAUUUUCUCCUAUCGAACACGCAAGAUCAUGUAACAAAUCAUGCAUCUUACAGUACUUUAAGUCUCCCCAUUUGUUUUUUCUUAUGUCUUGAAAGAAUGACCUCCCCACUAACUCUUGAAAAUAAUCGUCACCCACAUCUUCAAUUGCCUUUUUAUUAUGUGCUUGAAUGAAACCUUGUGCCAUCCAUUGUUUUACCAAUCCAUUCUUUUUAAACUCAUAAUCCUUGGGAAACAAAGCACAGUACGUAAAACAUUGCUUCAAUUUAGGUGGAAGGUGGUUAAAACUUAUCUUCAGUAUUGGUUGAAUUUGAUCAUCUUCUUGCAAAAUUGAGUCAAGUUCGUUGUCCUUAAAUGAUGACCAAUCCAUUUCUGUGUUUUUGAAAUAUAACAGACGUCCAACAACUCUUAUUGAAAGGGGAUAACCUUUCAACUUUGCUACAAUCUCUUUACCGAUUCUAACCAAAUUUGAAUUCUCAAGCUCUUCUUCUUUGUUUAAGAAUGCCAUUUUCCUAAACAACGCCCAAGAGUUAUCCUUGUCAAGUUCUUUUAAGUGAUGGAACCAAACCGUGUCAGAAGCCUGGGCAGUUUGUAGAUUACGGGUUGUCACCAAAAUCUUACUUCCGCUGGCACCACCCAUCAGAAAUCUUUUCAGACCAAUCCAUUUCUCGUGGUCUACAUUCCACACAUCAUCCAUGACCAACAAGUAUUUUUUUCCAUAAAUUUUCUCUUGAAGCAUACUUUGUAAUAUAUCCAACUGAAGGGAUUCUUGUUUUGUUUUCGUAAUAGACUCUAAAAUCUUUUCAACAAUUACUUUGAUAUCAAAUUCUUGAGAAAUACACACCCAUAUUUUCCACUUAAAACGAUUGUUUAUUUUUUCAUCAUUAUAGACAGUUUGAGCGAGUGCUGUCUUUCCUAAUCCUCCCAUUCCAACAAUGGAAACAACUUCAACGUUAUCCUUUGUGAUGUUGCUGGUAUUCAAUAGAAAAUCCAUAACAGAUUUCCUAUCCUCAUCCCUACCAAUGAUUUCCCCCUCGGGUAUGAAUGAGGACGUCUCUCGUACCUUCCUUGGCUCAUUAUCUCGUACCUCCCUCGCACACACAGAGAGGUGAAGUUGAGCUUUAAUAGCCGCAAUAGCAUCUAGCUUCUCCCUAACUUUUUUAAUUGUUUGACCCAUUUUGAAACCAAAAGCAAUCUGAUUAGAUUUGGAGAAGAAGAUACGUACUUGUUUGGUGAUUGUUCUAUCCUUGGUAAGAACUUGUCUUCUCAAGGUUUCAUAAGAGAACUCGUCAAUCAAGUCAUCAAUGUCAUAGAAAACAUCUUUGAUCUUUGCAAUCCAAUCCUUGACUGUGUGGCUCUUGGACUGUUGCUCCUCUGCAUCGAGAAGGACGGCUUUAAUGGCCGAAAGAGUGUUUUGGAGUUUGUCGAGCUCAUCGUUGACUCCCCACAGAGACCCAAGUUCUCGAAGUGCGGAAGAUCCCAGUUUAGUAAUAACACUUGCAGCAACAUUGAACAGAACUGAAUCCGCCAUGGAUGAAAAAUGAAGGCUGAGAAGAAGAGAUUGUUAGUGUAUACGAAGGGAUAAAAACAAAAGUCUUGGUCUUAUGAACACUUCAAAGAAAGCAAAGUGAUGGCUUUCUGCAUAAAAACAAACUUUUUUAUCUUCCAAUAAUUAAGAAGCUACAAAGCAAAGCAAAGCAAACCAACUUUGAAUAAUCAAACGAAUGAUAAGAAAAAAAACUACAAUAUAAUCAUUUCAUUUUUAGUUUUUUUUUUUUAACUAAGUCCAUUUCCGUAGCAUUUUUUACAUUAUUUUUUCAAAUUUUCAAUUUUUCUUACGUUUUUUUAAUUAUCAGUAAAAAAUAACUAAUUAAAUAUAUCAAAAUUCUAUUCACUUCUAAAUUUGCUACAAUAACGUCCGUUUUAUUAUUAUGAUUUUCUUUUAUUAUUUUUGAAAAUCCCUUUAAAUAAUUUAUAAUAAAAGAACAAACCGAAAAUAACCUAAAGUAAUCUCCCGUUAGAUGGAAAGUUUUUCAAGUGUACCUAAGCCCUUCAAUUUUAAUUUUGUAUGUAAUACUUGUUUAUUUUUUAGUAGUCAUCAAAUUCACAAUUCAAAAUCCGAUUAGAUACAAUAAAUUAGACUCAAGGGUCUAUUAAAUGGCUAGGUUAAAUAUAUCGUUUAGACACAAUGGAAUUAAAAAACACUUUAAACUUGCUAACCAACGUGGUUUUGAUUUGCUUAAAUGAUCUUUUCCUUACACCUCCAUUAUUAAAAUAGACAAUCACAUCAAAUGAUUUAAUUUAGUUUUAAUUGAUUCAUAGUUUUAGGAGUAUGUUUCCUCCAACAAAAAUAAAAAUAAAAAGAAGGAAAUACAAAGUAGUGUUUAGGAAAUAGGUGAAAGAGGGAGUUUGUUUCCGGUGGCUAUGUGUCUUUGGUGCUGGGACUGCUGGUUAUUUGUUUUGUAUGUGUUUCCCCAUAAAAGAAAUUUUGUAUCAAUCAAAGGGGGAGUUUCUUAUUGUUUUAGUUGCCUGCAAAAAUCUUCUUUUAUUGUACUAAACUUUUCUUGCUGCUUCCAUCAUAGGGUGUGAUGGGUAGGCUUAAUGGUUGGUUGAUUGUCAACUUUAUGUUCUUGAUGUUCUAGGAGGUGUCUGAUUCAUGAUCAUGACUGUUUUCUAUUCACAUGUUAUUGUUCAACAUUGGUUGAGAAGUUGGAAUAUAAUCAAUCAAGUAUCAACUACUUCAAAUAAUUAUCUUCUGAAUUGGAUGUAUGCAUUAAGGUUUGAAGCUAUUUAUUUUUUAAUUGAUAAAAGAACUGAAUUAGCUUUUUUAUAUAUAACCUUACUUUUUUUCUUGUGCUUAGGAAACCAACUUUGAGAUUGUAGAAUAAUCAGUGAAGAGAAUGUUUCACCUGCAGCUGGCAUGGUUUAUUUAAUGACCUUCAAGGCUGCCUAGUGGAAUGCUUGGUGACCAUGGGACAACAACAGUUCAAGCUGAUCCAAGUGUUUGAGGGUAUUGGUGAGGGAAUAGAGGGGGAUUUUUGUUGGGCAGGGCAUGCAAUCUGGUUGAUAAUUCUUUGUUCAUCUGUGAAAACAAUAAACAACCACAAACCUCUUAUGCUGCCAUGCAUCCAAUGUGAAGAAAAUAGCAAUCGACUGUUUCCUCUUUUUUAUUUCCCCAGUACACCCUACAACAAGCAGACUUUGACUCACUGGCCAACUAUAUGAUCCUUUUUUAAUAAACAGACUUUCUUAUUAGGCAGGGUUUGGUAUUACAUAAUAAAUAAAUAAAAUAGAUCCACUCUAAAAGUUGGAUAACAAAUACCCCUAACAAGCAUUUAUAUACAUCCAUACUUCAAUAUUCCUUUCAUUUGCACUUGUCCUGUCUGCCCCCCUACUCUUUAUCUCUUGUAGUCGUAAGCUAUUUAAUUCUUUCUUUAUUUUCAAUCUUUAUAUAUAGAGCUGAGUUUAAAACUCAUUCAUGGUUGAAUUAUCUCAUUAUUAUUGGAGCUAUAAUUCAUAUAUUGGGUUGAGAUUGGUUAAUAAAUGUAAUGUUGCUCAAAAUCUAUCGAUCUAAUCGUUGAUUUUUUUCACGGAUAAUAUGAAUUUUUUUUGUGUCACCCAUCAUUCUACAAGGUAAGAAAAAAUAAUACACACUAGUACUACUUGUUACUUAGAAAGAAGAAAUGAGUCACUUUGAACAAUAAUUAAGAACUCAAACCAAAUACUAAGACUAAUGGUUAAAAGAGAACGUGAUCCAAGAACCAUGAUCAAACUAAAGAAAUGUAAUUGAGAUUUGAAUCUUAACGUGGAUUCUACCAUAACAACUUCUACGCGACCAUUAACUAAAGACCAUUAAAAUUAAAUAAACGAUAAUUGGAUAUAACUUUUUGUUUUCAUAAUUUGUUUGAAAAGUUAUGAACACAUUUCAUCAUCCAUAUUUCACAGUCAUUUGAGUAAAUUAGUAACGAUUUAAUUUUUUUUUUUUUUAAAUUAUUGAGUGAACUCAAUGAUGUCUUUGUCUCUCUCAGUUGACGAAUUUCCGGUUUUUUCUUUCAACAGUAAGCACUGAGCUGAAGCUUCCAUGGUUGACACCAACUCUUUAACAAGUAACAACGCAAUUGAAGCAUGUCGAAUUCCCAUUCCUCGAUUCUCCUUUUGAUUCUCAUCUUACUUCCACUUGCUCUAUCCCAACAAGAAGCAAUUCAAGCAAUUAUCCAUCGUUUGGAUUCCAAAGCUCUAUCUCCUUCUAUUCAGGAAGCUGCAGCCAAGGCUCUUCUCCGGCGAUUGCUUCCCACUCAUGUUGAUAGCUUCGAGUUUCAGAUUGUUUCUAGGGUACCUUUUCUUUUCUUUCCAUUGAAUUUCGAAGACUAACUUUUCUGUCAGUUCUCAAAUCUCAAUUGCAUUUUUAGAGAAAUUUAAUUGGUUGUGCAAUGCAUCUUCAAGUUUUUCAUUCUUAUUUUCCCAAUUUCUCAAAACAACGAACACCAACUUGACCGCUUUUUCUGAUUUUGUAUUUGUCAAUAGGACGUUUGUGGUGGGGGAAGUUGCUUCUUGAUUAGUAAUUUCAAGUCCUCAAGUCGCAAUGGUGCAGAGAUACUGUAAGUUGCCUCUUUUAUGCAUAAAGAUUGCUCUCUGUGAUUGAUUUACUUACACCUUUUGUAUUUAUACGAGGAAAAUAACGAGUCUAUUUUUGGCCUUUUCAUUAUGAAAUGGUCAAAAUGCUUUAAUUGUUCAGAGGACGAUAUUGUCUUUGGGUGUAAUUUUGCGGAGGCUUUAAGAAAUGAAAUAAAGCAGAAUGCAAUUAAGGGAUAAACGUUAUUUCCUCUAAUCACCACUCCACUUUCCCCCAAAUAAAGAAAUACACUGAGAUAGGAAUAUGUUAGUAUAAGAUUUUACUGAUUUGUUUUUUUUUUUUUUUUUUGGGCAACCUUCUCAAGUAUUAGAGGCACUACGGCAGUUGAAAUUACAUCUGGCCUUUACUGGUACUUAAAAUAUUGGUGUGGUGCUCAUGUUUCCUGGGACAAGACUGGUGGAGUUCAAUUAGCUUCAAUUCCUAAACCAGGAUCUCUACCCUUUUUAAAGGGCAAUGGAGUUGUGAUUAAGCGACCAGUGCCAUGGAAUUAUUACCAAAAUGUUGUUACUUCAAGCUGUAAGUGUUGAUUUCUUAAUUGUGAUUUCAUUCAACCUCUAUCUCAAGUGAUUAGUAAUGUCUAGAAUGAAAAUGAUUUCUUUGUUACAUAAUGUAUAGAAGUUAAGCUAAAAUGAAGUUCAUUUGGUGAAUCUGAGGGAGAAAACUAGAUUGAGAAAGAUGAAUACCAUGCAUGUCUUCCCCCAGCCCCAUAAAAAACAUGAUGUGUAUAAGAAGGGAUAGAAAACUGCAUCAAUGACCUUCUGGAUAUCAAUCCGUGAAAUCAACAUCAUGCUCAUCACAAUUCUUUAGUCUUAUUGGUCUUUCAUCUCUUUAAAUGAUAAGUAUAUAUACAUUUAUGCUUACUAAAUUUUCCAAUUGCUUAUUUUUAUUGAGAUCACUUAGGUAUCACAUCUUUUUCUUUUUAAGUAAUGUAAGUGAUACUUUCAUUCAUUUUUCAGAUUCCUAUGUUUGGUGGGAUUGGGAAAGAUGGGAGAAAGAGAUAGACUGGAUGGCCCUCCAUGGAAUUAACCUUCCUUUGGCCUUCACUGGGCAAGAAUCAAUUUGGAGAAAUGUUUUCAGGGUGAGCAGUUACCGAUCCCUUAUUUUAUUAUAGGCGAAUCCAAACCACCUCAGCACCUCCUCGAAAUUCAAAUUUAUUCUAGGAUUGAGAUUUCAAAUAGGUUGGAAUUAGAGAAUAGAAAGAUUUCAAAUAGGAUGAACUGUACACAUUGUAGAGUUGAAUUGUUUUGCAACUUUUAUGUAUCCCCUUAUUCAAGGAUCUGGUUCUAAUGGAUUUAAAAGUUUUUAUUUUUCUAAUACUACUCUCCUUCCGUUUUGCAUAGGCAUUUGUCAUAAGCCUCCCCAUUUUCAGUUAUGUUUUCUUUUUGACUGUUCAAAAUCAUCCAUAAUAUUUGUAGAAGAAAGAAAUAUAUGUCAUGUUCAAGGAUACUAUUUCUCACUAAGAAUUUGCCUUCAUUCAUAAUUUUUCAGUCUCUGUGUUUCUUCUCUUUCAAAAUGGAGUUCUUAGGAUCACCUUUUGUUGGUAUUAUACUAUUAUCAUAUUUUUAGUUUCACUCGAAUGAGGCUACUUGUUUCCUUUACUUGUAGGAUUUCAACCUUGCCGUCAAAGAUUUGGACAAUUUCUUUGGUGGACCUGCUUUCCUUGCCUGGGCUCGCAUGGGAAAUCUACAUGGGUGAGUGACAUUAAUUGUUCUGGAAUAUUUUUGCCUAAAAAACAUGAAUUCACAAAGACAGUAUCAUCUAAAACAUGUCACUUUACCCAGUGCCUAUGUAUUCAGUCUUGACAUAUUGUCUAUAAUUUAUGCAUUUAUGCUACAUGUAAAUAUAGAAGCACUAUGAUAGAACCCGACUUCUCAGUUGGCAAUGGAAAAGGAUACAAUAUAGGAAAUACUGUGGCUAAUGAAAAAUACAGAAGAAAAAUAAAAGCUCCCUGUCGAAGACUCCCUCUCUCCCUCGGCUGCCUUCCUAUCUCUCAAGGAAUAACAGUAGGAUUCUUAUCACCAAAAUUCUCUGCCCUCUCCCUUCCUUCUCGUCUCUAUUUAUAUUUGCUCCCUCACUCCCCUGCCAUGGUGAUCGUGCGUCGGCACUCCAUUUCCUUGUGGUCCCCACUUGCAGUUGGUUACAUAACCAACUCCUCGUCCUUUUUCUCUUUCCUGUUUUUUCUCCUACUAUACUGGCGUAUGAUGGGUGGUCUAACACACUAAUGGAGUUCACAUCCGUAUAUAAGCGUUGUGCUUUAUUAAGUAUUACCAUUCUUGGGCUCUUGUUAAUGAGAAAAGCUUCUAGCUUGUGGAAGAUAAAAAUAGGGGAGGUUUGAUUUUUGGAGACAAUAAAGGUGUUACAAAUGAGCAUGAAGAUUUUGUUUAUUUUGUGUUGUCUGUGUGGUCCUCUACUAUGGAAAGUUAUAAGUUUAUAACUUAUAGUAUUACUUAACUAAUUUUAUAUGAUUAAUUGGAAAGAUUUUGUGCGGUGAUCUUUUGGCUCAGGGUAACCUGGUCAUUCUUACUUUUUCGUAUCGUUAUUUGUUGGUCGCAAUGUUUCUUAGGACAGGUGUAAAUCAGUUACCUAAACAUUAUUUCCAACUUAUACUAUGCAUUCUAAGAUGUCUACCAAAGAUAAUCCGGUUUUCAUUGAUGGUCUCAUCUUUUCUUUCUUUCAUUCAUAUACACUAACAUUUAUCUUACCAAAGGUGGGGUGGGCCUUUAUCGAAAAAUUGGUUGGAUCAACAAUUAGCUUUACAGAAACAGAUACUAUCCCGGAUGCGAGAGUUGGGGAUGACUCCAGGUUUGCUACUCCAAAUUAUUGGUUAUGGAAGUGUUCAAGUGAUGAUAAUUUAUCAUGACAUUUUGCUUGUAGACCCUUUUAUUUAACUGAGACUUUUUUUUCCUUUCUGGUUACAGUUCUACCAUCCUUCUCAGGAAAUGUCCCAGCAGGUUUGGUAGAGAUAUUUCCCUCGGCCAACAUAACUAAAUUAGGAAACUGGUAUCCCCUUCUAAUGCCCAUGUUAUGAGAUAUGUUUUAACUUGUAAUUCUUAUGUGUUUUUGUUAAAAUAUAAGAGGAUUAUAAGUUCUUUUUUCCCCCUUAAUAUAUUAACAUGAUUAAUUUCCAGUUUUCCACUUUUGAACCUAGGAAGACAUCCCAUUACUAAAUAUAAUUUCCAUGAAUUGAAGUUUUCCAUUUUAUUUUUCCCCUGUUAGGAAUUCAAUUGAUGCUGAUCCUAGUACAUGCUGCACAUACCUUCUCAAUCCGUCUGAUCCUCUAUUUGUCAAAAUUGGGGAGGCUUUUAUCAGACAACAGAUAAAAGGUCCACUUCCAUCUGUUUGCUUUGAGUUAACAGACAAAUAAUUUUGUCACCUGUGCUCUGAUCUAAAUAUAUCUUAUUUUUCGAAAAAAGUAGCAGUCCCUUGUGGAUAUUCAUAAUUUCUCUUGCCAAUAUCAUGCAGUUGCACACUCUUUGUCAUUGGUAUCUCAUUAUGCACAAUUGUCACUAUGUCAAGAGAACAAUCAGUGUUUAUUUAUUUAGUUAAAACUAGAAAGUAAGGGACUAUUUUAAUAAACCCUUUUCUUUUUGUUAUUGGAAUUGUUGAAAAUUUGUUAUUGGAUCGGAUGAAUAGUAAAAGUUAACAUCAUUGUGCACGUUAAAGUUACUAUUCGUGAUUUUUGAAAUGAUAACAAGGAAAACAUACUAUGGAGGAAAAUAUCAUACAAAGAAACAAUUAGCAAUUAAGAGGCAAUUACAAAUGUGAGAAAAUAAAAUAUACAAAAAGUGGCUGUACAUUAUAAUUUGACAAAGAGUAUUUUGAGACUAGUUUUCAAACAAAUCCUUACCAUCUAAUUUUAUACUCGGUGCCCCUGUCUGUGUUGUAUAAAAGGAUGCAUUUGGUAGGACAGCUAUAAUUUAUUUUGUUUGAUCGUAUGAUGCUUAAUUGCUUAUCAACUGACGGCUAAACUAUCAAUGUUAGCUUUAAGUCCGUUAAAAGUAUUUCAUUUUUAUAUUUGUUUUCACGCUAUUGGAAAUUUGGAUUUUUCUUAAAAGUUGUCAUAAUAUCUUCAAGGUAUGCAUGUACUAAUACUUUUGUUUUUCAUAUUUUAUGUAUUUUCUGCAGAGUAUGGGGACGUAACAAACAUUUACAGCUGGUAACAACUAAUGUAGCAUUGAAUAAUAUCUUUAUGACGUUUUUUUCUUGAUGUACAUCUCUCUUUUUGGUGGAUAAGCACUUUCCCUUUUGAUUAAGUCACUGUAAACUAUAUGGAGUGACGUGUUGAAACUUCACUUUUUGUACAAGAAAAGAGGUCAACCAAGAAGCUUUAUUUUGUACAAGAUUACAGAAGGUGUCAAAUUGAAGAAACUUGUCCUGAAAAAGAUCUGUAAUUUCAUUUGGUCCAUAAGUUCCACACCAGCCCUCUAGUGGGCACAGCUAGUCAGCUAACUUUCCCAUCAUGUUCCAACAGUUAAAAACUUAAGACCUUCAAGGAGCCAGUCAUCAACCUUUAGUAAAACUAUUCAUUCCAGCGAAGAACUAGAAGUAUUCCUUAUUUCCAAAUGAGGACCACUAGGCUUGUUUUUUAGGAACUUGUUAAAAUAAAGUACUAUAAUUUAAGAGGAGAAGAUCGUGCGAUAGGCGUUUAACCAAAUAAGAUCCAUCUUGUUUAUUUUCCAAGAUCCAAUGAUUAUUGCAAUAACUUGAUUGUGGUGGAAGCUCCUUCAUUUUCCUUAUUUAUUUUAUCUUGCUGCCUUAGAUAACUGAAUGAUAUGUAUUCUGUUCAUUGCAGUGAUACAUUCAAUGAAAAUACUCCACCUACAAAUGACACCUCAUAUAUUUCAUCACUUGGAGCUUCUGUCUAUAAAGCUAUGGUGAAAGCUGAUAAGGAUGCUGUGUGGCUCAUGCAAGUAUGCUCCUCAAGCAAUGAACAACAUAUUUCUUAUGGAUCAUGUUUCAACCAAAACUUUUGUAUAUACUUAAUUAAUUGACUAAAUAUGCCGGUAAAAUUUGGAAUGGUUUUCAGGGCAACAAAUAGGAAUUGAGGGUCAGUUCUAGGGUUGAGAACACUUUUAACUUUAGAAUAGAAAAACUACAGAAGUUUCACAUAUUUGAGUUAUUGAAUUGAAAAGUGACGGCGGAUAAGUUACAAUGUAAGCAAAUACUGAUAAGUGCUGUAUAACAAGAGAACUAUAAAAGAGCUUUGCUUGACAGCAGGCUGUAAUUAAAUGUCUUAGGAGAUGGUGAAAGAGAAGGUGGUAUUUGGGUGUAUCAUAUUUUGUAUAGAACGCGGACUUACAAAGUUGUGUUUAAAAAGUAAUUCCUACACGAUGGUUACUGAUAUAUGGUGUAUUUAGUCUGACUAUUCUGUAAUUGGAUGAGGAUGGUGUACUUUUGAUAAAAUGGUGGACAAUAUUCCUAUGGACCAAUUUGACAAUGGUUUUGUUUUGUUUACCUGUUUUCAAAAUUUUUGCUUGUAUUGUAAAAUUUUCUGUGUUAUUUUAAGAUAGAAAUCUGAGAUUUCAUUGAUAAAUGUAACUAUAGGAUUACUAUUGGUGAUUAACAAAAAAGAUUUCCAAUCAUUCAAAAGAGUAGAAUGAUCAGUCAACGGGUGUGGACAUUUAUACCAAUUUUAAGUAUUAAAAGAGUUUGUUUAAGGAAACUCUUGAAGAUUCUCCAUUUUGUUUCACACCAAAGUGACCAAAGAAAGAGCGAUCGAUAGCUUCCAAAUUUUCAGUCAGUCUUUUAUUUUCAAAAUCUUGUUUUUAUUUUCGAAAUUUAGCUUAAACUUGAAAUGUUAUUUUAAAAAAGUGAAAAAUGUAGGAAAACAACAGAAAGCCAAAAACAAAAGAACUAGACUCGGACUGUUUUUUUUAGGUUGAGUUUUCAGAAUAUUCAAAUCUCUAGGGUGUUUAUGCAAAUCAGAUUUACCAAAUUUUAAUUUGAUGAGUUUCGUUUUCUAUAUUUGAAUUAAAAUUGAUUGUUCCAUCUCUGUGCAGGGAUGGCUCUUCUAUUCAGACUCUGAUUUUUGGAAGCCUGAUCAAAUGAAAGUACGUAUGCGCACAAGCGACAUAGAAUUUCUUAACAUUCAUUGUUAAUUCUUACUGAGUUACUGGCAAAGGAUGUACUUGAUCUAAAUAGUCUCGCCCAGUCCCCACGUCUCUUGUUUAAAGUUGUACAGGCGUUUAGUUAUGUGGGAUAGUUGGAGUUUGUGAGUGGGAAUUGUUAAGUACCAGUGAGUACAAAUUAGGGGAGGGUAGGGAAAUGAGGUUAGGAAAUAUUUUUGUACAUAGAAAGAGAUACCGUUCCUGCUUGAAAAUAUUGGUACUUCUCAAAUGGUUCCAAAAGUAAACCGUUCUUGAGAAUGAAUCUAGAGUUUGGAAUACUAUUGGAGUGUCAUUGUUUUCUGAUGGAAAUGAAGGAUGUCUUGGUAUCCAUGAAUUGGAAGAAAACAAUGGCCACAAAACCAACUUAGAGAAGCUCUAAAAGUAGGAUGAAUCAAACACAAGAAAUUAGAACCCAUCUGCUUGCAACAUGGGUUGAAGGGGUGGUUGAUGUCAAAGGUCUAAGCUAAAAAAAAAGGACUUAGUAUCUAUGGUCUACAGGUUUCUUAUUGCACCAAAAUGGUCUUUUUAAUAAAAAAGUUUACAGUUGGGUUACGUAAUCUAUUACCAAACUAUCAAAAUAACUCUUUUUCUGGCCUUUUGGUUGUCUCACAAUACCACUUAUUAGCUAUGGUUUUAUGGGGUUUGCAGGCACUACUUCACUCAGUCCCAUUUGGGAAAAUGAUUGUUCUUGAUCUAUUUGCGGAUGUCAAGCCAAUUUGGAAAUCAUCAUCUCAAUUUUAUGGUACACCCUACGUAUGGUCAGUAACCUCUUUAUUACCGUUUUCAAGGAAGCUAUGGAACGUCUCGAUAAUGUCAUUUCUGUACUUUUUUUUUCACAAGUUCAAUAAGAAUUUAGUUUGACUUCAGGUGUAUGUUGCAUAACUUCGGUGGAAAUAUAGAAAUGUAUGGUAUAUUGGAUGCAAUCUCUUCAGGUCCAGUCGAUGCUCUUGCAAGUGAAAAUUCAACAAUGGUACAUUUAGUUUUGUAUUGUAUAAUUUACUGUUGUCAUAUAUACGUGAUGCAUGUAGCACAUAAACUCCUAUGAACAUGCAGCUAACUAAUAUUUCUAAAAGAACAGACACUGUUUUCGUUUGCUGUAUGUCUUGUAGACCAUAGUUCUCUUUUUCUUGAUUAUCAAUGAAUUGUUUCUCUUACCAAAAAAAGAAUGGUUCUAUUUUUCUUGAUUAUCCCAUCCAUACAUGUGAACUAAGAUGUAAAGAUUGGGAGUCUUGAUAUUUUAUCCUGUUACAAAUGGUGUUUUCUCCACUAUGGUAGGUUGGUGUUGGCAUGUGUAUGGAAGGAAUAGAGCAUAAUCCGGUUGUUUACGAAUUGAUGUCUGAAAUGGCAUUUCGCAGCAAAAAAGUUCAAGUCCAGGUAAUUUGCCCCCAAUGCCUUUAUAUAGUCGAGGUGUUCUUGAUGUUUAGCGAUUCAAAGCAUUAUGCAAUGGUUGGGCAUGUAAGCACAACCUAAGCUGGUGCCCUCGAACAAUCUAUAAUCCUGCUUAUUAGAAGACUCUAUACAUGAAUAUCAUUUGUUCGUUUAUAAACUAUAACUGGAGUGUAUUUUCUGGAAUCAAACAAAUUGUUCUUUUGAUCAAAUUUAUGUUUUUGUGUGUACUUGUAUGUUGCAAUCUGCAUGAUUCAGUGAGAGAAUUUGAGGGAAUUAUAGAGAAUGACAUGGUUCAGAGCCGUGUCUUAACAACCAGGAGACAAAAAUGUGAAGAACCACAAUAUCUUAAUUUGAUAGAAAAAUUGCAAUAAUUUUAAAGAUGAAGAUUCAUUCAAAUUUUAUCAUAUCAUGGAAGAGUGUCAUCUUGUAUCUACUUCUCAUAUUAUUCAUCCAUGACUUGUUUUUGAAAUUAAGCAGUUCUAAACAUUUACAAUAAUGAGUCCAUGUUCUUACAUUGUUACAAAUUUGAUUUUUCCAUAUAAUUGGAUUUUUAUUAACGUCUAUAAAAUAACUCUAUGAUGGAGAUGAUGCUGACCAUAAUGAAAUAUUGUAAUAUCUUGUAGGAGUGGUUGAAGACCUAUUCCCGUUGUCGUUACGGCAAAGCAGAUCAUUAUGUUGAUGCAGCUUGGAAUAUUCUUUAUCAUACAAUUUACAAUUGCACUGAUGGCAUUGCGGUAUGUCAAGUUGAGACAUAAUGUUCAGAAAAGAAAAUUGUUUUGUAUAAUUAUAAGAAAUAACUUUGAACAUUCUAAAAAAGCUUUAAAAGUAUUUUUAGCAAGAUAACUUAAUUAAUGUUUUUCCCAAUGUCAUCCAAACACAUUAUGAGUAAAUUCUGCUGUUUUUUAAAUUAUGGAAAUUGGUAGCUUUGCCUAAAAGUGCCAUCAAAAUUACGUAAGUUUUUAGACCGCUACUAUUUCUAAUUCAAGAGAAUCAAUUGGUUAACACAGGAUGAAUGUACCCUCCAAUUUUUUCUUUACUGGAUGCGUUUCAUUUGGUGAUUAUUGCUUGAAGAUUUAUUAUAAGCGAGAAAUGCCCAACUGCAGAAUUGAGUUUUAUGAAAUUAUUGUGUUCUUUUUUCUGCUUUAUGGCUAUUUACUGAUCCGUUCCUUUAAUUUUUUUUCCAGAACCAUAACACUGAUUUCAUUGUCAAACUGCCUGAUUGGGAUCCAUCUUCAACUUUUGAUCUGAAAAAACCGCCACAUCUAUGGUAUUCCACUCAGGAGGUUAUCAAUGCCUUGCAGCUACUUGUUAAUGUAGACGAUAAUCUCGUCCACAGCGCUACAUAUAGGUAAGAUGGCACAUUUUCAUAUGCAUAUGAUCGAGUCUUAAGGAUGAGGAGUUAGUAUGUUUUACAAUACAGUUCUAGUCAACCACUUCACAAGUUUCAGAUAAGUUUCUAAGCAACAUGUUCAUAGAGAAGCGUUAUACGAGCCUCAUUCUGAAGAUAUGAUCAGUUAGUUUACUCUAUUGUUGCUUGUAAUUGAACAGAUAUGACUUGGUUGACUUAACACGGCAAGUGCUAGGGAAACUGGCAAAUGAAGAAUAUUUGAAGGCUGUAACUGCUUUCCGACGCCAGAAUGUGAAGGCUCAAAAUCUUCACAGCAAGAGGUUUAUUCAAUUAAUUAGAGAUAUUGACAAACUACUAGCUUCUAAUUCAAACUUUCUGCUCGGAACAUGGCUUGAAAGUGCAAAGAAGUUGGCAACAAAUCCAGCUGAGAUGAAGCAGGUUAGGAAUUGCCUCUUUCUAAUGGCAUGAAACUUACAGCAUACUGCUACUCUUUUCUUAUCAACCUUUCCAUUUGCUAACCUUUGUUUUAAAAAGUAUGCUUACUUCCCUUCAUUUUAUUAUAUUUGCUAUUACGGUAAAUUCUUAGCAAAUUUUGAAAACAAAAAAGAAUCUCUUUUAAUUUGGCCUACAUAUUCAAAACAUUUUUUAAAAAAGUAGACACAGCUAAGAAACACGGAAGUGGAAGUAACAUUUGUAAUCUAAAAAUCCAAAAAUGACCAUAUCGACUUUUUUUCUGCAUUCUAUUUGACAAGAUCUCCUUUUUUUUUCCUUCUAAUUUAAUCUUAUUUAUGAAUUUGUUACUGUUUUUUAUUCUCUCUCUCUCUGUAUAUAUAUCGGUUGUCAUUCUACAGCAUUUCUUUUCUUGGUCAAAUUUAUUUAACCUUUUGAAAGCUCUUUCGAUAGUGAAACUCUAAUAUUGGAUUGGUACUUUAUUAAAAGCAACAUUUUCUUAUUGUUGCAAUAGCAUGUCUUGUUUUCCAUUUUAUAAGUUGAUUAUGAAAAGCAAGCUCCAAAUUUUCUAUCCUUGGUUCAGUAUGAAUGGAAUGCAAGAACACAAGUAACUAUGUGGUAUGAUAACACAAAAGUCAAUCAGAGCAAACUUCAUGAUUAUGGUAAAUAUUACAUUUCAAUCCUGCUAUAACAUGUUAUUCUCCCUAUUUUCCCUAAUUCAAAUUAACAUGUUUUGUGCUUCUUAUCAGCAAAUAAGUACUGGAGUGGGCUACUGGAAGGUUACUAUCUCCCAAGAGCUUUGACCUACUUUUAUUACCUAUCAAAAAGCUUGAGAAAAAAUGAGAGCUUCCAUUUGGAAGACUGGAGAAGAGAAUGGAUACUGUUUUCAAACAAAUGGCAAGCUGCUUCAGAGCUUUACCCAGUUAAAGCUGAAGGAAAUGCAGUUGCUAUUUCUAAAGCCUUGUAUGAAAAGUACUUUGAUUGAAACAAUUUCUCAAUGUUCUACCAAAAGCAAACAUGGUAUGACCAUUUCAAUUCUUAGUUUUUUUCCUCUUUCCAAUAUCAAAGAUUAUUGAUGGUCCCUUGCCAGUUGUUUCUGUUUUGCAAUGAGACCCCUUUAUGUACUCUAAUGUUCCGUCUCUGUUUCCAAUAAUCUGUCAUAAUAUCAUUAGUCCAUGUCAAAGAUGAUUCUUUCUAUAAUUUUUGAAUCUUCAUAGCUCUCAAGUAUCUUUCAUCAUGUAAGUAUCUAUGUUCGGCAAAUUGAAAGGAAAACAAUAUACAACACUUGGGUAUUUCCUUUGAACUACCUCUACAAAAAUUUGAAUGUGAAAAAAGAAUUUAACCCAAAAAAGAAAAACUUGAGGAAAUGAUAUGGCUGCAAAUUGCACUAUCAUUUAUACAUUCAGAUUUCGAGUAUUUUCAAUUCUUAUACCAGCUCUUUCAGUAGCGGGUCGCCUGCAGCCAUAAGCCUCAUAAGCUCAGCAAAUUCCACUUCAUUGGAAACCCGCCAUGGAUGAACAGCAGGAACUUCAGCAGCAUACAAGUUUGUAACAUUACUCAACAGUUCCUCUGCCGGUAUCUUCUUAUAAACCAUUCUGCUGAAAAUGUCGUCGAAAUUUAGGGGUGAAUCCAUUGCCAUGAAGAACAUUGCCACAGCUACUCUGUAAUCAAUCUUGUAGUUACCAACAAGAGCUACAAGAUCCGUGAAGUCUCCCACAAACAUCCGAGGUACGUAAAACACUUCACUGUUGCAAAUUGUGAGUCCUUGCUCGGUUGGGUUACUUUCCUUAUAGUUGACUUGAAAAUGAACAGGCAUUGUGCUCACUACCUUCUUCACCCAGUCUGCUUGUUUAGCAAACAAGACAGAAUCAUCACUGACUCUGGUCCAAGAUUGAGGGACCUGUGAGAAAGAGAAACAAUUAUAGAACUCUUCAACUCUUCUACAAAGCAAGAGAGAUACAACUGAGACCUGCAUCAUACCUUGUAAGUGAUCCAAAGUUUAUCUUUAUCUGCUUGCAGUAAAUUCCAAUAGUUGAGAAUGGUGUUAUCUUGGAGGAACAAGAAUCCUUCUGCAUUAGGAAAUCUUUCAAAUACCAUGGGCAGGUACCUAUAAAAAGAGAAUUAAUUUGUUGAAUUUAUCAUUCAUGAACUUUUCUAAAUAAAUAUUUAGUCAUUCAUUUUAAUUAAGAAUCCUUUCUUUUUAAUCUGUCAUCAAACUAAACCUGACUAAAAAAGAGUAUACAGACAUUAAACAUAUUGUAGGCAAAAUGACCAAUACCCCGUUUUCCCAUUAUUUGAAUCUAUUUGGUGUAUAAACAUCAUAUCACUAUUUUUUUAUGUAUUUAUAUCAGUUUUUAAAUAGAUUCUUGCAACUUUUAUUUAUCUUAUUUUGUAAUUUGUGUUAUCAAAAAUAAUUCUACUAACUUACCACAUAUAUUAAAUAGUUUCUCUUAAAAGUGGUACUCUACAUCUAUACUUCGACUAAAUAAAUAUAAUAGUUUGUAACUAAAUUACAAAAGAAAAGGCUCUUGUACAUGAACUUAAAAUUCCUUUUGCAAAACACCAUUAGAUUAACAUUUAGAGCUAUAUGUUUUAGAGCCUUGUAUGAAAAGUAAUUUGAUUGAAACAAUUAUUUAAAAAUCAAAAUGAACAACUUUUUAUUUAAAAGAAUCAAAAUGAAUAAACUGUUACGAAUUGUAGUUACAAAGAAUAAAUUAUAAAUUGUUACAAUUUUGAAAAUGAAGGGACGAAAUUGUUUUUUAGGCAUUGGGACCAAAUUCUUAUUAGACUAAAUUUCUAUUUGGGUUAUUUUUUAAAUAAAAUAAAAUAAACCAAAACAUUUAUAAAAUAGGACAAAAAAAAUUUAGUUAGAUACCGCAAUAGAUUAAAAUAGACUAUUAUUUGUAUCAUAAUAAAUACAUAUAUUAGUCUAUUUUGGUCUUUUUAGGUUUUUGUUAUAUUUUUGCUAUAUUUAUAAGUAAUUUUACUAAUUUUUUAUUUAAAAUAAAUUUUCUAGUUAUUUUAUCAGAAAUGAUAAAAAUUGGAAACUACUUACUUGUAUAUGAACUCCAAAGAAAUUAAGAAAUCACUAAAAAAAAUUAAAUGAAGAAGAAUUUUCCACAUAAUUUUUCGUGUUGGAAAUUACUUACUUGUAUAUAAACUCCAAAGAAGCUUCCUCCACUCCCAAAUCUUCCCUGCCAUGUUCUGCCACAACCACCACAGUUUUGAAAAUCCUUCCAUAAAGCAAUUUCCAUUUCAUGGCAGUUCUCUCCACAUCUCCAUUUUCAACAAACAAAACCAUCACCACAUUACCAAAUUUCUUCCUCCAUCUAAUCAACUUCCCUAUCUCAAAGUUCACAGUCUCAGAUUCUUCCACCCCAAGAUGAAAACCAGGCAAUUUUUUAGGAACAAAACUCCUUCCAUCACCAAUCCUUCUUUUCCUCUGUUUCUUCAUUUCAAAUCCCUUCAUUCUUGGUUGAAUAUACCCAACAGAAAUCAAAUCUUGAAGCCAAGCUCCAAUCAGUUUCACAUCGUUCUCCUUCCAAAACCCUUCCUCUUCCAUUGAAUUACUCAAUUCCAUUACCUUCUCAAAGAACGUGGCUUUGUUUGAUGUCCAUGAACUCAAGAACUUCACCAAUCUCCCUACAUUCACAUGCAAGUCUUUCUCUUCUGAAAAUGGAUAUCCUUCAAUGUCAUCAUAUCUAAACAUUGUCGGUGGAUAAACCGCUACGAAACCUCCUAAUUCCCAUAAAAGUCUUUGUGCCCAAUAACCCCUCAAUAUAUCACAAGCCAUUGUACUAACAGAAACAGGAAGCAUAAGAGCCCAUAAUGCUGAAUUAUGAAACAAAGUAUUGAAAGAGUUUAAUGGUACCAUCACCCCGUGAGGUAUGGCGACUUUCGGUGCGUGGUCGUCGAAUCUUAUGUCGAAUGCCUGGGAACUUGUCUUUCGAGUGAAGUAAAACACCGAAUCUACAUCUGGUAAACCAUUGGAUAUGCCUUGUUGAAUGAACUGCAUUCCUCCAAAUACUUGGCUGUAAUGUUCUUCAUACAAAACAUCUCCUACAUUCUCCAAUGGCAGCCCUCUAGGCCAAACCGAUCGCUGUCCGAAAUGAAUAUAUGGAUUCACGACGGUUUUAUUCGGGUUCUCAAAAUCAAACUCCAAGAUUCUCUCCUGCAGUGUGUCUACAUUGGACAAUUUCAAAUCAAAAUGCUUCCCAAGAUCCCCAUCAAUCACUUCACCCCGAUCAUCUGCAUCGAAUAUCAUUUUCGCGCCAUGUUGGAUAGCGAAAAGAUAACCAACAGUCUUUCUAGCAUAAGAAUCAUAAGAAAGAAAAUCCACAACUCUAAAUCCUAAGCUAGAUUGUUCCUCUAGAGACAGGUAUAUAACUCCCUUAAGACUCCAAUCCGAUGGAGUUCUAGAAUUCCCCACAGCUAGUACCUGCCAUCCUCUGGUUUUCGCAAGCUUUCGAAGCGAAUCAGAAGGAUAACUCGAAACAGAAACAACAAUCCACCGAUCAGAGCUAAAGGAAGCGUAACUUGAGGAUUUAUCGACAAGGGGAUGAAUCGAAUCGAAGUUGAUUAUGGGCAAAUGGGUGAGUUGAGAGGGUUUAGGGCGAGAGUUGAAGCAGAGAAAUGCAGCAGAAUCGGGAGCUCCUCGGAGGAAGAAGAAGGAAGCGAUUGUGAGGGUAAGGAAGAAAAGGGUAGCGAGUUUGAAGAGAUUGAGAGAGACCCAGUUGGAGAAAUCGAAGGGUUUGGAUUCAGGGAAGGGAUUAGCGAGUGGGAUUUGAUGGGGUUUUGGGUUUUGACGAUCUUGAACCAACAUGGUAAGUACUAAAGUACUCAGGUUUUGAGCUCUGUGGAGUGAGUUUUGAACUCAGAGAGCCAAAAUAGAAAGCUCAAAAUGACUGAAAUGGAGAAGAAAACAAAAACAUAGGGAGUGAUCUUUGUGCGUUUCUUUCUUUCAUCUCAGAGCUCCAGCCGACAGUGGCCAACUGAUAAUGCAGACAGAAUUGGAUCAUUGAUGGGUUCUUUUUCUUUUUUUAAUUAAAAAGAAAUUAGUUUAUUUGAAAGGAACUGAAAAUGAAACAGAUGAAAGAUGAGGAUGAAGGAUGUUGAGGGGCAAAUGGAAAUAAUUGAAAAAAGUGAGUGAGGAUUUGCGAUUUGGACAGCCGCCCUUACCGACAGAGAGAGAAACUCUCGUGCUCUUUUUUUACUCAUCAUCUCAUUUCCUUUCCUUUCAUCCACACACUUCACAUACUUCAACUUCCUACUAUUAAAUUCAUAUAUAAUAUAUAAUUGUAAAGCCAACCAGGCCAUUCUUACCACCUACGACAACUAUUUAGUCUCAACUUUAUUUGAUUUGGUUUAUCAAAUUACUUAGACACCUUUUCAGGGAAUAUCAAGGUAGGAAGAUCAUCAUGGACUUGAUGACAAAUGACGUAACAUCCCAGUUUAAAGGGUUAAAAGAAUAUUUGGAAAAGACUUAAAAUAAUUGAAAAUCAUUAUCUAUACUAACAAAAUGCAAUUUUUUUUUUUCAACAACUCAAUCCUAAGGACUCCAAAGUGCAAUAUUUUCUUUCAACAACUUAAUUAUAAGUUAGUAUAAGUAUACAAGCAUGUGAGUUAAAACAAAGCAUCCUAAAAAGUUUUAUAUUAAGCCCUUAAAUGCCAAAGCAUCCUAAAAAGUUCUAUAUUCUAUAUUAAGCCGUUAAAUGCCAAAUCAAUCUAGGUAUGAGAUAUUACGAAUUAAUUAACCAUUUUACAUUUUGUGAGAUGCACCUUGUGUAACAAGUAAUGGUAUAAUACAACUUAUUAUGAAAGAGUUAAAUACAAAUAUGAUUUAGGACACAUGAUGUGACUAGUCUAUACAGCUUAACUAAUCUAUCCUAACCCUUAUACUUUUAUUCGGUUGGAGUCGACCCAAAUACGACCCCAUAGAAAUGGUUUAGAAUGAAAAUAAUGAAACAAAAGUUAAGUCAAGUAAUGAAACAAUAAGUAAUGUUGUUGAUUGGAGGGAGUAUCAAAAGUGUAAACACCGUUAAAAAGUGAUAGAUCAACUUCUUUCUUGUAUUAAAAGAUCAGUAACAAUACAAUUAGAAUAUCCAAUAUAUUUCCCCCCACCAAUUCCUCUAAGAACCUUUUUCAUCAACAAAUUAAUUUCUAGAACUAAAGUCCCAGAUUAAUAGUGAAUCCUUCCAACGAUUAGACAAAGUGGGCUGACCUUGAUUUCUAUGAACAUCUUCAUCUCUUUUAACUUUAUUUUUAUUUUUUUUACUCUAUCUCCCUGCUUCCUGCUUCCUGCUUCCGUUUACUUUCAUGCGUUCUUCUUCGUCGAUGUUGUCGGAUCUCGAAUCGAGUUCGGAAUCAAAUUCAUCUUCUCAUCAUCCCUUCCACCCACUCCCACUUGGCUUUCUUCAUCAUCUUUCAAAUUAGAUCUAUGUUCAUCAGCAUGUCGUCCAUGUAGUCAUAAAAUCGCUUCUUGGAUACCGAGCUUGCCGUUAAGGUACAAUUGUGUUGGAAGAUCACAUUUGUGAAGGCCUGAGACAGCCUCUGUUUGUGACAAAGACAAUGAUCCUGUUAGAGCUAAUAAGGGUUCUAACAAGAAUGAUUGGCCAUCACUUUUUCUCUCCUUAUCUUUCCUCAUUUCUUCCAACAAAGCAUUGCUUGUGUCUAUGCCUGUUUAGAUUGGUCAAUAAAAGAGAUUAUCAUCCGGAGAACAUAUGCUAGAAACAUGUAAUAAAGUUUCCAAUAAAAACAAAUUAAACAAGUUAAUUAGUAGGUGUUUCACAAACCUGCAAGAUAUCCACCAUGUACAUAGCCAUUAAAUCUUUCGCUUGUGUGUUCUCCAGUGAAGUAGAUGCGUCCAAUGGGUUCCUGGAAACGACACACCCAUAAAGGUUAGAUAUUUGACCUAACGUAGAAUUUGUGUUUCUAGUAUAAUUCAGACCUAGUUGACACAAGAGGUUAUGGUUCAUUUGAAUUUACUUACUAAGUUCUUAAAAACACUUUUUUCACACACCCGAGGAUUUAAACUUACUAACAAAGUAAAACUAACAAGUUUUACUACUCUAAACACACUACAUAAUUAAUUUGUCACGUAUUCAAGUUCGGUCCAUAUAUGCUUAUUUAAGGAAAUAUGUUAGUUGUGUGUGCUUGAAACAGUUUGGUGGUGGAAGCGGCUCUAUUCACAGGCUUCUACAUCAACAGCAAGUAUUUCUACUUUCGAAGUGGUUAGAGAGAUCAAUCAAUCAAUCAUGCAGUGAGUUACAAGUUAAAACUUGCACAUAGUGAAAUAGGCAAUGAACCUUAAUGUUUUGAACAACUUGGCAAUCGGAGAUGAUGGGGUAGUUACUGUAGCUACCACGUUGAAACCUGUUACUCCACCAGCGAGGAACGAGUAUGUCAGUAGCAUCAGGGAUAUCUGGUCCAAACAUAUCCCUAAGCACUUCCAUGGAUUCUUUCAUUGUCUCUUCAUCAGAUUGAGCUUCGACUCUUUUCGAUUCUCCAUUUGUAACGGUCACCACCAGGAUAUUGGACCCAGGAUAGGCGUUCUCCAUGUUCUGAUGUUAUCAUAAGAUAGUCAGUUUCACAGUAGUUUGAUUAUUAAUCCAUAGCAUGUCAUAGUAGAAUGAUCGAGUAGCAAAUGCCAUAACAUUGUCAGACUGGAGUCAUGGAAAUACACAAUACGUACUCCGCCAAUCAAACAAAUUGAUAUCCUUAUAUUAUUAUAGUUCCAUCAUUCAAGAUUUAGUGUUCGUGGACAGAUAUUGACAGCUGCGGUAGCUGACAACUGUAUCAACAAUAAAAUGGAAAAGAAUUAAGCAUAAAAGAGACUGCCAAAAUUUUAUCUUCGAGAAACUUAAGCACCGUAAAAAAUCCUGCAUCCUAGUACAGGUCGAUAAAGUCGAAUAAUGAAGGUGUUCUCAAUCACCCAUUAAAACAAGAUAAUCAUAAUAAUCAAUUGUUCAAGAAUUACUGGUAUUGAAUCAUCUACAAUAGAGAUAGUAAUAAAUGCCUUUAUCUGACGAGUUAAUCUUGAAUUGAGCUUAUUAUAGCUCUUAAUAUAAAAUAAUAUGAUAUAAAUUAUAUUAUCCCAUGUUGUAUUUUAAUGUGUAGAUUUGUGAUUUGAGAAAAGUAUUUUAAAAUUUUGAAUCCACAUACUAAAUAUAGAUAGUUGACAACUCAAAACUAAAUCAAUCUAACUAGAGGGUCCAACGCGAUGACAUCCGUAUUCUGAAAACCAAUGCUACAAAACAAAUAUACAAGAUGAUAUGCAAUCCAAUGAUUAAGAAUUAAAAAAAUACGAGAGUUGAUAGGUUGCAUGUGACCCACGUGCACCUGAUGCACGGCUCAUUAUGAAAGUACUUCCAACCGUAUAAUAAGUUAAUAAUGAUACGAGUAAACUAAUAUAAAAAAAACCAAACAUAUUAAAAAAUAUCGAUGCAGAGCACAUAGGUCACACGGCUACUACUAGUUCAACCUAAGACCUGGCUGGCUAUCCCCGUGGGCUAAUAUUUGCAAGCAUCCAAUUUUUCUAGCUAAGAAGACUUUGUUUAUUCACUUUCUUUUUUGGAUAAGUAGUGGCGAUGAGAUAAGUGUUAGCUGGCAACAACAACGAGAUUUAGCAAAUAUAUAUAUUUAACGAACCUGCCAAAACGUGUAAUAGCCCCUUCUUUCAUGGGCGUAAAUAAAGAAUUCUUUUCCGGGUCCGCACGGCCAGAACUUAUAUGGGAACUUGAGGAAAAUCUUUGUAUACACCAUCACGUCACAUUUCUCUAUAGCCUCUGUUUUCCACCUCUGUUUCAUUAGAUUUUAAACCAUCAUGUUUAGUUAAUAAUACCAAACCCCACAGCAACAUAGAAAUAAAACAUUACAAGGAGGAUCAGCACACAGAAACAGAGGGGCCAAUGGUUCAGUCACAAGUGGGUAAUUAACCAAGAAAUGUUUAAGUAUAUGAUAAAGACUUGUGGGUUUAAUGCAUAUGCGCAUACUGUACUCUAUAGAAAAAGAGGUAAAAGUGUAAAUAAAAAACCGAUCACGUGUAGAUUAGACACACACGCACAGAGGAUAUGAGUCACAAAAUGCAAAACUGGGGAGAUGAUGCAUGGGAGUCGCACAUAGACACAUUGGGAAUCCGAUUCUUACGUCAUGAGUCAGUAGGAGGCCUUGCCAUUCCAUAAAUUCUGACCCACUAAAUGAAAAUUAAAUAAUGGACCAGGCCAUUUAGAGAUGUAUAUCAAGAGAAGUCAAGUCAGAACGAAAAUCCCACCACCUUACAGGACGGACAGAGCCCGAGAGAUAUUUAUUGUGUUAUGAAUAUUGAAAGGUCAAGAUUCUCCCCCACCCAUCUUAGGUCUCUCAAUAGAGGUUCACAAAUCAAGAGGCAACAGAUACGACACGUCGUCAUAAAUUAUAGGGGGCAUUCUUGGUCUUGGUGGGGGCGAAAGUCAGAGAGUGAUUAGUAAGUAGUAUAGUCACAAACAACAUGGAAUAAAUAAAAGAAGAAAACGUACGGGUAAAGGUGGAGUGAAAGAAAUGAGGUCGCUUUGGAGUACACCAAUGCUAACGGACAAAACCACAUAAUUGGCUUCAUAGAUACAUCCAUCCUCCGUUGUUACAGUAACCCCGUUUCUCGAGUGUUGUAUUUCCCGAACAACCUGCAUAAAAUGAUGCAUAAAAUUUGUCACGAAGAACAGAAACAGAUAAAAAUUUUGUCACAGCAGUCAACUCCCACCCAAAACCAGAACCAAUUUUUUUAUUUGGGAAAGAUUACGGGGAAUCUUUGCUCAUUUAAUGACUCAUCACAACCCAUUUAUGGCUGCUAUCCAAAAAUCACAGUGAUUACUAGUGAAGCAGGACGAUGAUACAGGGGAAGCUUCCCACAUUUACUGCAAUUCGCAUCAGAUUCGUUGGGCAAUAAAGGGAACCAAAACAACAGCCCCAUUAAAUGUAGAUAUUGACUAGACUCCCCACUUUCAUGUUUUUAUUUGAGUUGAUUUGACAUCUCACCCCAUGGGUUAUUGUUUAUGGUCAUAAAAACCACUGUGCAACCAAAUGCAAAUUGAUAUUCAGUGACCCUACUAAUUUAAUAAUGGUAAAAAUGUUUUCAAAACGUUGCAUAUUGUCAUUACAAUUCUGUCAAAUAUUAUACAAGCAAGGACAUUGCUGGCAAGUCAAAGUUUUGCUAUUCAAGUAGGGGGAACGCUAUCAAAAAUUACUGCUCAUUGUUGGGUGUAGGGGUAAAUAAAAAAUUAUAGAACCCCAAUUAACAGAAGCAUUCAACGGAUGGAUUCUCCAGUUUCGGAAACUACUUCACAGUUGAAGAACAAUUAGAGAAGAAAAAAGAGAAAGGGGGGAAGGGCAAAGUUUUUUAGUGUCAAUUUCAUUGGUAAAGAAACCAAAAUUAGAACAAAUCCUAUUCAAAUUAUCUGUAGCAGGUCUAUUCAGCGUUGGGAUUCAAAUGAUGUCUACAGGAAAUCAUCUAGCGACAAACUAUGAAAGCGAUAUCGUGAUCAUAUGACACGGAUGGAUGCCACUAAUUUCAACCAAUAUCUUAAAUAAAUAUUUAAGCAGCCAAAAUAAAUAUAUGGUAAAAGCUCACAAAUCCCAAGGCCGAUUUUUCUCAUUAGCCAGGUAUCCAAUGCAGAUCAUAAAGUUUCUUUCAGCCGCUAAAAGAGUUAAAGCAAAAGCGAAAUUAUCAAGUUGACCACCACCUACACUAACACACAGCUUCUAAUAUAAACUGGCAAAUGACAAUAGUAAUAAUAUAAUAUGAAUUGGAAAUUGCUUUCAGAAACGUCAUUAUCUGCAAACUCCCAAAAGUGGGUCAAUCAUCAAUCUCAACGACAAAUAAGAAUAGCACAUGCAAACAAAAGAGAUACCCAGGGAUUUCUAUCCUAUACUUUUUCUGUUUCUUUUACUGUAUUUUUAUCAAAGCCCAUAUCCGUCCUUUUGUUUCAUCAUAUGAUUGGGUAAUCAACAACAGAACAGACAAAAUUUUCAUUUAAAAACAUAUAAUUAGCUAAAAAGUCAAUAUUUAAAAAGGAAAACAAAUAUAUUUUCUCUUUUUUUCUUCUCACCUUGUUGAGUUUGAGACGACUGUCCAAGAUUUUUCCUUCUGAGGUAAAAAGAAAGUCUUCAGCCAUUUUGUAUAGCAAACACUCAUACCCUCUUUCAUCUGCAACCAAAAAUUCCCUCUCUCCAAAAUCCAAAUACGUCGAUAUAGGCUCAACCUCUUCAAAAAAGAAAAAAACCCAGUUCCCAAUUCAAUACUCACAUACAGUAUCAGAAUAAGAAAAAAGAACAAGAAUCGGACAGCAAUAUGACCUGGCAUCUCAAAAUCAUGGAGUAUAAAGUCGAUAGCGAGUUCCAUGGGAGUCUUUGGCGUACUGUAAACAAAAGAAAGAAGAGAUAACAUAAAAAUCUGCUUAGAGAAUGUUAAUUAACUUAAUGCCAUAUAUAAUUCUUCUUUUUUAGAUGCUCAUGAAACGAACAAUAGACUUUUUGAAAAAUAUUUACCAAAGUGGCUCUGAUACAAUGGAUAAAUCAUCCGCAUCCUCCCCUUGGUUCCUCAGCUUCUGAAUCGCCGAGUCCACCGCCUUCUUGUACGAGUCGGCCGCAACUCCACUCGGAAAAAUUUUCCCACUGCAAACUCAUUGAUUCAAGAACCUAGACUCACUUCAAAUUGACCGAGAAAAGAAAAGGCGAAACAAAAAAAACGAAGGAAAAAAUGGACAAACAAAGGUUCAAAUUCCAUCUCUAAACCAUCAAUACAUUGUUCAAUACCACCAAAAAACAAUGUCUCGACUCUCGAGCAAAAAUAGCGGAGGAUUAAAAGAAACCAUCCGAAACAUAAAAGAGAUUGGGCGAAACACGAAAAUAACAUCAAUCAAGAUCAGGAAUCCAAACCUUCGAUCAUAGAUAUUAUAACGAGCAUUGCUGUAAUCAGAGAAGCAAGUACGGAGACUAGAUUUGAGAGCAAGUUCCCAAACCGGAUUCGGCUCUUUACCACCGACUCCAACAAUCCACCCCGCUCCAAGUUCCACCGAUACACCUCCAAAAUUCUCCUUACAAACUCUUCCUCCAAUACGGUCAGAAGCCUCCAAAAUCACAAAGUCAUCUACUCCAUUGUCCACCAAAACCUUCGCCGCCGACAAACCUUCCAAUCAACAAAUCAACUAAAUCAAAUCAAAGAAAAAAAAAAAAAAAGUACAAUAAAGCGAGAGAGUCGGAAACGGAAUGAAUCAGUAACAGACAAAGGUAUAAACAAACUAUAAGAAGAGUCAUAACUCACCGGAAACACCGGCGCCGAUAACGAUGACGGAGGAACGAGAAGGAGAAUCCAUUAGGGGAGGAAUUGAAAAAAAGAGAGAAAAGGAAAAUAGAAGAAGGUAUUGAAAAAAUGUUAACGAGAAAUAUUGAAGAAAUAUAGCGGGAGUCGGUUUAUAUAGUUUUUUUCAGGACUCCCCUCUCUGAGUUGGAGAUUUAUUCCCAAUUCUAUACUCCAUUAUUUAACGUUAAAUAUAGAUUAAAUUUUCGUUUAACCUAAUAAUUAUCUUAAAAGAUUCUGUUUAAUCAAUACUUUUAAAUAGUUUACAAAUUUUAUGAUUUAUAAAUAUUAUAACAAUUUUUUUAAAAUCAAAAUCUAAUUUCGAAAUAUAUUACAAAACAAUAAAACAUGAAAUAGUAAAAUCCAUUAUUUUUAGAUUUGCUAGAAAUACAAAAAUUUGAAAAAGAAAAAAGGAAGAUUUCAAGGUCAUUUUCUUUUAACCCACUAGACUAUGAAUUGACAUCUUACGCGGAAUUAGGAAGGGUAAGGGUAUUUCUGUCAUUCCAUAAUUUUUUCUUUUAUUUUUUAUUUGAACAAAUAAAAGAUAGAAUUCAUUUAUUUUAGGCCACAGAAAAUGAAAUAAAAUUUUGUAUUGAUUUAUUAAAAAACAAAUCCUAUAAUUAUUAUUUAAUCACUUCUCAAAUGUUCUUUCUUUUCUUUGUUUUCGUGAAAUUUUUCAAAGAUAGUCAAUUAAUUUGUAGCAAAAUUGUAACCCAACUUGCCUACAUAAUUAAUAGUUAAGUAUUAAGGGAGAAAGAAAACAAGGGUUUGUUUUUAUGAUAAAUGUCACUUUAAAUUUUAUGUGGUUCAAGAAUUCCUAUAUUUUUUUGACACUUUUUUAAAAAAGAAAAAAAAAAAAGAGACGUCCAAAUAAAAUGUUAUACUUUAAUAUUAUUCACAUCAUUUAUAUAUCAAUUCAAUUUGCUACAAACAUAUUAUACACUUCAAAGUUUACUUUAAUAAAACUAAAAAAAAAACGUCUAAAUAUUGUAGUUUAAAUUAUUCAAAGUAAAAAAAUGUUAAUAGUUUGGUUCGAGUCUUCCUUAUUUUUAUUGAACUACAUAAAACAUUGUUUUAUAGAAAGUGAUAUUUGUUAAUUGUUGCUACUUGUUUAAGGUCAUUAUUCAAAUUAUUUAAGUGUGAGGGGCAAUAUCGGAAAUUGAACAAGUCAAAUAACAUAUAAUAAAUUUAUAAACAUUAGUUUAAGAGAAAGUAAUAUUUUUAUAAUGUCAAUCAAUGGAGAAAAAAUGAUGGUUGUACUUGUACUAUUGUACCCUGCAUUCCUCCUUUUCUAUAUGCCAAACAAGUUGAAAUAUAUAUAUAUAUAUAUAUAUAUAUAUAUAUAUAGACUUUUUUUUUUUCUUUUCAUAUUGAUUGAAUUAUUAAAAAAGUGUGCAUUAUAUUUCUUAAAUAGUUGUGAGUAGUUGCAUGAUAUGCAUGAUAAAUGCAUGUAGGUUUUGUUUGUACUCUUUGUUUUAUUGAAACAAUUUAUAUGUAUGUAUGUAUACACGCUAUAAGUUUAGUUAAAAGGAUUUCGUUUUUAAAUUAUAUAUUAAUAUCUAUCUCUUAAGCAAGUAAACAUUAUUGUUCAAUCGACACAAAUUUUGUAUUUCAAUUUUUAGGUCAGCGGUUCGAUUUCUCAACCUAUAUCAAACAUCAAAUAAUGUUUGAAUCACUCGCUCCAAAUAAUAAUUGAAUUGUCGUACAAAAUUUUUGUAAGGAAUAUUAAUUAAAAUGUAUACUAUAGCCUUUUUGUUGUUGGUAAUAAAUAAUAUAUAGUAUAGUGAAUUGAUGGAUGGCAUGGGGACGUGAAAUAUGGGAAGGAAAUUAAGUAGAAGCAAUUUAUUGUCGCAUUGUAUGAUAAUUAUAUUGAAUAAAAACAAGUAUUGAAUUAGAGUGUUAAUUAAUCCUAAUGAGAACAAGGUUAAUCCGACGUGUAAGGAUUAGCACCCAUGAUUAAGGGAUAAUUAAAUAACACUAAGCAUUGUAAAAUGGGGGGUUUUGUCAUAAAAUAAAGUACUAAAAGGUUAAAAUAUAAUUUUAGGUAUUAGGGCUUCACCUUUUACCAUAUUGUUUUUAAAUUAUUGUUUUGAGGAAAACCUUUUUUAGAUUAAAAAAGAAAAAGAAAAAGGUUGAAAAGUACACCCAAAAAAAUAUGUAUGCAUAUUGAGUUACUCGAGACUUUGGCUUUGAUAUAGAGGUUUGAAAGUUCAGAUUGAUCUUUUAUUGUAGAUCUCUCUUUCGUGUUUUUGUAGAAUAUAAUAAUCUGAUUGUGCUUUCCUUAUUUAUUUUGUUCAACAUAAGGCUUUUGUUUUGUCUGAAUUAGUGGGUUUUGUUGUUGAGAUCGGAAGAUAAGUCUAGUCGAUCCAUGUUGUCUCUUUUGCUUGACAUUCGUGUAAUAAAAAUGGUGCAUCGCUUAGUCCAUGUUGCGAUUGGGUUGAAUGAAUCGACUCUAAAAAGAAAAGAAAAAUGUUAUAUUUAAAAUUAUCAAAUUUGAAAGAGUUAUUGCCUUCAUCAUGAAUGUUCAAAAUAUUUUAAAGAAAAUGGCAGAAAAAUCUGUGGUAUAUUGAAUAUGUUUUUCUUUUUCCCACUUAUUGUCAAUAAUGGAAUAUAUAUUUUGACUCUAUUAUUAUUUUUUUUUCUCAGACUACAUUGAAAAAUGUAAAUAAUAAUAUUGGAAGAAUAAGUUCAAACUUUACACUACUUAACAGUGGACCCUACCAUAUGCAACUUUCUUAAAUAAUUAAGGGCAUUUUUGGUAUUCCCUCUCUUCUCAAUUUGUUAUACUAUUAUACUAUUUGGAGUUUGUUAUCUUAAAAUUAAAUAAAGUCUUGAGAGCUUAGAUGUCAUAUAGGUAAGUGAGAGUCUCUCUUUAAAAAAAUGUUUUCUAACAAACUAAUUUUUAUUUAAAAUAAUUUAUUUUUUAAAUUAGACACUUGAGUACUCUUUUUCUUUUAAAUUUAUUGACAUGGAUGGAACCAUUGUUUUUAUAAGAUUAGAUAGAGACUGUGAAAUGGGGAAAUGGGGAAAUGGAGAAAGGAAGGUUUUGGUGUAACGCAACGGUGAGGUCAACGUCAGAAGAUGUAAGCAUUGAAUGGGAGUGGGACCCAAAGGAUCAAAGAGAGUGAGAAGAAAAAUUAAGAAAAAAGGGGACCCGCAGCGCACGUGUCGAAGUAGAAGCCACACGUGUGGGGGGAAGAAAGGAGGGGUAAUGUGUGUCUGUGACGGUGCUCAUUUUGACAGCUAGGUAACCGGCGGCCGAUUGUUGGAAAGGAAAAAGGAACAGGCAAAGGUCCACGUUGCCCCUGUUGUUUCUGCUUCCAAACACUCUGUCCCGCUAAACUAUCCCUUCUGUUUUCCCACCUCAUCUUUUUCUAUUUUCCUUUUUUUCCAUUUUUGUAUCUUAUGCCUUUAAACGACUUUUAUUUUAUUUUUUUAAUUUCUUUGUUAUUUAACUUUUCUUUUCCUUUUCAUUUUUUCACUAAAUAUAAACUAUCUUUUUUUUUCUCAAAUAUAAAACAUCCUAACAAAAUCGUUCGAAUAUUAGAUAAUCAAAUCUAAAUAUGUACAUAAACACUCAAAUCUAAUACAAAAGUUCUUUAAAUUUGAAUGGCCAAAUUUAGAUUAUGUAUAAAAAAAAGUCUUUAUACAAAAUUUAAACCUAUCAAAUCUAAAAAAUGGUUUAUCAAAUUUAUUACCUAAGCGUUGUAGAUAUUUUUUGUAUUUUUUAUAGGUACGUGUAUAAAAAUUAAUUUAAUAUAAUAUGUCAAAUUAAAGUUCAAUAGUCAUUUUAAAAAAGCAAAAUAUUGUAGUUGCGUUCUAUUUUUCUUUUAUUUAUUGUUCCUAAGAUAUAUUAUUGUAGUCGUGUAUUUGAUUUCCAAUGUUUGACUUCUCAUAUUUUAUUUGGAUGAAUUUAUUUUUCUAAACCCGAAUCAUCUUUUAUAAUAUUUAUUUAAAUUUGAGGAUAAAAUAAAAUAUGAUUACUAUGAACUUUAAUAAAAUUUCAAAUUUGGAAAAUACAUUUUUUUUCAUUUAGAAAUUUAAAAGAAAAUCCAUAAAACAAAUUAACCUAAAUGCCAAUUUUAAUUUAAGAACUGAGAAUUAGUUGUUUAUCAGCAUCGAUUAUAAAUAUCUGAUUGGAUAUGGACUAUGAACAUAUAAUGACAUAAUUAUAGAUUAAUAAAUUAAUUACUAAUUAUUAUUAUUGGAGGAGGAAAAAAAAUGUUGAUUGUUAAGCUAUGUCAACCACAGAUUUAUAAAAUGGAAAAGAUAUAUGAAAACCUCAUUUAAACAAGAUCUUAGUACCAAAGAUCUUACGUUAAAUACAAGAUCUAAUCUAUUUAAGUUAUUAAUUGACCUUUGACAAAUGUGGCAUCAAUUUUAAUCAUAAGAUAAUUAUCUUUUUUAAUUUAAAAAUCGAUUAUCUAAGUCAAUAUUUAAACCAGUAAUUAAUUAGUGUAACAAAUAAAUAAAAUUUUUAAAAUUAAACAUAUAACAAUAAUUACAUAUUCCUAAACCAAAAUGUCAACUCUCAAACUUUUUGCAGUUCUAUAAAUUUUUUUAAAUAAUUAGAUAAUUAAAAAUAUUUUAAUUUGUAAUUUAUUCGAGUAGAAAUUUUGUUGAGUGUUAUGGAUUUGUUUUAUUCCAAAGGGCAUCUUCAAACUAUUUGAAUAAACAAACAAUAAAGAUUAGUUGUUCUUUUUAGUCAAGUCCUUUAUAAUUAAAUUACAAAGACUUUUAUUUUUCUUUUUUCUAAAAUCUUAUUGUAUAUUGAUUAAUAAUAAUUAUAUAAAUGUUGGUUGUUAUAAUAUUUGGUUAUUUUUCCAAAAAGUAAUAACUACGUUAAGAUGUAAAGUAUAUAUUAUAAAAAUAUAAAUUAACAAAUAAUACCGUACGCGUUGGUAUUAGUGGAUGAAUUAGAUUUUAAAUAAUGAAUCCAUUAGUUAAAGAAUAGGGAAAAUGUAAGUCUACCCUUUAUAGUAAAUCCAUUAAUAAUGAAUACAUAAAUUUUUAAUCUUGACGUCAUAAUAUAUAACAAAUUAGGAAAUGAUUAUUUUAAAAAAUAUAUAGUAAGCAAUUUAUUUUGCUUUCCUUUAUCUUCUUUUUUGAAGAUAAAAUUAGUCACUAAAAAGAGGAAAAGAAAGAGAUGUGAUAAGUGAUCCCAUAACGAAAUCGUGGCAAUGAAAUGUUACAGGAAGGUGACGCGUGGCACUUGCCUUGCUGUACAUGGGGUCCACGCUGACAAAUUUAUGGGCAUUUAUAUCUUUAUAAACUUUUUUUUUUUCAUAAUAAUAAAAUUAUAUAUCCAACGAAACAAAAAUAUUUAAUAAUAUGACAAUUCAUUAUAUAUAGUUUUCUCGUCCUUAUUCUAUACACAUUGUAUUCUAUUCUUAUUUUAAAAAAUUUAUCGUAUCUAACUUCGGUUCAUAAUUUUUUUAAAAAAAAGACAAAUUUUUCUAUACAUUUUGAAAUGACGUUAAAAUUUAUGAAUUAAAAUAGAACUAAAAUGAGAUUUAAAUCUUUAUAUGUCUAUUAAAAUAUCAUGUAAAGAAUAAGUAAAUGAGCGUUGCAUGCAUUCAAUCAACUUUGUUAAUGAUACCAAAGCUUGAAUUCUUAAAACGAUUUCUUAUAAUUAUUUGUUCCAUAUUCUCAAAUAAAAUUAAGAUGAAUCCAAAUAAUAUCCUUUUCAGUGUGACGGUGGUUUAUUAAAAAAAGAAAGAUAGAAAUUUAGAGUCGUAAAGAAAUAAAAUUAAGAUUCUUCCUUUUGUUAAUACAAAAUAAAUUAAACAAUCUUUUGGUCAUAAUGAUUCGGUUUUUGUUUAUAAUAAUUGUAUCAAACAUGAUUUUUAAAAAAUAUAUCUAUCCUAUUACACCUUUGUAAUUUUUGUUUUUCAAAAUUAAACUUUUUAGUUUUUACCUUCCACCUAUAAUUCAAGAAAAAAGUGCAAUUUUGAAAAAUACAAAAUGUAAUUUUAAGAUUUUCUUUUAAAAUUCAACUACGAAUUAAAUCGCUAUAAUUAAAAAAAAUGAAGUCAUUAUUAAAAACGAGGAGAAAAUAGAUUUGAUUUAAAAAAAACGACAAAAAAACAAAAUGUUACCGAACGAAUCUAAAUAAUAUAAAUAUUGUUUGAUAGACAAGAUAUUAAUUAAUUAUAAAAAAAACAAUUCUAGAGAUUAAAUAAAUUUUUUCAAUAUAGAAAAAUAGUGAAACUAUUUAACCUUCAUAUAACAAACCAUUAAAAGAUGAAAAUUAUUACACCUGAUUUUUUAUGAAAUGUAAAUAUUUUGUUAAAUGUUUGAUAAUUUUCUCAUUUUUUUAGGAGUAGAUGCAAAUUUAGCAUUCAAAAUAAUUAAGUAUAUACCAACAUUUAAAAAAAAAAUUAAAUAUAACAAAAUUUGUCAAAUUCUAUAAGAUCGUACGAGUCUAUAUAGUUUGGUUAUAUUUGUAAUUUUUUUAAAUAUUGUUAUAUAUUUAAUUAUUAUUUGUGUAAUGACUCUCAAUUAUAAUUACUUAUUUUUUUAAAAAAAUUAUGUAUUUUAGGAACUAUUCUAAAAUUGAAAGAAAGAAAAGAAAAAAGAAUGACAAUUUAGGAAAGGAAAGAAAUAGUUAAAAAAAUAAAAAAGGAAAAUGGAUAAUAUUUAUUUUGAGUACAAAAUGGAUUGUAUUUAAAGUUUGGAAUUUUCUUAUCAUUCUUUCUCCUCUAUCUUUUUGGGAGAAUAUAAAAGACAAUAGAUUUAUGGGUGUUGCUUCAAAUUUGAGCAAAAUGACAAUGAUAUAUAUGCAUUUAUGGAAUUAUGUAUUUUUAUUUAUUUCUUGUUUUGUACCCUUUUUUCUUUUCCUCAAAUAUUAUUCAAAUUCUAUUAAAUUUUGGAAGUUUCUAACAUAGGUACCAAAAAUUGACUCAAUCCUAUCACUAAUUUUUUCAUCAAUUUCUCCCUUUUGUUCUUUUCCUUAUAACCAUUUUCCAUUUCGGUAAAUAUCAUAUCCAUUCUUAAAUUUAAAAAAAUUCCAAAUCUAAACAUUUGAAACACUAUAUUAUUGUUUAAAUUGUAAAAAUGUGAAUAAACUAAUUAAAACUUUCAAACAUCAUAUACAUAUAAAGUACACAUUACAUUACUUACCUUUACCUUACUUUUAAGUUACUCUAUGAUACCAAUUAAGAAAAAUUUGUGUUCAUUUAAACUUUAGAUAUUUUUUUAUAUCAUCAACCCAAUAUAGCAAAGUUUAUACUAAUUAAACAUGUAAAACAACAUACACUCAAUAUCGAACGUUGUCUACGUAACACCCAUGAUGCAUUUAAAAAUCUAUUUACAAGAAUUUUGCCCAAAUACAAAACUAAAAUCUUAUAUUUAAGCUUAACCCAUUUGAUUAGAAUAUAUACAUGUAGAAAUGGUUUUUUUCACUCUCAUUAUCAUGAGAAAACAAUAGUGUGGAUUAUUUAUUUAUGUAUUGUUUUUGUUGUUUAUUUAUUUAGGGGUUAAUAAUUGUAAAAGUGGGGUUGAAAUGACAAAGGGAUAAAGCAAAGUCUAUAAUUAAAGAAAGAGAAAGGCCUAAAGGAAAAUUAUGUUUCCUUACCAAAGUAGGGAGCAAAAUCUUAUGGAUAGUGAUGGAGCUUUCUCAAGAUUCUAUGCAAUUUGUCUUUUUUUCAAAAUAUUAUUAAUAAAAUUUUAAGAUUACAUAAUGAAUAAUUCAAUUCCAUUUUUAUAUAUUAAGAAGGAAAAACAAAACCCUUAAUUUAACUUCCAUUUAUUACUUCAAAUUUAGUAUUUUCUUUUUUCUUUUUUGUAUAGAUAACAUUUGAAAUAAUUAAAGUAGUGUAUUCUCAUAAUGGAUAUUGGAUAUAUGUUUUGCUUGGAAAGCAACCUCUUUUUUCUUUGGAUUUUUAUGGUGAUUAUACAUAGUUUUCUCAAAAUAAUUCUAUGUGCUUUUUUGAAAUAGAAUUAGAUGAUGUGAAAACGCAUUAAUUAGUUUAUUGGUCACUAAUUUGUUUUUAAUUACUUUUUCUCACUAUGUGUAUGCGUGUGGAAAUUUUUAACUUCUAGAAAAUGAAUAAAUCAAAGUUAAUAUUGUUUCUUUCAAAACCAUGCAAAGUUUGUAAUAGUGAUGUGCACUAAUGUAUUAUUGGUACAAAAAUCAUCUCUAUAUAUUACUUCUUUAAAAAGAAAAAGAACUCUAUGCUUUGCACAAACCAAUAUAAUGAAACUUGAUCCAAAUUAAUGAGCUAGAGAACUACUAAUUAAUAACAAUUUUGAAAAUGAAGUGAACAAUAGAUAUGUGUGUGUGUGUAUAAUAAUAUUCAUUUUUAGGAUAGAACUUCUAAAUUUGCUCAAAAGAAACCCAUAUUGAAUAUAACAUAUUUGUUCUUAGCUUAACUUUGCAAUCAAGUUUGGAAAAAAUGGGAUGAUAAAAGAGAGGAUAGAGUAAGAAUAUAUAAGAGCAUUAAUGUAAUGGGGAUGGUGAUGGUGAUGGUGAUGUGUGGUAAAUUUUGCUUUGGAUUUCAGUUUGGUCACCUCCCCCACUCAACUUAGGUUUUUGAGAAUAAUUUGCAUGAAACCAUAUAAUAAGUCAAAAAGAGAGCUCCAAAAAGGAAUUAACUUAAAGAAUAAGCAAAACUCAACAUAUGUUUGGCUUUUCUAUAACUUAAUGAAUCAAAAUCACUUUCCACUAACCCUUUUCCCUUUGUUUUUGGGUGACCAAGUCGAGGAGUUUGAACUAAUUCAUGCAAUGUGUGUAGACACAUAUUUAUUUUCUAAUGCUUGAAAGUGUACUCAUAAAGAUUUGUUUUCCGUCAUUAUGUUGAUGAUCACUAUAUAUAUAUAUAAGUAAUUUAAGAUGAUUUCUAGAUUGAAUUACAUGACUUUGUUCCGUUCUGUACAUUCACGUAAUGAUUGUGGAAGGAAGAGUUUGCUUGAAAAUGAGAUCAAAGUUUUGCAUUGGACUACUAGAUAAAAGGUUGAAUAUAGAAAAGAUAGUUGUCUAUCUCUAAAAGCAAUGAAAUCAAGUGAACAAUAUUAUACUAUUGUGGGGAUAUUUGGAUGUUCGGUCGCUCCUCGCACACACAUACUCUAUAUUUUAUAUUAGUAUCAUUUGAGAGAUAAAAGUUUGAUUUAUUAAGUGUAAAUGUGUAAAGUCUUUUGACAAUUAAGAGAAAACACAUAAUUAUUACAUAUAGAUUUUAAGAUCUUAUAUUCAAUGAUGCACGGGAUGACAACGGGACACGAUGUCCUUAAAUUUAGGGGUCUAAGUCCAAGUUUUCUUGUUGUCACACACCAUUUGAUGUUCAAACGAGAAAUUCAACGAGAAAAGAAAACAAUAAUAAUGCACCAAAAUAGUUGAGUUGUGAGACUUCAUGUGUGAAAAAGAUGACAUAUGAAAGUUUAUAGGUUUGUUUAUAAUUACCAAAUGGCACUAUUACAUAUAUAUGCAUACAGGCCUCCAUCCAUUUGAACCCAAUUUUCUCUAUUCAACCUUCAAAACUUGUAAAGAACCCAAUCUUUUUCUCUCUAAAAGAAGGGGACUUAUCAUUAUUAUUCCCAUAUAUAUGUAAUGUAAACAAGGGUAGCUAGUGGAGCACUUUGAUUAAUCUGUCCUUUCUUUGACUUUCUUUUCCUCCAAUAUUAGACCAUAUAUAGCUAGGGUUUAAUGUUUCCCCUCCAUGGGUAAAACUUUUAAUUAAAGGAAGACCUUAUAAAGGGUAAGAAUUGAAACCCUAUAUGUGUCCAUUAAAGUUGGAGCAGUCAUAGGUUUAUAAAAAAAUGGUGGUAAUAUAUAUAUUAUAUAUCUCUACUAUAGCAAUAACGAAUCCAAGCUUAAAAGUUAGUUCACGCCAAUUUAAGUUAAAUGUGAAUUAUAUCAUAUAUAUAUAUAACUUAAAAAUGUAUGCUCAUAAACUAUGAAGUUCAUGGAAGCAAUAUGUAAGUAUACACACAAACUUUCCGUCCAUGACUUUAGUGACAAACAUCUAAAAAUGUUCAAAGUUUGAAAAUAAAAACGAAACAUUUUAAGCGUUUAAACGUAGAUUUAAUAAUAUGAUUUGAAAAGAGAAUUAGAUAAUAAAUGGAUAGGGUGAAAGAAUGAUGAUGAAAAGUUGAAAAGAAGGAGGAUAUGAUGAAUCAAAAUAUAUGAUAAUAUAAUAUAAAAAAGGUUCCCUCUUGAGAGCCAAAGAUGAUGAUAAAUUUGAAACAAAUUGAUUACAAUAAUAUAAGCAAUAAUAACCCAAAGAAAAGAAAAAUGGGAAAAGAAGAAUCUAAAUUGAUAAAUGGAAAAAUGGGUCCAUAUGAAAUAGGAACCUAUAAUAGAAUGGCUAAAGAAUCAUUCAUUCUGUCUUUCUUUUUUUUUUCUUUCUAUAUAUGAACACUUGUCUCAUUCCCAUUGGUCAUUGUGGUGCAACUAUGAAAAUCCAACUUUUUUUGAAAAUUUAUGUGUGAAUGUUAGAACAUGAAAGGAAUCCAAUUCUAAAUCCAAUCAUUCCUCACAAAGAAAAUCCAAACAUUCCAUGAUUUUUUUAAAUAAAGUAUGAGUUCUCAUGGAUUUGUUAGGAAGUGUUGAAAGAGAUUGGUGAUGAUCAAUUCAUCCACAUGUUGAUGGAUUUUGAAAUUUUAAGUCCAUUAUUUAAACAUUAUAUGAUCAAAAUAGGAGAUUUUUAUGUGCUAAUAAUGGAGAUUGUUUCAUGUUCAAAAUCAUGUCAAAAAUCACUUCAAAUUUCUAAAGUAAAGUUAUAUUGUGGAUGUGACCGAAUAUGACGGUUUAGAAUGAUAUUUCAUUUUCCCAUCUUUCAAAUCAAAUAAUUUUACGAAAAAAAUUAUGUUUAGAAACAAGAAACAACAAUGUUUAGAAAAUAAAAAAAUAAAAUAUUUAUUUUGUAGUUUCAAGCACUUAACUUUUUAACAUUGCAUCUAUUCAUCCACAAACUUUUAAAACUUUUAACAAUAAAAUUCUUUUAAUUGAUUAGACAUAAAAUUCAAUUUUACAUACCAUAUACAUCAACUAAUCUUCAAACUUCAAGGAGGUCUUUAAACAAAAUUUAAAACUUGUUAGAUACUUUUUGUAAUUUAACUCGAAUCUUAGCAAUUUUGGUUGAAGAGAUCAAGUAGGGAAUAACUUGGUGUGGUGUUUCCUCUUGAAGUUGGUGUGUCCUAAAAAAGAUAUACAACUCUAUAUCAAAAUGAAAGUGAUCAGAGACUUAAUUAACAUACUAUAUAGCAAACUUUAUUAAGUAUUGUUAUUGAAGAAGAAAAGAGGUUGUUGGUACUCAAUCAAUGAUGUGCCGUAAAAAGGGAAUGAGAGAAUAUUAUGGUUUUUGUGGGAUUUGUCAAAUCCAUCCAUCCCUUUAGAAUAUAGAAAACAAAUUCCAUAAACUGUCAUUUAGUAUACAAAAGGAAUAUUAUUAGCAUUGACUCUCAAUAUCCAAAAUUAUUGGGUGUUGAAACAAACAAACAUUGGUCUCACAAACCCACAAAUCCCUUCAAAAAGAAAAAAGAAAAUUACACCUUUUUCCAAUGCUUUGUUUUCUGUUUUGAAAAUAGAUUGAUGGGUUUGUUCUUCCUUUUAUCCAAUUUCUUAUGCCACUGUUUGGACUUUGGAGAAGGUUUGGUUGUUGCCUUUCUCAUUGCUCCACUGACCAAUCCCUUAUUGCUUUUCUCACUGCUUUCAGUUUCACAUUUCAAAGUUUUCAACCUUUUUUUAUUUUUCCUUUCGUUUCAAGUCAUGAUUUUUAAAUGGGUUUAUGUAUAUGUAUCUAAGUUUUCAUCAUAUUGACUCACUAUUGUGUGCUCUUCUAAUUCCAUUCACACAGAUACUUGGGUUGUUUUCUUCCCAUUUGUCUAUUUCUUUAAAUGUUUUGAUACCAACUUCUCUAUAGACUACUCCUAUUCAAGAAUUUCUAAGAAGGUAGGUCGUUUUUUAAGUUUUCUUUUCUUUAACCAACAUUCAUUGAAUGUACGUGGAUAUAUUGAAUUCUUUGGUAUCUUUUCAUUUCAAAUUUUAGCUUUGUUUGAGUGGCAUAUUCCAUAGUCAACAAUAAUUGAUAUCUACUCCUUUUUAAAAGAUUGAAAGUUCAAAUCUCCGGCUAUCUUUAUUUUUUAUACUAAAAGAAGAAAGAGAAAAAGGUGGCAUGAGUCAAAUAUUUGAGCUUGUGAAUGCUCUCUUUUAUAAACUAUUUGAUUGAAGAUAUUUUUAUGGAAAGUUGAUGGGCUAAAUGUCACUUUGCACAUAGACUGAGGCUAAGGAGCCCACCACAUGUUCCUAAAAUUAGAGCCAAGUAUUGGGAUAGGUUUGUUUGGAUGAAUGAUCUUAAUCAAAGUAUAAAAUCAAAAUGAAUAUUAGAAAAUAAUAAUGUUGAAACCUUAUUAAGCAUCGAACAAUGACUUGAAUUAGUCAAUCAUCCCGCAAGGAAACUUGGCAUGAUAUGAUCUCCGUAAAACAAGGUUCAAAGUUUAAUUAGAGUUGAGUCAUACUCAUAUUGGCUAGACUUAUAUUACAUGUAACAGGAAAAUAUAACACAACGAAAAGUUGAAAAUAUGCCCAAUCUUAGAUUACAUGGAAAUAAGAGAAAAACUUUAAUCACUUCCGUUCUUGUUAACGGAACAAAAAACAAGUACAUAAGUUUCUCAAAUGAGAGUAUCCAAGCUUCAUGGAAGAAAAGAAUGUCUCGUCUUCGAAAGCGAGUAUUGGGGUUAGAAGAUAAUGUAUUCUUCAUCUCCGUCGUACAAAGAAUCUUAUCAAGACAUGUAUUCAAUUAGAAGACACAAAAUGCAACUAACAGCAAAAUAUGCCAACAUGAUAAGAGCCAUUAUUUUGAUGUUUGAAAGCUGACAAGCAAACGAUGGAUUAUUUCAUAUAAGAAGACUGAUAAAUCCUAGAUUUCCUCCAGAAUAUAAAUCGCUCUAUCUUUUAUAGGCAGCUGUAAAGUAGGGAACAUAGCUGGAAGAAGGUCAAUGGACAAGUUUUAGGUAAGCACAACCAGGAUCACAGUGAAAGAUACCAGAAGAUCAUGCAAUAGGGCAACUGGCUACAGUUAAACACUCACAAUGAAAGAUACAAGAAGAUUAUGGUAAUGUGACGGGCCACGGUAUAACAGUAUGAGAAGCAUCUCGAGUUGAGCUGUAGUCCAAUUCCAGGCGUUGCAAGCCAUAUGCUAGAGAGCUAGAGCUCCUCUAGCAGAAAUCAAUUCUGAUAUUCAGAUUAGCUCUGAAAAUACCAUACAUGAAGGUUUGUUGCCAAGGGUUGGUUGCCUUGAGAAGAAACAGUAGUCCCAUUAAGCUUAUGGUGGGUGGGGACAUUGGUCAAGAGCACAUUUUCUUCUGUAAAAUACAAAUAUGAUACAGAUAUUAGCAAUGUAAUCGGAAAGGAAACAUAAAAGUAGAUGCAUAUACCAUGUGACAAAUGCAAUUGAAAUGAAAUUUUGUUGAACAUAAAUUUGGAAAUCAGUAGUGUGUUAGGUACCCAAACCCAAAAAUUAUGUGAAAACACCAAUAACGAUAUUGCAAUGUCUGAUGAAAUUAGAAUAUAAACAAGUGAUUCGAGGUACUUGCAUUUUCUCUCUUGACAUCUCUCUCAAGUCCUAAUUUACUCAAUAAUGCCUAACUUCAUCCCUUCCCACUCUCUUAAACCUAUCCUUGAACCAAUAUCAUUCCAUUUUAUCAUGAAAGAAAAUAAGUGGUGACUGCUGGGAUUGUAAGAGUUACACUCUAUUUUGAGAAAUUAUUUGCAAUCAAUUAGAUAGAGAAUGAGGAAAGAAGCGCUUAUAUGUUAACAAAUGGAUCAUUCAGAAUCAAUACCAUCAAGAAACUUUACUUGUAAUGAAAGAUACAGUCUAGUCACUGCCCCAUCACGAGACAUUUUUUUAUAAAAUGUGAUCUACAGUGAACCUGAAUAAGCACAAAAACUUGGAGUUGUAAAAAGUCUUACCGAACAAGAAUUUUUUUUUUUCAUAAAACAAGCAAGAAAUAACAAAAGAAACAAGAUGGAAUUUUUCGGUUUAAACUUGUAGUGCGACAACUAACAAAUUAAUGAAAUCUACCUGAAGAAUUGAGAAGAAUGCCUUGCACUAAUGAAGACAUAGGUCCCUUGAAAAGCCAUGCCCCCAUAUGGAUCUACAUUCUUCCACACUACUGAAACGUUUUAGUAAUGGGUCCUUGUCAAGCCAGGUUUCACUGCAUCAAGCCAAUAGGACAAAGUUAUGUAAAAGGGACAAGUUUUGGUACAUGAGAACAACAUUAGAUCAGCUGGAAGAAAAAAAACACUAGAAAGUGUUAAUAGUUAACAAAUGAUUUUUGUAUUUGUUAGAGAUUAAGUUAAUUUCUAGUGUUUUAAAAAGCCCUCUUGGUAUGCCUAGGCUCAAGGCCCAGGUCUGCCGUCUCGCCUUGAAAAGGCUUGUGCCUUGAAAUUUUUAAUUAUUUUUAGAAAAUAGCAGUAUUUAGGGGCUUUCCUUGUCUAUUAACUAAAAAAUAAAAUUUACUAAGCUUAAAUGCAAAAGUUCUUCUGUUUAAGAGUUUUUUCUUUCAUAUUUGCUUCUCUUCUUAUUAUUGUACUUUUAUAUAUAGUGCGCCUCACAAAAGAAAAAACACAUGUUCUUUUUUGGCCUUGCACUUAAGCCCUAGAAGACUAUAGGGCUUCAUUGUGCCUUAAGCUUUAAAAAAACACUGGACUUUGUUUUGUUUUAAGCUUUUUGUUUACAAUUUCUCUAUAAAUUACUCUACAAAACAUUCUUUAUCAAUGAAAAAAAUCUCUUCCAUGGUAUCAAAGCAAGUGGUCCAAAAAAGUUGUGUGUUCAAGCUCUACAAUGUUAUUUCCUCUCCAAUUAAUGUUCAUUUCCACUUGUUGGGUCUUCUUCAUAUUUCAAAUCUAGAAACGAAGGGGUGUUGGAUAUUAUAUUAAAUUUGUCUUCACUCAUCAGUUUAAGUUUUUGGGUCAACUGAUGAUUUAAGAUGGUGUCAGAGAUGUUCAUAUAGGAUAGAAAAAUGAUUGACAUGACACUGCUAUUUUUAUUACAUAUAUCAUAUGUGUGGAUUGAACCUACAACCUCUUGAAAGAGCAAUGCCUUACUUGCGGAGCUAUGCUCAUGGUGCCAAGAUAAUAACACUAUUAUAAUAAACUGUUAUGCAGAAUCAUAAAUAAGCACCAAUUUACCUCGCCGUCGUUAGUGGCAAUCAACUUAUUUUCCAAUCUUUGAGCAUCCUCGGUCAUGCCUUGUGCUUUUAAGGCUCGAAUCAUUGUAGCAAAUGUAAUACCAUCAGGCACACAUUUAUUCUCUUUCAUUUCCAAGAACAACUCUCCCAUUUUUCUCACAUUACCAGCCUGGCCAUACACAUUGAUAAGGCAGUUAAAAAGAGGGGUAUCUGGUACCACAUCAGAAUUUUCUAUUUGCCUCAAAAUCGAAUCAACUUUCUCAAGAUCACCAGAUUUACCAUAUGCAUUUACGAGGGAACAGUAAGUCACAGAGUUAGGCUUCAUUCCCUGAAAUUUCAUAUUUUUGAAGUAUUCUUCCAUCUCCUCAAUAUUUCCAGCUCUUCCAAAAGAAUCAAUAAUUGUAUUCAUAGUAACAAUUGUUGGAGAGAAAAAGCGUUUUUCCAUGAAAUUCAAAACAGAUUUCAUCUUGUCAUACAUUCCAGCUUUCCCAUAUGAGCUGAUCAUAGAAUUGUAUGUCCAAAUGUCUGGCUCGAUUCCCAUCAGCUGAAAUUCCUUAUACCACUUCUCCAUCUUCUCAAUCUGCUCACUAUUUCCGUAAGCUCUGAUAAAAGUAUUGAAUGUAAUCAAAUCUGGAGGGCAGCUAUCACUUUCAAUCAUUUCAAGUAACAAGCUUUCCAUUUGCUCAAACAUUUUAGCCUUUCCAAAUCCAUUAAUAAUAGUAUUGUAAGUGACCGUAUUACAUGUGAUCCCCAGACAGGACAUAUCAGCCAGUAUCUUCUUCAGAAGAUCAAAACGACGGAGUCUUGUGCAACAAUCAAUGAGAAUUGAAUAUGUAUGUACAUCUGGCUUGCAGUCAGAAAUCGAUUUCAUUUCAUCGACUGUUGAAAUGGCCUUGUGAAGGAGGCCACUUUGACCAUAAGCACUAACAAGAGCAGUAUAAACAUCAAUAGAAGGUUUCAACCCCUCAGAAAACAUAAUCUCAAAGAGCAAACUUGCUUGCUCGGGUUGCUUGCACUUACCAAGAAGCAUCAACAAUUUUGUGUAUGUUUGGCAUCUCGGUUCAUACCAUUGUUGCUGGCGAAGUAAUCCAAAAAUCUGAAGAAAUACAAAAUUAUUUGGUCAUAACUCUCGUUUUAAAAAUACAAGAGCAAAAUCAGUUCAUCAGUCAUAAGUUUCUUCAUUUACAAUAUAUGGAAAUGUUGUAUCAAAUUUUUUUUUUUUUUCUUUUUUUCAAUAUACUUCAGAAAACGAUGGAAAUGAAUUUCUGAAACCUAUUUGAACACUAACAAGACAGGGUGCAGGGGGUGCAGGGGUUUUGAACAAAAGAAAUAAAAGCAAACAUCGCACCGAAGCAGUCUAUGAGUGAGAAAAACGAAAGGACGUACAAGAGUAUACCAAACAAAGCCAACAAAAAAAUAAGUCCAAACACUAUCUAAAGAAACAGAGUUAUAUCUAAGAGAAUCAAAAUCAAGCUCAUAGUUACGGAAAUGAAUCAAAGGAUGCAUUAAACCUACUACCUAACAAACUCUCAAAUUUCCUCACAAGAUCCCAAAACAAUCGUAGAGGAAUUUUCUUGGGGACAACACCCUACCAUGAUAAAUCAUCCCACAUAUAAAAAAGGUCGAUAGCGUUAAUUUGUUCAUGAAAGAAAUGUCGGGUAGAAGAAGCUUUGGCAGUCAUGUUGAAAUUGCUAAAACUAGAGCUCUGCAGAACUUCCAGUGCAAAAGGAUUCUGAAAGUAUACCAAACGCACUCAGAAUUUUCAGCUUACCCGUGCGUGCGUGCAUGUUCAGGGUGAUUUUAAAAUAAUUGAAACCAUUUGAAAUACCCCUUGUCAUUCAAAAUCAAUUCAAUAUUUAAUAGUACAGUUUUAAAUGCAUUUUUUAUACUGUUAAAAUUUAUUUUGAAUGAUGAUCUUGAAGAUGAAAAAAGAAAGUGAUUUCAACCGUUUUAAAAACGGCAUCGUAGAAAUGAUUCAUUGAAGCUAUAGCUAACAAGGUUUACUGGGCAUUCACGUAGGCAUUAUCAAAGUAUUGAUAAAAGAUUAAACUUACACUAACGCAUUAAACUUAAACUUCUAGAUUGAUUAAUAAUACAACGUGGUAUCAAAACAAGAGGUCAAUAUCCUUUGUUUAAACCUCUAUAAAUAUCUCUCCUUAUUUUGAGCAAAUUCACUAACAAAAACCAACCUUAAGAGCAGUUUCCCAUAGAUUCUCCUGAAUAGCUUCAUCGAGAGCCUCCAAAACAGCUUUGGGCCAAAGAUUAUUAUAUUUCUUGGAGUUGGCUUUCCUCUCUAUAGCUUUAAUAGCAGCAUCUCUCCUCAGAAUCCGAGACAGACCCUUCUUCGGAUCUCUCUGUAGUGCGUCGGAGGACUGGGUGGAAGUCCGCUUAAGUGACCGCGAAUGAGAAGAAGAGAUGAAAUAAGGAGUGGAGCUCACGGAAGCCAUUGAAAUAACUUUGGAGGUAAAGGAAGUUGAGAAGCAACGGAAAACUGUAGCGUCGGGAGAGUGAAGGCAAAGCUCCAUUGAAAUAUCCCAAGAGAACCGGUGAACUACCGAUCAACCCAAUCCAAUUUUUAUUACUUUCCUUUUCUACGUCAGAAAUUUUGAUGGGCUUUUAAAUGGAAAAGUGUUUAUAGGAGGCCCACGUAAGGUGGCCCAAAACGGAAUAAAAAUGAUAAUGAGGGUUAUAAAAAAAAAGCACGCCUGAUGGGACUCGAACCCACAAUCGUCUGAUUAGAAGUCAGACGCCUUAUCCAUUAGGCCACAGGCGCUGUUGACGUUAACGGUAACGGUAACUUCAUUUUACAAUUGACCAUUUUAUAUAUUAAUUUAUUUUUAUAAAUAGAAAAAUUAAUCCUUCUUUUUUAAUUAUUAUUUGUCUAAAUUAAGAGAAUGACUUAAUACGAAUUAUAUAUUUUAUUCUUGAAAUAUAAUCAAUAACACUUCGUGUAAUUGAAAUUUGAAUUGUUUGAUUUUGAAAUUACUAAAUAAUGUUUAUAAAAUACUUGAUUUUGGUCUCUUUAAUUAACUAAAAACGAUUUAAAAACAUUUAUCUCACUGUCUUCUAUAACCCUUUCCCUCACUCUUCUUCAUCUUUCAUCACCAUCUAAUCUAAUCUAAUCACCACCACCUAUUGUCCUAAUAUUAUCCCUUACAAAAUAGUUUUUUUUAUAUAUAUAUAAAUAAUAACAAUUACUAUUAUUAUUUAAUUUCUGACCUCAUUCACCAAAAUUGUAAGUAAAAGGAGAGGGCAUAAGUGGAAAUAUAAAACAAGUUUGUGUUUUGAAGGCCCACACCAACCCCCAAAAAUGAGAACCAUCUUUUGUUUCCCGAGCUUGUUGGCGUCACAACGCUCGUAGUUGUAAAUGUAACGCCACUUUUUGCCGCGCUUCCCUCGUGGCCCACUUUGACGGAUAUUCCGCAUUUAUAUUCUUCCAUUCAUGCCCUCUUACCUUUACUUUAUUCCCAUUUCUUCCCCAAAUUGAAUUUCACUUUGGAAUAAAUCUAAUUUAACACUAUAAUAAUCACUUUUUUUUUACUCCAACAAAGAUUAGAAGAAACGUAAAAAAUGGAAAAUUUGAUCGAAUAAAAUUAAAUUUUUAGAUCUACUAAUAGUAGACAUUCAUCCACAGUCAGAGUGGUAUCUUUCUAUUCAGUUUCUAUAUUUGAAUUGUAUUCGGUAUAGUUUAUAAAUAUUUUAGUUUAUUUUACCAUAUUUGAAAAUGUCCUUAAAUACUAUUUAAGUCUUCAAUUAGUUUCCGUAAACAUUAUUUUAAAACUCUCAAUUUGCUACCGUUUUAUUAUUUGUUACUGUCUUUAUCAUUUAACAUUCAUAAUUUUUUUAUUAUUUGUUAUCGUGUUUAUUGUUCUCUUAUCAUACUAAAAUAGACUAACAUAUACUAUUAUAACUCAAAAUAAAACAAUUUACACAAAAAAAAACACAAAUUAUAAUAACUUACUUUUUGUUCUAAAGACCUCUUUAAUUUUUUUUAAAUGACACGUUUGUUUUAUUGUUUAUGGGGUAAAUAGUUGGUUUAAAUUAUUUUAGUUUGUUAAGAAAAACAGUAAAUGUUGUAGUAAAUAAUAAAAAACUGACGAAGAUAAAAUAGUAAAAACGGUAACAAAAAAAAUCUAUUGAGAUACUAGAAUUAAGUUAAACUAUUUGUAGUUAUUUUCGUCUAAUUAAGUCUUAUAAAACUCAACUAAUACAUUAAUUAUCUUGAACAUUUAAAAUCAACGUAUUUAAUAUCUAAGGAAGAAAAUUGGUUGUGACAAAAUUUACUCACCUUUUCAAUUUAUAUACCUAUUUGGUAUUUAACAUGACCUCACAUACAUUUCAAAACCUUUUAAUGUCUCCAAAUAAAUUAAAUAUAUUUAAUGUUUUUUCUUUCAUAACCAACCAAGCAGAAAUAAAUAAUUUAACUAAAAUGCUAGUUUUCAACUCUAUGCCUACCCUAUAAUAUAUAUAAUAAUUAAUCGGCUAGGCAGUAUAGAUUGAUGAACACUUUAUUAUUGUUUUUAUUAUUGAUGUAUGUGAUUUGAUCUUCUUCAACCUUGACUUGUUUUAAAUAAUAAGCAUUUAUUACUCUUAUUCAUUCUCUUAAAUAUAUUAUUGAGUUUAUUUACAUCACAUAUAUGUUAUAGGAACUCAUUCAAAUUCUUAUAUUGGGUUUUAUUAAUAUAUCUAAAUCAUCUCCAUCAUUUCUUUUUUGUCAAAAAUCUAUGAAACUGAUGUUUACACUUGAGGAAAUUUAAUAUAUAUUUACCAAAAAUUUCCUUCAUUUGGUUUGAAUAUUUUGUUGCAAACUUACAUGAUUGAUUUGGUUUACAAGUUCUCAAUGUAAUUGAUUUUAGAUUAUUUCCCCUACCAUGUUUGACAAAAUAAAUCACAAUCACUGUAUCCAAAUUCUAGCUAAAUAUGUCCAUAUAUAUUUACUUCAUUGAGUUGAGAGCUAAAGGAUAUAUAUAUACAUAUGUGUGUCAACUUGGCUAACAUGUUUAUGGAUACUCCUAAUACGCAUUGGACAUCUAUCAAACAUUUGGUGGUACAAUAGAUCAAUAGACAUCGAUAUAUGUUAGAUGUUAAAUAACGUUUGCUUCACAUAAAAAAAAAUGAAUGCAACCCUUGCCUUUGAAAAAAACUACUAAAAAGUGUAUAUAUUUUAUCAUGUGCAUAAAAGAAAGAGGUAUGUGAACUAAAGUGUAGUGUAGGUAUAUUUAAAAAAGUGCAACUUAGACGACACUAAUGCAAGCUAAGUUGUAACUAUUUAAAAAUAUCUAUGAAUAUUUUUUUAGAUUACUACAUUAAUGAUAAUAUUAUUAAAAUUAGUAGCAUCGAUAAAUAUAGCAAAAUGAACAAAAUACUUAUAAACUGUAGCUAUCAAUGAUAGUAUUAGUAUCUAUCAAUGACAUUGAUAAAUAUUAUUAAAAGUAUAUUAGUGUCGGUCAAUGUCAAUUAUUGAUAAAAUCUAAAAUUUUAUUAUGUUUUAUUUUUUAUUUGGUUAAGUUGAUAUAAUAAAAAAAUUUAGAGUUGAAAUUAGUAAACUCCAAAGUUAAUGGUAAAUUGAUAUAUGUGGAAUUAUGUAAUUCAAUAAUUAUUCUUUAAGGAAGGAGUUUAGAGAGAGAGAAAAAGUCAAAGUGAAGAUUGAAAGAGACAAUUAUGUUAGGACUUUAUUCUUACAAAGUCAUGCCUUUUUGUUUGAAAAUAAUUAACCCCGCAAAGCUACUUUUGAAAAGCUAACCUUACUCCUUCCUUCUUAACCAAAAUCACCUAUAUACAUAUUUUCAAAUAACAUUCAUAGUUACAUAUCCUUAAGUACAAAUUGAAGAAAUAUAAACUUAUGCUGACAUUAAAGUGUGCAAUAAUUGAACUAGGUAGAAGUUAAAAACCAUAUUCAAAUUGGUUUUAGAUUUGAAUUAAUAGUGAAUAAAAAAAAAUGGAAGCAAAGCAUUUAAUAUAUAUAUUUGUAAUAGCAAUAAUGUAUUUAUUUGUUUGCCUUAGGUUCUCAAAAUAAUAAAUAAUAAAUAAUAAAUAAAGGUACACGCGCCCUGAAGGGAAAUUCCAACGAAGCUGAACGCGAAGCCAGCUGUUCCUAUAAAUACCAUUCCCUCAACGCUCUUUUUCCAUUCUCUUAACCAUUCAUUUUCUCUCUCUACCUCUACCUCUACCCUCUCUUCUCCAUUUUUAUGGCCUUCCUUUGGGACGUCUUCUGAUUCUUCCUCAAUCGCUAACCCUCCAUCUCUCUCUCACAAAGACAUCCCCUUUCUCCCUUCGUAUUCCUAUUCCGAUCGUUGCACGGAUUGUUUCUCCAUUAUUAUUAUUGUUAUUCCCUUUCCCUUGGCGUUUCUCCAUGGGGAAGUUGGUCGAGAUUCUUGAUGCAGGUGCUAGGAUUGUCGCCAGAUUUCAUUCCCAUUGCCCUCAGACUGGCCGGAUGUACUACCAUCCUCCCGCUAACUCCGACGACGGCCAUCACUCUGAAGAGUUUCGCCUCGGCGGCGGCGUCGGCGAUGGCGAUGCGGCGUCUCAUCAGAUUGUUCCUUGCGUUGCCGAGCCCACGGCUGCUGCUGCUGCUGCUGUCUUAGUCGUCACCGUUGAGAGUAAUGAGUUCAUUCUUUACUCUGUUUGAUUGUGAUUGUUUGAAUGGAGAAGUUGUGGAAUGUUUGUGUGAGAAUUUUCUCUCCCAUCGUGAUAUGAAAAAAUUUGGAAAAAAUAGUUAUAGAUUUGUCUCUUUUUAUAUGCUUAUUGUUGAUGACAUUAUUUUGUUCGAGACGAGCAUCGAUCGUAUUCUGAUUCUUUGGAUGAUUGAUGAUUGACGGAAUUUGAAAUUGGUGCUUUUACAAAUGUACUAACCCAGUGUUCUUGCUAUUGACUUAUGAAUUGAUUGAAAAAUUUCUGUCCCAAGAACUUAGGCGAGAAUUUGUGGGGGAAAAUGUUCUUUUCUUUUGGUAAUAGCUUGUAAAAGAAAAGAAUCUGAAGCUAAUCAAACUUUCCAUUUCUUUCCCUUUCUUAUUUGUUUGGUUGUUAUUAAUUUUUGACAUAGAAAUACAGUAAAACACGACUUUGCAUUCAAAGCUCCAAAUUACAUUCAUGAAUGGCACUUUGAACAAAGGAAAGAAAAGUUAACUUUUUGCAUUUUAAUUCCUUUGGAAUAUGGUUACCAUCUAUGUUCAGUUUUGUUUCCAUUUAACAUUAUUUUAUCUACAAAAUAAAAUUAUAUAAUCCAAAUAUUUGAUUUUGAUUAGUCAAAAUAGAACCUUUGACAAAAUAAAAUUUUAUAAAUGAUUAGUAUAUUUCUUUUGUUUUCAUAAUAAUUUUUGAGAAAAUAUAAUUUUAGGUUCAGUGUUAAUUUCUAUUAUUUAA
rnacentral:lncRNA from 1 species